rnacentral:lncRNA from 1 species
GCACCUGCGUGAGCAAGCUCCAAAUGUAGGCCUGGCUGGUGUAUGGUUUGCUACAUUCGUUCACAGUCUACCUAGAGUUCCCAGCCGCUGAAUCUUUGCUCUAUAUAAAUGUGGAGAAGGCAACAAUGGAAGAUUGUCAAGGAACCAUGCAGUCUCUGCUAGCCCUUGGUCUGCUGCUGCUUCUGAGCCUCGACGGAGGUGUGGCCUUGGCGGCGGAAGACGGCCGGUUCGCCUACCAAGGCUUCGCCACCGCGAACCUCACGCUGGAUGGCGUCGCCGCCGUCACGCCCAACGGCCUCCUGCUGCUCACCGACACGGAGUACCAGACAACAGGCCAUGCCUUCCACCCCGCACCACUCCGCUUCCUCGACAGCUCCACCGCGACGGCGAACAGCGCCGCCAAUGCGCGGUCCUUCUCCGCGUCCUUCGUGUUCGCCAUUAGGUUCAGAACUCCAGAUACGAUGGCCUGACCAGCUACGGGCUUGCGUUCGUCGUCGCGCCGACCUCGAACCUCUCAGCUGCCGAGAGCGGGCGGUACCUGGGCCUCCUCAACGGGACAAACGGCACGGCCAGCGAUCCCAUCUUGGCGGUCGAGCUCGACACCAUCAUGGACGUCGAGUUCCGCGACAUCAACAGCAACCACGUCUGCAUCGGCGUCAACAGCCUCAUCUCACGGCAGGCCAAGCUGGCUGGGUACUGCAGCGACGAGAACGGCACCUUUCAAGAGCUGAGGCUGAACAGCCGCCAACCGAUGCAGGUCAUGGUUUUCAUUUUCACUGUAAUUUCAUCAUGUCAGCAAUUAUAGUAGUACACAUGAAUUCAGAUUACUUACAAAGUAGUUCCUCCGUUCCUAAAUAUAAGUUUUUUAGAGAUUCUAAUAUGGAUUAAAAAUAAAGCAAAAUGAGUAAAUCUACGCUCUAAAAUAUGUCUAUAUACAUUUGUAUGUAGUCCUAUUAAAAUUUCUAAAAGGACUAAUAUUUGGAAACGGAGGUAGUAACAUUUUGGAAAGAAAAUAUUUGGUCGGAUCUCAAUCAAAUUCAAGUGAAAAUUUUGGUCCUCUCACCAAAAUGAAAACCUAAACCACUCAUUUCAGAUAUGGCUGAAAUGAGAUGUGCUUCGGUACAACCCCCCUCUAAAACGUAUAAAGGGUAGGUAGUACAGACAUUUCACAUAUUGUAUCCAUUUCUAAAUGUACGAUAGUGCCCGCUGAGUAUAAAUCCUGGGUACUCAAGCAUCCUGGGUAGUAACAUUGAGUUGUAGUGAGAUUCGUACUCGUUACCUCUCAGUAUAAAUCCUCUAGCUGUCUAGCAGAACCAACUGGGACACCUCGGGCUACUGUGCUACCUACGACAUUUGAAUCUUCUUGUUCACGCGGCAGAUGUGACGCUAAAAAAAGAGAAACGCUAGGGAUCAGAUCAGACCACUUCGUCAUCAUUCUUUUUUUAGGCGAAAUACUUCGUCAUCAUUCGAUUUGUAGAAACUGACACACAAAUCCGAUUGGAAGGCAUAGAACGUGCGCCAGCAAAGCUUUUACCUUAUGUGAUUGGUGGAAAGUAAUAACUGCCCAUAGAUCACGUGAGUUGGGAAACAAAUCACUGAUUUAAGGAAGCAAAAUAAAUGUUAGAAAACUAAUUCAAGAUUUUAAAGAAAAAUAAUCAAUCUAGCGAAAUUUGUAUCCAAUGUUACCAAAAAUUAGUUCAUGUGCAACUAAGAAGACACCAAAAAAUUUCGUCUCUAUUCAUUUGCAGUGCACCAAAACUACGCUCAAAUUUUGCCUCCACAUCAACUCAAAAUUAACAUGCUUCAUUGGUCCGUAUAACAUGUUUCCAACUAGCUAAAUAUUUGCUUCAUUCCCAUCUCCAAAAUCAUAGGAUUCAUAUUCUCAUAUCACACGUAUUAUGUAUUCACCAUAAUAUUAGCUUCAAGUCUGGUAUCCAUGUGCUUGCCUCCUUACGUUCUUUAUUGUACAAGCUCGUAGCCACUGUCGACCGAGGGCUUGUUGUGAACUGACACGGUGAAGUUGUUGAUGAGAUCGGACCAGGUGAUUAAAUUAUGAUUUUAAAUUAUUUUUCGUUCAAACAUUUAUUAAAUGUUUUUUUAAAAAGCCUUUAUAGUUUUCAAUUUUGUCCCUUAUUAUUUAUUAGUUAUGUUAAAAACUUAAAAGCAGUUUUAAGUACCUACCUAAAUUAUGAUUUUAAAUAUAUUUUCCAAACUUAGCAUAGAUGCUUAAUAUAGGCAGGCCCACCUGCUAGCGAAAGUUGUGGUCAUAUCAAGAAUGUCCCAAACAUAUGCAACGUAGGUUGUCCGGGUAAGCCAGAAGGCACCGUUUGAUAGCACGUUGUUUCCCAACAUCAGUCAAAUGAACCUAAUUUUUUUUAUUGGCUUGUAUGAUCAACUCAAGGCAUCAUGGCAGGUUGUUUUAUUUUUCAACAAUUUUUUUAUUUACUAGAGUUUUCUUGGUCAAAAAGACCAAUAAACGGUCAGACAUGUCGUAGCUUGUAUAUGGUGUCAGAAAUUGUGCAAACCUGGCAUGAAUGCCUACCAUGGACAUGCCUGCCUAUUUCUAGAACUUGGGGUCAUUUCAAGAAUUUCUAAAACUAAACCAUGUUCAACAUAAGGUGUGCAGGUAAGGCAGAAGGCUCUGUUUGAGAGCUUGUUGUUCCUCAACAUCCUUGAAUUGGCCCCAACUUUAACCAAGGGUGUGUCUACCUUCUUUCAAAAGUUGGGUUCAUUUCAUACAUGUUAAAAAAUACAACGUGUUCAACCGAGGGUGUUUGGGUAGGCGAGAACGGUCUGUUUGGGAGCACUUCAUUUCUCAACAUCCUAAAAUGGCUCCAACUUUUUCUUGGUCUUGUAUGGCCAAUUCAAGGCACCAUGCCAAGCUGUUUCAGUUUUCGAUAAUUCUUGCAUUUUCUGAAGUUUUCUCGAUGAAAAAUGCCCGGACGUGAUGCAACUUUCACACAGUGUCGGAAUGCAUUCAAACAUGGCAUAGAUGCCUACCAUGGGCAUGCCCACCUGCUUGCAAAAGUUGGGGUCUAUUCAUGCAUGUCCAAAAAUAACCAUGUUCAACAGAGGGGGUUCGAAUAGGCCAAAACGGUCCAUUUGAGAGUCCAUUUUUUUCAUGGCCUUGUAUGACCAAAUCAAAGUGCCAUGGCAAGUUAUUUGAAUUUUCGACAAUUUUUGCAUUUUUUGGAGUUUUCUUAGUGAAAAAUGGUCAAACAUGAUGAAACUUGCAUACAGUGUAGGAAUUCAUUCAAAUAUGACAUGGAUGCCUACCAUGGGCAUGCCCACUUGCUGACAAAGUUAGAUCAUUUCAUGCAUGUCAAAAAAUAGAUCAUAUUCAAUGGAGAGUGUUCAGGUAGGCGAGAAGGGUCCGUUCGAGACCAUUUUUUUACAUCCAUCACACAUGACCCAAAUUUAUUCCAUGAGCUUAUAUGGCCAAUUCUAGGCACCAUGCCAAGUUGUUUGAGUUUUCAAAAAAAAUCCUUUUCUGGAGUUUUCUUGGUGAAAAGGACCGAUAAAUAGUCGGGCAUGUCGCAACAUGCAAGCGAUGUCGGAAGUCGUUCAAACCUGGCAUGGAUGCCUCAUGUGUCCGUACCAGGCUGCUGAAAAAAGUUGGGGUCAAUUAUCCAUAGUCCAAAAAACCACUAGUUGAGAGGAGUGUGCUAAACUAGGCCAGACGAGUCCUGUGAGCAUGUAGUUUUUCCCAAUUUGAAAGCUUCUGUUAUUUGUAACUUCUGCCAUUAUCAACCAAAAUGAACAUUUUAUUGUGAACUAACCAUCUCUUGAAAUUUGCGAACAAUUUUGAAAUUUCAAUUUGUGUAUGAAAGUUUUACAAGUUUGAACACCUUUUCCACAAUUGAUAACAAAUUCCCAACAAUUGAUGAAAAUUUUGACAAAAAUAGGAAACAACGUACUUUUCUAUAAAAUCAUCAUUUUUUUGGAAGCACAAGCAUUUAUUCUACACAAAACAUUUUUUAAGAUUCUAGAAUAUUUUUUAAAAUUCUAUUUUUUUUUUAAAACAAGAACAUUUUAGGGUAUUCCAAAUAAUUUUCCAACUUUUUGAACAAGUUUGAAAAAGAAUUAACAAAAAAUAGAAAACAAUGCUUAGCCGUUGGCUUAACUAGGGGACGGCAACGAUCCCAUCAGGCGCCUGUUGGGGGAAACUCCAUUUGAUGCUUAUUACGUCAAACAGUCGUUGUUUCUCACACACCCAAUCGAUACGAGUGAACAUGAGCCAGCCCAUUUUAAUCUGUUCAUUGCCUCUGCAGAUGCCGGUUUUUAGAACCUUUUAGAUGGUUACAGGCCGAUUUUUACCUGUUUCGGGAAUGUUUAAAAAGGUUCAUGAAUCUUUUUGUUUUUCAAAAUUGCAAACUUCAAAAAAUGUUCAACGUAUUUAUUUAUUUAUUCACAUUUAAAAAAAAUCAAAAAUACCAAAAAUGGUCGCAUUUUCAACAAGUUUAAAGUUUCAAAAUAGUUUGUGUUUUAAAAAAUUGCCAGGAUUUUAAAAAAAUCUCAUUAUUUUAAAUUGGUUCGGAGUUUAUAAAUGUGUUCCGCUUUUUGGAAAAUUUGUUUGAAUUUUAAAACUUUUGUUUACAAUUUGGAAAAAUGUCCGCGUUUAAAAAAAUCACGUCCUAAUAUCCAAAAAAAAUGGUCAAAUAUGUCACUGGUCAUGGUUUUUAAAACCCGCGCUGCCAAUUAGUCAAGAUGGGUGUCUCAAUCUAGUGGUUGUGCUGGAUUGUGUUGAUGUGGGAGCUCUUGUGUUCGUUUCCUGCUUGGAGCAAUUCUUUUUAGAUUUUCCACUGUUUCACUACAAGUCACAAAACUGCAAGUCCACUACGCACGUCGUUUGCUGCUGGGCCAGCCCAGUUUACUGCUCCCUGUACGGUCUGGGUGACGUAUUGUGUUCAAUUCCUGCUGGGAGCAAUUCUUUUUAGAUUUUCCACUGUUUCACUACAAGUCACAAAACUGCAAGUCCACUACGCACGUCGUUUGCUGCUGGGCCAGCCCAGUUUACUGCUCCCUGUAUGGUCUGGGUGACGUAUUUCGUAAAAGGACCAUCCUGCCCUUUCUUAUGAAGAGGUAUGACCAGAUCUGGUUCGUCAACGUGUCUAAGGGGGUUGUAUCGAAAAAGAAGUGGGCUGGAAUAUUUCUAAAACUGAAAUUCAAAACCAUGUGCAGGUGUGGGUAGACUAUGAUGCACAGGCCAGACGACUCAACGUGACAUUAGCGUCCGUGCAUGUACCAAGGCCCAAGAUUCCUCUACUCUCCGAAGUCAUUGAUCUCUCCACAGUCAUGGCAGACAAGAUGUACGUUGACUUUUCAGCUUCCGGAGGUUGGGGCGUAGGCACACACCACUAUGUCCUUGGAUGGAGCUUCAUCUUGGACGGACCCACCCCGCUGCUAGACUUCUCCACGCUGCUAGACCAUACAGGGAGCAAUUCUUUUUAGAUUUUCCACUGUUUCACUACAAGUCACAAAACUGCAAGUCCACUACGCACGUCGUUUGCUGCUGGGCCAGCCCAGUUUACUGCUCCCUGUAUGGUCUGGGUGACGUAUUUCGUAAAAGGACCAUCCUGCCCUUUCUUAUGAAGAGGUAUGACCAGAUCUGGUUCGUCGACGUGUCUAAGGGGGUUGUAUCAAAAAAGAAGUGGGCUGGAAUAUUUCUAAAACUGAAAUUCAAAACCAUGUGCAGGUGUGGGUAGACUAUGAUGCACAGGCCAGACGACUCAACGUGACAUUAGCGUCCGUGCAUGUACCAAGGCCCAAGAUUCCUCUACUCUCCGAAGUCAUUGAUCUCUCCACAGUCAUGGCAGACAAGAUGUACGUUGACUUUUCAGCUUCCGGAGGUUGGGGCGUAGGCACACACCACUAUGUCCUUGGAUGGAGCUUCAGCUUGGAUGGACCCACCCCGCUGCUAGACUUCUCCACGCUUCCUGUCCUACCACGCCUGGGUCCCAAACCUCAGUCAAAGAUCUUGGAUGUCGUGCUGCCACUGGCCGCGGCAUUGCUUGUCAUUGCAAUGCUAGCUAUCAUCUUCUUCUUCUUGUGGCAUCGUCGUCGAUUUGCUGAGGUACGAGAAGAUUGGGAGGACGAGUUCGGCCCACAUUGUUUCGCGUACAAGGAUCUAUUUCAUGCCACUGAGGGGUUUUUUGGUACGAAUUUACUUGGUGUGGGAGGAUUUGGAAGAGUGUACAGAGGAGUGCUUUUUUCGUCCAACUUGAAGGUUGCGGUGAAGAGAGUGUCACAUGAUUCGAAACAAGGAAUAAGGGAGUUCAUUGCUGAGGUGGUGAGCAUUGGUCGUCUCCGCCACCAGAAUCUUGCGCGGUUACUAGGCUAUUGCCGGCGAAAGGGUGAACUUUUCUUGGUUUAUGACUACAUGGAAAAUGGUAGUCUUGACAAAUACUUGUACAAUGGAAACAAGCCAACUCUACAAUGGUCCGAGAGGUAUCGGAUCAUCAAAGUCACUCUCGUGCUCCUACCCAUCAUCCAGUGCAAGGCCUAGCAUGCGGAAGAUCGUGCAAUACCUGGACCGUGCAAUACCUGUCUCCAACUUACGUGAGUUACAACAUGUUAGCAAUGAUGCAGCAUGAAGGGUUCGAUUCGUACAUAAUACCGUCCAAUUCGUCGAAUAGCACUGUGUGUCGUCAGUCUUCGGUGACAAUUCUACAGGAGGGGAGGUGAAGGCUUGCAAGUGACGCCUCUUGUUUUUGUUUCUUGUCUCAUUGUUCCUUUAAGUGCUUGUAAUCCACUUCUGAUGUGAGCUUUCCUUUGAAUAUCUUGUGAACCAGGUAUGCUGGGGGAGCUCUUUUACUAAUGUACGAAACCGAGUUUUCAUAGUGAUAUUUCUAUCUUGUACAUAAGUUUAGUGGUCAUUAGUGAUAUUACCUCAACUUUCCAGUGACAGUCUCUAGCAAGUCGAUCUGCACCCAUGCACAAUUCUCCCAAAUUAAAUGAUUCACCUAGGUACGCUUACUCUAUGCUAGUUAGAGCAUUUCUAACCGAUCCCCUAAAAUUUAGCGGAGUAAAAGGCUUAGUGAAGGGCUUAGUGGAGUAUAUAUAUACUGCACUAGGUUUUGGCUGGACUUAGCCGAUCCCCUAAAUAUAACGAAGUAAAUUUUUGUUUUUUUAAACUUUGCAAUUCUAGUAUAAAUUGCAACUACAUAUUGGCACACAUAUAUAAACUAAACAUAGUUUUCCACUAGUGGUUGUGCUGGAUUGUGUUGAUGUGGGAGCUCUUGUGUUCGAUUCCUGCUGGGAGCAAUUCUUUUUAGAUUUUCCACUGUUUCACUACAAGUCACAAAACUGCAAGUCCACUACGCACGUCGUUUGUUGCUGGGCCAGCCCAGUUUACUGCUCCCUGUACGGUCUGGGUGACGUAUUGUGUUCGAUUCCUGCUGGGAGCAAUUCUUUUUAGAUUUUCCACUGUUUCACUACAAGUCACAAAACUGCAAGUCCACUACGCACGUCGUUUGCUGCUGGGCCAGCCCAGUUUAUUGCUCCCUGUAUGGUCUGGGUGACGUAUUUCGUAAAAGGACCAUCCUGCCCUUUCUUAUGAAGAGGUAUGACCAGAUCUGGUUCGUCGACGUGUCUAAGGGGGUUGUAUCGAAAAAGAAGUGGGCUGGAAUAUUUCUAAAACUGAAAUUCAAAACCAUGUGCAGGUGUGGGUAGACUAUGAUGCACAGGCCAGACGACUCAACGUGACAUUAGCGUCCGUGCAUGUACCAAGGCCCAAGAUUCCUCUACUCUCCGAAGUCAUUGAUCUCUCCACAGUCAUGGCAGACAAGAUGUACGUUGACUUUUCAGCUUCCGGAGGUUGGGGCGUAGGCACACACCACUAUGUCCUUGGAUGGAGCUUCAGCUUGGACGGACCCACCCCGCUGCUAGACUUCUCCACGCUUCCCGUCCUACCACGCCUGGGUCCCAAACCUCAGUCAAAGAUCUUGGAUGUCGUGCUGCCACUGGCCGCGGCAUUGCUUGUCAUUGCAAUGCUAGCUAUCAUCUUCUUCUUCUUGUGGCAUCGUCGUCGAUUUGCUGAGGUACGAGAAGAUUGGGAGGACGAGUUCAGCCCACAUUGUUUCGCGUACAAGGAUCUAUUUCAUGCCACUGAGGGGUUUUUUGGUACGAAUUUACUUGGUGUGGGAGGAUUUGGAAGAGUGAACAGAGGAGUGCUUUUUCCGUCCAACUUGAAGGUUGUGGUGAAGAGAGUGUCACAUGAUUCGAAACAAGGAAUAAGGGAGUUCAUUGCUGAGGUGGUGAGCAUUGGUCAUCUCCGCCACCAGAAUCUUGCGCGGUUACUAGGCUAUUGCCGGCGAAAGGGUGAACUUUUCUUGGUUUAUGACUACAUGGAAAAUGGUAGUCUUGACAAAUACUUGUACAAUGGAAACAAGCCAACUCUACAAUGGUCCGAGAGGUAUCGGAUCAUCAAAGUCACUCUCGUGCUCCUACCCAUCAUCCAGUGCAAGGCCUAGCAUGCGGAAGAUCGUGCAAUACCUGGACCGUACAAUACCUGUCUCCAACUUAUGUGAGUUACAACAUGUUAGCAAUGAUGCAGCAUGAAGGGUUCGAUUCGUACAUAAUACCGUCCAAUUCGUCGAAUAGCACUGUGUGUCGUCAGUCUUCGGUGACAAUUCUACAGGAGGGGAGGUGAAGGCUUGCAAGUGACGCCUCUUGUUUUUGUUUCUUGUCUCAUUGUUCCUUUAAGUGCUUGUAAUCCACUUCUGAUGUGAGCUUUCCUUUGAAUAUCUUGUGAACCAGGUAUGCUGGGGGAGCUCUUUUACUAAUGUACGAAACCGAGUUUUCAUAGUGAUAUUUCUAUCUUGUACAUAAGUUUAGUGGUCAUUAGUGAUAUUACCUCAACUUUCCAGUGACAGUCUCUAGCAAGUCGAUCUGCACCCAUGCACAAUUCUCCCAAAUUAAAUGAUUCACCUAGGUACGCUUACUCUAUGCUAGUUAGAGCAUUUCUAACCGAUCCCCUAAAAUUUAGCGGAGUAAAAGGCUUAGUGAAGGGCUUAGUGGAGUAUAUAUAUACUGCACUAGGUUUUGGCUGGACUUAGCCGAUCCCCUAAAUAUAACGAAGUAAAUUUUUGUUUUUUUAAACUUUGCAAUUCUAGUAUAAAUUGCAACUACAUAUUGGCACACAUAUAUAAACUAAACAUAGUUUUCCACUAGUGGUUGUGCUGGAUUGUGUUGAUGUGGGAGCUCUUGUGUUCGAUUCCUGCUGGGAGCAAUUCUUUUUAGAUUUUCCACUGUUUCACUACAAGUCACAAAACUGCAAGUCCACUACGCACGUCGUUUGCUGCUGGGCCAGCCCAGUUUAUUGCUCCCUGUAUGGUCUGGGUGACGUAUUUCGUAAAAGGACCAUCCUGCCCUUUCUUAUGAAGAGGUAUGACCAGAUCUGGUUCGUCGACGUGUCUAAGGGGGUUGUAUCGAAAAAGAAGUGGGCUGGAAUAUUUCUAAAACUGAAAUUCAAAACCAUGUGCAGGUGUGGGUAGACUAUGAUGCACAGGCCAGACGACUCAACGUGACAUUAGCGUCCGUGCAUGUACCAAGGCCCAAGAUUCCUCUACUCUCCGAAGUCAUUGAUCUCUCCACAGUCAUGGCAGACAAGAUGUACGUUGACUUUUCAGCUUCCGGAGGUUGGGGCGUAGGCACACACCACUAUGUCCUUGGAUGGAGCUUCAGCUUGGACGGACCCACCCCGCUGCUAGACUUCUCCACCCUUCCCGUCCUACCACGCCUGGGUCCCAAACCUCAGUCAAAGAUCUUGGAUGUCGUGCUGCCACUGGCCGCGGCAUUGCUUGUCAUUGCAAUGCUAGCUAUCAUCUUCUUCUUCUUGUGGCAUCGUCGUCGAUUUGCUGAGGUACGAGAAGAUUGGGAGGACGAGUUCAGCCCACAUUGUUUCGCGUACAAGGAUCUAUUUCAUGCCACUGAGGGGUUUUUUGGUACGAAUUUACUUGGUGUGGGAGGAUUUGGAAGAGUGUACAGAGGAGUGCUUUUUCCGUCCAACUUGAAGGUUGCGGUGAAGAGAGUGUCACAUGAUUCGAAACAAGGAAUAAGGGAGUUCAUUGCUGAGGUGGUGAGCAUUGGUCGUCUCCGCCACCAGAAUCUUGCGCGGUUACUAGGCUAUUGCCGGCGAAAGGGUGAACUUUUCUUGGUUUAUGACUACAUGGAAAAUGGUAGUCUUGACAAAUACUUGUACAAUGGAAACAAGCCAACUCUACAAUGGUCCGAGAGGUAUCGGAUCAUCAAAGUCACUCUCGUGCUCCUACCCAUCAUCCAGUGCAAGGCCUAGCAUGCGGAAGAUCGUGCAAUACCUGGACCGUGCAAUACCUGUCUCCAACUUACGUGAGUUACAACAUGUUAGCAAUGAUGCAGCAUGAAGGGUUCGAUUCGUACAUAAUACCGUCCAAUUCGUCGAAUAGCACUGUGUGUCGUCAGUCUUCGGUGACAAUUCUACAGGAGGGGAGGUGAAGGCUUGCAAGUGACGCCUCUUGUUUUUGUUUCUUGUCUCAUUGUUCCUUUAAGUGCUUGUAAUCCACUUCUGAUGUGAGCUUUCCUUUGAAUAUCUUGUGAACCAGGUAUGCUGGGGGAGCUCUUUUACUAAUGUACGAAACCGAGUUUUCAUAGUGAUAUUUCUAUCUUGUACAUAAGUUUAGUGGUCAUUAGUGAUAUUACCUCAACUUUCCAGUGACAGUCUCUAGCAAGUCGAUCUGCACCCAUGCACAAUUCUCCCAAAUUAAAUGAUUCACCUAGGUACGCUUACUCUAUGCUAGUUAGAGCAUUUCUAACCGAUCCCCUAAAAUUUAGCGGAGUAAAAGGCUUAGUGAAGGGCUUAGUGGAGUAUAUAUAUACUGCACUAGGUUUUGGCUGGACUUAGCCGAUCCCCUAAAUAUAACGAAGUAAAUUUUUGUUUUUUUAAACUUUGUAAUUCUAGUAUAAAUUGCAACUACAUAUUGGCACACAUAUAUAAACUAAACAUAAAUUUAAAUGUUCAACCAAAUUAUGAAUAUAGUUUACAAACUGAAUUUAAACACGCUGAAUGGUUCAACGUAGCAAAUAGCAUUUUAUAGAACAACUAGGACUCGCUUAGACGUUGCCAAUGAUGCUCAACAAGAUCUUGUUGGAGCUGAGUAUGAACUUGACAGUUCUCGAUCUUGCGAUGCCCCUCAAGGGAUGUCAAGAUCUUAUUUGUAUCAUAUUGUGGCUCAACCGGAGUCCUAUUGGUGAUGUACCGAAAGUUCUCAGGCAUAUCUCUCUCGUUUUCAAUGAGCAUGUUAUGCAAUAUGAUACAACAAGUGAUGAUUCGCCAUAGAACCUUGGAGUUUAGUACUCGGCAGGGUCACGAACAAUUGCAAAGCGCUUCUAAAGCACAUUGAAGGAUCUUUCCAUAUUUUUUCUUGCAGCUUCUUGAUAUUGGGCAAAGUAAGUGUUUUUGUUAUCUUUUGAAUACAUAGACAACGAGCUCGAGACCGUGGGAUCCAUCUCCAUGUGAGCAGAUAGCCACUAACUCUAGCCGGCCUAUCAUUCCUAGUACGAGGCAGACGUAUUACGCUGAAUUCAAUGUUUCAGCACACUGAAAAUCAUUCCCCUUAUUUUCCUGCUUCCUUCCACAUGCAACGACGAACGCUCCUUGCCUUGCCCUGUGUGGCACGGUGCUUGAGAGCAACUCCAGCCGCGUCCCCAACAAGGUCCCCCAGGCAACUUUUCGGCCGCCUGCGCCAAAAAAUCGGCCCAGUCGCGUCCCAGGGGCCCAUUUUUCAUCGUCUCGGCCCGAAAUUGGCGUCGGCGGACCCAACCAGAACCCGGCGCCUGGGGGGCGCUCGGGGGCGCUGGGCGAAUCAUUUUUGACGCGAAAGCGCCGUGGGGCAGCCGCGUCAGCGACACCGCCGCCUCGUCUUCCCGACGCCUCGGUUUCCCACGGGGAAUCAAUGGCAAGGCUGCCGCCGGUCAUCUUUGCCAUUGAUUCCUCACGGGCGGCGCGUCACGGGGCGGCGCACCGACGUGCGCCGACGCCUUCCCUCCCUCGGACGCGUACACACGGACGCGGUGCGGCUAUAUAUGGUCUCGCUCGCCGCGUUCGAGUGCCACCUCUCCACACCUCUCCCGAGCGCCGCCGCCGAGCUCCUCUCCCUACCACAGCCCUCCCUCUCCCGCCGGUCUCUUCUCCCCAGCCACUCCCUCUCCCCGAUGGCCGAGCGUUUCCCCGGAGAUGAGGCGGCGGCCAACGGCUUCGGCCGCCGUUCGCUCCGCGAACAGGAGUCCUGGCUCCUGUUCCAGGCGAACAUCCCGGUGCCGCGGGACAUGCGCGCCGGGCCGACGGGCUGGAGGCUCAGCAAUGGGGGAGUGCCCAUUCCCCCGUUGCCCGACGCCGUCAACAAGCCAUCGUACUUCGCCGACGAGGUCGAGAUUGCGCGCGCCUCUCUCAACGACGCCGAGCGCUCCCUUCCCCAGUACGCCGCCGACAACAACGCGGCAUGGACGGCAUACUUUGAACGCUGCCAGCAGCAGCGGCUGGCGUCCACCAACGGGGCGCCGUGUUGGGGAACGUAGCAGAAAUUCAAAAUUUUCCUACGUGUCAUCAAGAUCUAUCUAUGGAGAAACCAGCAACAAGGGGAAGGAGAGUGCAUCUACAUACCCUUGUAGAUCGCUAAGCGGAAGCGUUCAAGAGAACGGGGUUGAAGGAUUCGUACUCGUCGUGAUCCAAAUCACCAGAGAUCCUAGUGCCGAACGGACGGCACCUCCAUGUUCAACACACGUACAGCCCGGUGACGUCUCCCAUGCCUUGAUCCAGCAAUGAGAGAGGGAGAGGUUGAGGAAGACUCCAUCCAGCAGCAGCACAACGGCGUGGUGGUGAUGGAGGAGCGUGGCAAUCCUGCAGGGCUUCGCCAAGCACCGCGGGAGAGGAGAAAGGAGAGAGGUAGGGCUGCGCCUUGAGGGAGAGAUUCUUGUGUCUCUGGCAGCCCCAAAACCGCCACUAUUUAUAGGAGGAGGGGAGGUGGUUGCACCCCCAUCUAGGGUUCCCACCCUAGGGGUGCGGCAUCCCUAGAUGGGACUUGGAGGGGGCGGCCAAGAGGGGGAGAGAGGGGGCGCGCCCUAGGGUGGGCCUUUAGGCCCAUCUGCGCCUAGGGUUUCCCCUUUCCCCUCCUAGCUGCGCCUUGGGCCUUGGUGGGAGGCGCACCAGCCCACUCUGGGGCUGGUCCCUUUCCACACUAGGCCCAUGCAAGCCUGCGGGGCUGGUGGCCCCUCCCUGUGGACCCCCGGAACCCUUUCGGUGGUCCCGGUACAUUACUGGUGACCCCUGAAACACUUCCGGUGGCCAAAACCUCACUUCCUAUAUAUUAUUCUUUACCUCCGGACCAUUCCGGAACUCCUCAUGACAUCCGGGACCUCAUCCGGGACCCCGAACAACAUUCGGUAAUCACAUACAAACUUCCUUUAUAACCCUAGCGUCAUCGAACCUUAAGUGUGUAGACCCUAUGGGUUCGGGAACCAUGCAGACAUGACCGAGACGUUCUCCGGUCAAUAACCAACAGCGGGAUCUGGAUACCCAUGUUGGCUCCCACAUGUUCCACGAUGAUCUCAUCGGAUGAACGACGAUGUCAAGGACUCAAUCGAUCCCGUAUACAAUUCCCUUUGUCUAGCGGUAUUGUACUUGCCUGAGAUUCGAUCGUCGGUAUACCGAUACCUUGUUCAAUCUCGUUACCGGCAAGUCUCUUUACUCGUUCCGUAACACAUCAUCCCGCGAUCAACUCUUUGAUCACAUUGUGCACAUUAUGAUGAUGUCCUACCGAGUGGGCCCAGAGAUACCUCUCCGUCACACGGAGUGACAAAUCCCAGUCUCGAUUCGUGCCAACCCAACAGACACUUUUGGAGAUACCUGUAGUGCACCUUUAUAGCCACCCAGUUACGUUGUGACGUUUGGUACACCCAAAGCAUUCCUACGGUAUCUGGGAGUUGCACAAUCUCAUGGUCUAAGGAAAUGAUACUUGACAUUAGAAAAGUUUUAGCAUACAAACUACGAUCUUUGUGCUAGGCUUAGGAUUGGGUCUUGUCCAUCACAUCAUUCUCCUAAUGAUGUGAUCCCAUUAUCAAUGACAUCCAAUGUCCAUGGUCAGGAAACCGUAACCAUCUAUUGAUCAACGAGCUAGUCAACUAGAGGCUUACUAGGGACAUGGUGUUGUCUAUGUAUCCACACAUGUAUCUGAGUUUCCUAUCAAUACAAUUAUAGCAUGGAUAAUAAACGAUUAUCAUGAACAAGGAAAUAUAAUAAUAACUAAUUUAUUAUUGCCUCUAGGGCAUAUUUCCAACAGUCUCCCACUUGCACUAGAGUCAAUAAUCUAUUUCACAUCGCCAUGUGAUUAACACUCACACGUCACAUCACCAUGUGACCAACAUCCAAAGAGUUUACUAGUGUCAUUAAACUAGUUCACAUCAUCAUGUGAUUAAGACUCGAUGAGUUCUGGAGUUUGAUCAUGUUUUGCUUGUGAGAGAAGGUUUUAGUCAACGGGUCCGCAACAUUCAGAUCCGUAUGUACUUCGCAAAUCUCUAGGUCAUAUUGUAAAUGUUGCUUCCACGCUCCAUUUGGAGCUAUUCCAAAUGGUCGUUCCACUAUACAUAUCCGGUUUGCUACUCAGACUCAUUCGGAUAGGUUUUAAAGCUUGCAUCGACGUAACCCUUUACGUCGAACUCUUUAUCACCUCCAUAAUCGAGAAACAUAUCCUUAUUCCUCUAAGGAUAAUUUUGACCGCUAUCUGGUGAUCCACUCAUUGAUCACCUUUGUGCCCUCUUGCCAGAUAUGUAGCAAGGCACACAUCAGGUGUGGUACACAGCAUAGCAUACUGUAGAGCCUAUGUCUAAAGCAUAGGGGACGACCUUCGUCCUUUCUCUCUUUUCUGCCGUGGUCGAGCUUUAAGUCUUAACUUCAUACCUUACAUCUCAGGCAAGAACUCCUUCUUUGACUGAUCCAUCUUGAACACCUUCAAGAUCAUGUCAAGGUAUAUGCUCAUUUGAAAGUACCAUUAAGCGGUUUUUGAUCUAUCCUCAUAGAUCUUGAUGCUCAAUGUUCAAGUAGCUUAAUCCAGGUUUUCACUUGAAAACACUUUUCAAAUAACCCUAUAUGCUUUACAGAAAAUUCUACAUCAUUUCUGAUUAUCAAUUGUCAACAACAUAUACUCAUCAGAAAUUCUAUAGUGCUCCCACUCACUUCUUUGAAAAUACAAGUUUCAAAUAAACUUUGUAUAAACCCAAAAUCUUUGAUCAUCUUAUCAAAGUGUACAUUCCAACUCCGAGAUGCUUACUCCAGUCCUUAGAAGGAUCGCUGGAGCCAGCAUACCUUUUAGCAUCCUUAGGGUCGACAAAAACUUUCUGAUUGUAUCACAUACAACCUUUCCUUACGAAGACUGGUAAGGAAACUCGUUUUGACAUCCAUCUUCCAAAUUUCAUAAAUGCAGCUAAUGCUAACAUGAUUCCGACGGACUUAAUCAUCGCUACGGAUGAGAAAAUCUCAUCGUAGUCAACUCCUUGAACUUGUGAAAAACUCUUCGCCACAAGUCGAGCUUCAUAGACGGUGACAUUACCGUCCACGUCUGUCUUCUUCUUAAAGAUCCAUUUAUCUCAAUGGCUUGCCGAUCAUCGGGCAAGUCCACUAAAGUCCAUGCUUUGUUAUGAUACAUGGAUCCUAUCUCGGAUUUCAUGGCUUCUAACCAUUUGUCGGAAUAUGGGCCCACCAUCUCUUCUCCAUAGCUCGUAGGUUCAUUGUUGUCUAGCAACAUGACCUUCAAGACAGGAUCACCGUACCACUCCGAAGCAGUACGUGUCCUUAUCGUCCUACGAGGUUCGGUAGUGACUUGAUCCGAAACUUCAUGAUCACUAUCAUAAGCUUCUACUUCAAUUGGUGUAGGUGCCACAUGAACAACUUCCUAUGCCCUGCUACACACUUGUUGAAGUGAUGGUUCAAUAACCUCAUCAAGUCUCCACCAUCCUCCCACUCAAUUUUCCGAGACAAACUUUUCCUCGAGAAAGGACCCGAUUCAAGAAACAAUCCCUAUUGCUUUUGGAUCUGAAUUAGGAGGUAUACCCAACUGUUUUGGGUGUCCUAUGAAGAUGCAUUUUAUCCGCUUUGGGUUCGAGCUUAUCAACCUGAAACUUUUUCACAUAAGCGUUGCUGCCCCAAACUUUUAAGAAACGACAACUUAGGUUUCUCCAAACCAUAGUUUAAACGGUGUCGUCUCAACGGAAUUAUGUGGUGCCCUAUUAAAGUGAGUGCGGAUGUCUCUAAUGCCUAACCCAUGAACGAUAGUGGUAAUUCGAUAAGAGACAUCAUGGUACGCACCAUAUCCAAUACGGUGCAACUAUGAUAUUCGGACACAUCAUCACACUAUGGUGUUCCAGGCGGUAUUAAUUGUGAAACAAUUUCCACAAUGUCUUAAUUGCGUGCCAAAGCUCGUAACUCAGAUACUCAUCUCUAUGAUCAUAUCAUAGACAUUUUAUCCUCUUGUCACAAUGAUCUUCAACUUCACUCUGAAAUUACUUAAACCAUUCAAUAAUUCAGACUUGUGUUUCAUCAAGUAAAUAUACUCAACAUCUACUCGAAUCAUCUGUGAAGUAAGAACAUAACGAUAUUCACUGCAUGCCUCAGAACUCAUAGGACUGCACACAUUAAAAUGUAUUACUUCCAACAAGUUGCUAUCUUGUUCCAUCUUACUGAAAACGGGGCUUUUCAGUCAUCUUGCCCAUGUGGUAUGAUUUGCAUAUCUCAAGUGAUUCAAAAUCAAGUGAGUCCAAACGAUCCAUCUGCAUGGAGUUUCUUCAUGCGUAUACACCAAUAGACAUGGUUCGCAUGUCUCAAACUUUUCAAAAACGAGUGAGUCCAAAGAUCCAUCAACAUGGAGCUUCUUCAUGCGUUUUAUACCAAUAUGACUUACAUGGCAGUGCCACAAGUAAGUGGUACUAUCAUUACUAUCUUAUAUCUUUUGGCAUGAAAAUGUGUAUCACUACGAUCGAGAUUCAAUAAACCAUUCCUUUAGGUGCAAGACCAUUGAAGGUAUUAUUCAAAUAUAUAGAGUAACCAUUAUUCUCCUUAAAUGAAUAACCGUAUUGCGAUAGACAUAAUCCAAUCAUGUCUAUGCUCAACGCAAACACCAAAUGACAAUUAUUCAGGUUUAAUACUAAUCUUGAUGGUAGAGGGAGCGUGCGAUGUUUGAUCACAUCAAACUUGGAAACACUUCCAACACAUAUCGUGAGCUCACGUUUAACUAGUCUCUGUUUAUUCCGUAGCUCUUUUAUUUCGAGUUACUAACACUUAGCAACCGAACUGGUAUCUUAAUACCCUGGUGCUACUAGGAGUACUAGUAAAGUACACAUUAACAUAAUGUAUAUCCAAUAUACUUCUAUCGACCUUGCCAGCCUUCUCAUCUACCAAGUAUCUAGGGUAAUUCUGCUCCAUUGGAUGUUCCCCUUAUUGCAGAAGCACUUAGUCACGGGUUUGGGUUCAACCUUGGGUUUCUUCACUAGAGCAACAUCUGAUUUGUCGUUUCAUGAAGUAUCCCUUCUUGCCCUUGCCCUUCUUGAAACUAGUGGUUUCAUUAACCAUCAACAAUUGAUGCUCCUACUUGACUUCUACUUUCGCGGUGUCAAACAUCGCGAAUACCUCAAGGAUCAUCAUAUCUAUCCCUGAUAUGUUAUAGUUCAUCACGAAGCUCUAGCAGCUUGGUGGCAAUGACUUUGGAGAAACAUCACUAUCUCUGCAAGAUCAACUCCCACUCGAUUCAAGUGAUUGUCGCACUCAGAUAAUCUGAGCACAAGCUCAACGAUUGAGCUUUUCUCCCUUAGUUUGCAGGCUAAGAAAAUUGUUGGAGGUCUCAUACCUCUUGACGUGGGCACGAGCCUGAAAUCUCAAUUUCAGCCCUCAAAACAUCUCAUAUGUCCCGCGACGUUUCGAAAACGUCUUUGGUGCCUCAACUCUAAACCGUUUAACUGAACUAUCACGUAGUUAUCAAAACGUGUAUGUCCGAUGUUCGCAACAUCCACAAACGACGUUUGGGGUUCAGCACACUGAGCGGUGCAUUAAGGACAUAAGCUUUCUACUGUCCGCAUAAUCGCUACUAUCAACUUUCAACUAUAUUUUCUCUAGGAACAUAUCUAAACAGUGGAACUAAAGCGCGAGCUUAUGACAUAAUUUGCAAAGAUCUUUUGACUAUGUUCAGGAUAAUUAAGUUCAUCUUAUGAACUCCCACUCAGAUAGACAUCCCUCUAGUCAUCUAAGUGAUUACAUGAUCCGAGUCAACUAGGCCGUGUCCGAUCAUCAGGUGAGACGAACUAGUCAUCAUCGGUGAACAUCUUCAUGUUGAUCAUAUCUACCAUACGACUCAUGCUCGACCUUUCGGUCUCUUGUGUUCCGAGGCCAUGUAUGUACAUGCUAGGCUCGUCAAGUCAACCUAAGUGUUUCGCGUGUGUAAAUCUGGCUUACACCCGUUGUAUGUGAACGUAAGAAUCUAUCACACCCGAUCAUCACGUGGUGCUUCGAAAAGACGAACUUUCGCAACGGUGCACAGUUAGGGGGAACACUUUCUUGAAAUUUUAAUGAGUGAUCAUCUUAUUUACUACCGUCGUUCUAAGAAAAUAAGAUGCAUAAACAUGAUAAACAUCACAUGCAAUCAAAUAGUGACAUGAUAUGGCCAAUAUCAUUUUGCUCCUUUUGAUCUCCAUCUUCGGGGCUCCAUGAUCAUCAUCGUCACCAGCAUGACACCAUGAUCUCCAUCAUCAUGAUCUCCAUCAUCGUGUCUCCAUGAAGUUGUCUCGCCAACCGAUUACUUCUACUACUAUGGCUACCGAUUAGCAAUAAAGUAAAGUAAUUACAUGGCGUUGUUCAAUGACAUGCAGGUCAUACAAUAAAUAAAGACAACUCCUAUGGCUCCUGCCGGUUGUCAUACUCAUCGACAUGCAAGUCGUGAUUCCUAUUACAAGAACAUGAUCAAUCUCAUACAUCACAUAUCAUUCAUCACAUAUCAUUCAUUACAUUCUUCUUGGCCAUAUCACAUCACAUAGCAUACCCUGCAAAAACAAGUUAGACGUCCUCUAAUUGUUGUUUGCAUAUUUUACGUGGCUGCUAUGGGUUUCUAGCAAGAACGUUUCUUACCUACGCAAAACCACAAUGUGAUAUGCCAAUUGCUAUUUACCCUUCAUAAGGACCCUUUUCAUCGAAUCCGUUCCGACUAAAGUGGGAGAGACUGGCACCCGCUAGCCACCUUAUGCAUCAAGUGCAUGUCAGUCGGUGGAACCUGUCUCACGUAAGAGUACGUGUAAGGUCGGUCCGGGCCGCUUCAUCCCACAAUACCGUCGAAACAAGAUUGGACUAGUAACGGUAAGCAUAUUGAACAAAAUCAGCGCCCACAACUACUUUGUGUUCUACUCGUGCAAAGAAUCUACGCAAUAGACCUAGCUCAUGAUGCCACUGUUGGGGAACGUAGCAAAAAUUCAAAAUUUUCCUACGUGUCACCAAGAUCUAUCUAUGGAGAAACCAGCAAUGAGGGAAAGGAGAGUGCAUCUACAUACCCUUGUAGAUCGCUAAGCGGAAGCGUUUAAGAGAAUGGGGUUGAAGGACUCGUACUCGUCGUGAUCCAAAUCACCGGAGAUCCUAGUGCCAAACGGACGGCACCUCCGUGUUCAACACACGUACAGCCUGGUGACCUCUCCCAUGCCUUGAUCCAGCAAGGAGAGAGGGAGAGGUUGAGGAAGACUCCAUCCAGCAGCAGCACAACGGCGUGGUGGUGAUGGAGGAGCGUGGCAAUCCUGCAGGGCUUCGCCAAGCACCGCGGGAGAGGAGAAGGGAGAGAGGUAGGGCUGUGCCUUGAGGGAGAGGUUCUCGUGUCUCUGGCAGCCCCAAAACCCCCACUAUUUAUAGGAGGAGGGGAGGUGGCUGCGCCCCCAUCUAGGGUUGUUGGGAACGUAGUAAUUUCAAAAAAAUUCCUAUGCACACGCAAGAUCAUGGUGAUGGCAUAGCAACCAGAGGGGAGAGUGUUGUCCACGUACCCUCGUAGACCGUAAGCGGAAGCGUUAUGACAACGCGGUUGAUGUAGUCGUACGUCUUCAUGAUUCGACCGAUCCAAGCACCGAACGUACGACACCUCCGUGUUCAGCACACGUUCAGCUCGAUGACGUUCCCCGGGCUCCAAUCCAGCAAAGCGUCAGGGAUGAGUUCCAUCAGCACGACGGCGUGGUGACGAUGAUGAUGUUCUACCGGCGCAGGGCUUCGCCUAAACUCCGCGACGAUAUGACCGAGGUGGAAUAUGGUGGAGGGGGGCACCGCACACGGCUAAGGAACGAUCCGUAGAUUAACUUGUCUGUUCUAGGGUGCCCCCCUGCCCCAGUAUAUAAAGGAGCAAGGGGGGAGGAGGCCAGCCCUAGGAGGGGGCGCGCCAAGGGGAGUCCUACUCCCACCGGGAGUAGGACUCCCUCCUUCCUUGUUGGAGUAGGAGAAGGGGGGAAAGAGGGGGAGAGGAGGAAGGAAAGGGGUGCCGCACCCCUUGUCCAAUUCGGACCAGAGGGGGGCUGCGCGCCUCCUUCCUUUCGGCCUCUCUCCUCUAUUCCCGUAUGGCCCAAUAAGGCCCAUAUACUCCCCGGCGAAUUCCCGUAACUCUCCGGUACUCCGAAAAAUACCCGAAUCACUCGGAACCUUUCCGAACUCCGAAUAUAGUCGUCCAAUAUAUCGAUCUUUACAUCUCGACCAUUUCGAGACUCCUCAUCAUGUCCCCGAUCUCAUUCGGGACUCCGAACUCCUUCGGUACAUAAAAACUCAUAAACUCAUAAUAUAACUGUCAUCGAAACCUUAAGCGUGCAGAUCCUACGGGUUCGAGAACUAUGUAGAAAUGACCUAGAAAUGUUUCCGGUCAAUAACCAAUAGUGGAACCUGGAUGUUCAUAUUGGCUCCUACAUAUUGUACGAAGAUCUUUAUCGGUCAAACCGCAUAACAACAUACGUUGUUCCCUUUGUCAUCGGUAUGUUACUUGCCCGAGAUUCGAUCGUCGGUAUCCAAUACCUAGUUCAAUCUCGUUACCGGCAAGUCUCUUUACUCGUUCCGUAAUACAUCAUCCCACAACUAACUCAUUAGUCGCAACGCUUGCAAGGCUUAAGUGAUGUGUAUUACCGAGAGGGCCCAGAGAUACCUCUCCGACAAUCGAAGUGACAAAACAUAAUCUCGAAAUACGCCAACCCAACAUGUACCUUCGGAGACACCUGUAGAGCACCUUUAUAAUCACCCAGUUACGUUGUGACGUUUGGUAGCACACAAAGUGUUCCUCUAGUAAACGGGAGUUGCAUAAUCUCAUAGUCACAGGAACAUGUAUAAGUUAUGAAGAAAGCAGUAGCAACAUACUAAACGAUCGUGUGCUAAGCUAACGGAAUGGGUCAAGUCAAUCACAUCAUUCUCCUAAUGAUGUGAUCCCGUUGAUCAAAUGACAACUCUUUUGUCCAUGGCUAGGAAACUUAACCAUCUUUGAUUCACAAGCUAGUCAAGUAGAGGCAUACUAGUGUCACUAUUUUUGUCUAUGUAUUCAUACAUGUAUUAUGUUUCCGGUUAAUACAAUUCUAGCAUGAACAAUAAACAUUUAUCAUGAAAUAAGGAAAUAAAUAAUAACUUUAUUAUUGCCUCUAGGGCAUAUUUCCUUCAGUCUCCCACUUGCACAAGAGUCAAUAAUCUAGUUCACAUCACCAUGUGAUUUAACACUAAUAUUCACAUCCGUAUGUGAUUAAUACCCAUAGUUCACAUCGUCAUGUGAUCAACGCCCAAAGGGUUUACUAGAGUCAAUAAUCUAGUUCACAUGGCUAUGUGAUUAACACCCAAAAAGUACUAAGGUAUGACCAUGUUUUGCUCAUGAGAGAAGUUUAGUCAACGGGUCUGUCACAUUCAGAGCCGUAUGUAUUUUGCAAAUAUUCUAUGUCCAUAAUGCUCUGCACGGAGCUACUCUAGCUAAUUGCUCCCACUUUCAAUAUGUAUCCAGAUUGAGACUUAGAGUCAUCUGGAUUGGUGUAAAAGCUUGCAUCAUUGUAACUUUUACGACUGGCUCUUUUAUCACCUCCAUAAUCGAGAAACAUCUCCUUAGUCCUCACUAAGGAUAUUCUUGACCGCUGUUCUAGCGAUCUACUUUUAGAUCAAAAUUGUAUUUCUUUGCCAAACUCAGAGCAAGGUAUACAAUAGGUCUAGUACACAGCAUAGCAUACUUUAUAGAACCUAUGACUGAGGCAUAGGGAAUGACUGUUCAUUCUUUUCUAUUUUCUGCCAUGGUCGGGUUUUGAGUCUUACUCAACUUCACACCUUGCAACACAGGCAAGAACUCUUUCUUUGACUGUUCCAUUUUGAACUACUUCAAAAUCUUGUCAAGGUAUGUACUCAUUGAAAAACUUAUCAAGCGUCUUGAUCUAUCUCUAUAGAUCUUGAUGCUUAAUGUGUAUGCAGCUUCACCAAGGUCAUUCUUUGAAAAACUCCUUUCAAACACUCCUUUAUGCUUUUCAGAAAAAUUCUACAUUAUUUCCGAUCAACAAUAUGUCAUUCACAUAUACUUAUCAGAAAUGUUGUAGUGCUCCCACUCACUUUCUUGUAAAUACAGGCUUCACCGCAAGUCUGUAUUAAAACUAUAUGCUUUGAUCAACUUAUCAAAGCGUAUAUUCCAACUCCGAGAUGCUUGCACCAGUCCAUUGAUGGAUCGCUGGAGCUUGCACAUUUUGUUAGCACCUUUCAGAUCGACAAAACCUUCUGGUUGCAUCAUAUACAACUCUUCUUUAAAAAAUCGAUUAAGGAAUGCAGUUUUGACAUCCAUUUGCCAGAUUUCAUAAAAUGUGGCAAUUGCUAACAUGAUUCAGACAGACUUAAGCAUAGAUACGAGUGAAAAACUCUCAUCGUAGUCAACACCUUGAACUUGUCGAAAACCUUUUGCAACAAGUCGAGCUUAGUAGAUAGUAACACUACUAUCAGUGUCUGUCUUCCUCUUGAAGAUCCAUUUAUUUAACAUGGCUUGCUGAUCAGAGCAAGUCAAUCAAAGUCCAUACUUUGUCCUCAUACAUGGAUCAUAUCUCAGAUUUUAUGGCCUCAAGCCAUUUCGUGGAAUCUGGGCUCACCAUCGCUUCUUCAUAGUUCGUAGGUUCAUCAAGAUCUAGUAGCAUGACUUCCAGAACAGGAUUGCCGUACCACUCUGGUGCGGAUCUUACUCUGGUUUACCUACGAGAUUCAGUAGUAACUUGAUCUGAAGUUACAUGAUCAUCAUCAUUAGCUUCCUCACUAAUUGGUGUAGUAGUCACAGGAACAGAUUUCUAUGAUGAACUACUUUCCAAUAAGGGAGAAGGUACAAUUACCUUAUCAAGUUCUACUUUCCUCCCACUCACUUCUUUCGAGAGAAACUCCUUCUCUAGAAAGGAUCCAUUCUUAGCAACGAAUGUCUUGCCUUCGGAUCUGUGAUAGAAGGUGUACCCAACUUUCUCCUUUGGGUAUCCUAUGAAGACACAUUUCUCCAAUUUGGAUUUGAGUUUAUCAGGAUGAAACUUUUUCACAUAAGCAUCGCAACCCCAAACUUUAAGAAACGACAACUUUGGUUUCUUGCCAAACCACAGUUCAUAUUGUGUCGUCUCAACGGACUUAGGUGGUGCCCCUUUUUAACGUGAAUGCAGCUGUCUUUAAUGCAUAACCCCAAAAUGAUAAUGGUAAAUCAGUAAGAGACAUCAUGGAUCGCACCAUAUCUAAUAAAGUGCGGUUGCGACGUUCGGACACACCAUAACGUUGUGGUGUUCCAGGUGGCGUGAGCUGUGAAACUAUUCCACAUUGUUUUAAUUGAAGACCAAACUCUUAACUCAAAUAUUCGUCUCCGCGAUCAGAUCGCAGAAACUUUAUUUUCUUGUUAUGAUGAUUUUUCCACUUCACUCUGAAAUUCUUUGAACCUUUCAACUAUUUCAGACUUAUGUUUCAUCAAGUAGAUAUACCCAUAUCUGCUCAAAUCAUCUUGUGAAGGUCAGAAAAUAACAAUACUUGCCACGAGCAUCAACACUCAUUGGAUCGUAUACAUCGGUAUGUAUUAUUUCCAAUAAGUUAGUAGCUUGUUCCAUUGUUCCGGAGAACGGAGUUUUAGUCAUCUUGCCCAAAAGGCACGGUUCGCAAGCAUCAAAUGAUUCAUAACCAAGUGAUUUCAAAAAAUCCAUCUUUAUGGAGUUUCUUCAUGCGCUUUACACCGAUAUGACCCAAACGGCAGUGCCACAAAUAAGUUGCACUAUCAUUAUUAACUUUGUAUCUUUUGGCAUCAAUAUUAUGAAUAUGUGUAUCACUACGAUUGAGAUCCAACAAACUAUUUUCAUUGGGUGUAUAACCAUCGAAGGUCUUAUUCAUGUAAACAGAAUAACAAUUAUUCUUUAACUUUAAAUGAAUAACCGUAUCGCAAUAAACAUGAUCAAAUCAUAUUCAUGCUCAACGCAAAUGCCAAAUAACAUUUAUUUAGGUUUAACACUAAUCCCGAAAGUAUAGGGAGUGUGCGAUGAUGAUCAUAUCAAUCUUGGAACCACUUCCAACACUCAUCGUCACUUCCCGUUCAACUAGUCUCUGUUUAUAUAACUCCUGUUUCGAGUUACUAAUCUUAGCAACUGAACAAGUAUCAAAUACUCAGGGGCUACUAUAAACACUAGUAAGGCACACAUCAAUAACCUGUAUAUCAAAUAUACCCUUGUUCACUUCGACAUCCUUCUUAUCCACCAAAUAUUCAAGGCAUUUCCGCUUCUAGUGACCAUUUCCUUUGCAGUGUAAGCACUCAGUUUCAGGCUUUGGUCCAGCUGUGGGCUUCUUCGCGGGAGUGACAACUUGCUUGUCAUUCUACUUGAAGUUCCCUUUCUAUCCCUUUGCCCUUUUCUUGAAACUAGUGGUCUUGUCAAUCAUCAACAUUUGAUGCUCUUUCUUGAUUUCCACCUUCGUCGAUUUCAACAUCACGAAGAGCUCGGGAAUUGUUUUCAUCAUCCCUUGCAUACUAUAGUUCAUCACAAAGUUCUACUAACUUAGUGAUGGUGACUAGAGAACUCUGUCAAUCACUAUGGAAGAUUAACUCCCACUUGAUUCAAGCGAUUGUAGUACCCAGACAAUCUGAGCACAUGCUCACUAGUUGAGCGAUUCUUCUCCAUCUUUUAGCAAUAGAACUUGUUGGAGACUUCAUAUCUCUCAACUCGGGUAUUUGCUUGAAAUAUUAACUUCAACUCCUGGAACAUCUCAUAUGGUCCAUGACGUUCAAAACGUCUUUGAAGUCCCGAUUCUAAGCCAUAAAGCAUGGUGUACAAAACUAUCAAGUAGUCAUGAUAUCAAGUAGUCAUCAUAUCAAGUAGUCAUCAUUUGCUCCUGCAAUAGGUCUAUCACCUAGCGGUGCAUCAAGGACAUAAUUCUUCUGUGCAGCAAUGAGGAUAAACCUCAGAUCACGGAUCCAAUCCGCAUCAUUGCUACUAACAUCUUUCAACACAAUUUUCUCUAGGAACAUAUCAAAAUAAACAUAUGAAAGCAACAACGCAAGCUAUUGAUUUACAACAUAAUUUGCAAAAUACUACCAGGACUAAGUUCAUGAUAAAUUAAAGUUCAAUUAACCAUAUUACUUAAGAACUCCCACUUAGAUAGAUAUCUCUCUAGUCAUCUAAGUGAUUACGUGAUCCAAAUCAACUAAACCAUAACCGAUCAUCGCGUGAGAUGGAGUAGCUUUCAAUGGUGAACAUCACUAUGUUGAUCAUAUCUACUAUAUGAUUCACGCUCGACCUUUCGGACUCUGUGUUCCGAGGCCAUAUCUGCAUAUGCUAGGCUCGUCAAGUAUAACCUGAAUAUUCUGCGUGUGCAAAACUGACGUGCACCCGUUGUAGAUGGACGUAGAGCUUAUCACACCCGAUCAUCACGUGGUGUCUGGGCACGACGAACUUUGGUAACGGUGCAUAUUCAGGGAGAACACUUCUUGAUAAUUUUUAGUGAGAGAUCAUCUUAAAAUGCUACCGUUAAUCAAAGCAAGAUAAGAUGCAUAAAGGAUAAACAUCACAUGCAAUCAAUAUAAGUGAUAUGAUAUGGCCAUCAUCAUCUUGUGCUUGUGAUCUCCAUCUCCGAAGCACCGUCGUGAUCACCAUCGUCACCGGUGCGACACCUUGAUCUCCAUCGUAGCAUCGUUGUCGUUUACGCCAUCUAUUGCUUCUACGACUAUCGCUACCGCUUAGUGAUAAAGUAAAGCAAUUGCAGGGCGUUUGCAUUUCAUACAAUAAAGCGACAACCAUAUGGCUCCUGCCAGUUGCCGAUAACUUCGGUUACAAAACAUGAUCAUCUCAUACAAUAAAUAUAGCAUCACGUCUUGACCAUAUCACAUCACAACAUGCCCUGCAAAAACAAGUUAGACGUCCUCUACUUUGUUGUUGCAAGUUUUACGUGGCUGCUACGGGCUUAGCAAGAACCGUUCUUACCUACGCAUCAAAACCACAACGAUAGUUCGUCAAGUUAGUGUUGUUUUAACCUUCGCAAGGACCGGGCGUAGCCACACUCGGUUUAACUAAAGUUGGAGAAACUGACACCCGCCAGCCACCUGUGUGCAAAGCACGUCGGUAGAACCAGUCUCGCGUAAGCGUACGCGUAAUGUCGGUUCGGGCCGCUUCAUCCAACAAUACCGCCGAACCAAAGUAUGACAUGCUGGUAAGCAGUAUGACUUGUAUCGCCCACAACUCACUUGUGUUCUACUCGUGCAUAUAACAUCAAUGCAUAAAACCUAGGCUCGGAUGCCACUGUUGGAAACGUAGUAAUUUCAAAAAAAUUCCUAUGCACACGCAAGAUCAUGGUGAUGGCAUAGCAAUGAGAGGGGAGAGUGUUGUCCACGUACCCUCGUAGACGUAAGCGGAAGCGUUAUGACAACGCGGUUGAUGUAGUCGUACGUCUUCACACUUCGACCGAUCCAAGCACCGAAAGUACGGCACCUUCGUGUUCAGCACACGUUCAGCUCGAUGACGUUCCCCGGGCUCCAAUCCAGCAAAGCGUCGGGGAUGAGUUUCGUCAGCACGACGGCGUGGUGACGAUGAUGAUGUUCUACCGGCGCAGGGCUUCGCCUAAACUCCUUGACGAUAUGACCGAGGUGGAAUAUGGUGGAGGGGGGCACCGCACACGGCUAAGGAAUGAUCCGUAGAUUAACUUGUCUGUUCUAGGGUGCCCCCCUGCCCCCGUAUAUAAAGGAGCAAGGGGGGAGGAGGCCAGCCCUAGGAGGGGGCGCGCCAAGGGGAGUCCUACUCCCACCGGGAGUAGGACUCCCUCCUUCCUUGUUGGAGUAGGAGAAGGGGGGAAAGAGGGGGAGAGGAGGAAGGAAAGGGGUGCCGCACCCCUUGUCCAAUUCGGACCAGAGGGGGGCUGCGCGCCUCCUUCCUUUCGGCCUCUCUCCUCUAUUCCCGUAUGGCCCAAUAAGGCCCAUAUACUCCCCGGCGAAUUCCCGUAACUCUCCGGUACUCCGAAAAAUACCCGAAUCACUCGGAACCUUUCCGAACUCCGAAUAUAGUCGUCUAAUAUAUCGAUCUUUACGUCUCGACCAUUUCGAGACUCCUCGUCAUGUCCCCGAUCUCAUUCGGGACUCCGAACUCCUUCGGUACAUAAAAACUCAUAAACUCAUAAUAUAACUGUCAUCGAAACCUUAAGCGUGCGGAUCCUACGGGUUCGAGAACUAUGUAGACAUGACCUAGAACUGUUUCCGGUCAAUAACCAAUAGUGAAACCUGGAUGUUCAUAUUGGCUCCUACAAAUUCUACGAAGAUCUUUAUCGGUCAAACCGCAUAACAACAUACGCUGUUCCCUUUGUCAUCGGUAUGUUACUUGCCCGAGAUUCGAUCAUCGGUAUCCAAUACCUAGUUCAAUCUCGUUACCGGCAAGUCUCUUUACUCGUUCCGUAAUACAUCAUCCCACAACUAACUCAUUAGUUGCAAUGUUUGCAAGGCUUAAGUGAUGUGUAUUACCGAGAGGGCCCAGAGAUACCUCUCCGACAAUCGGAGUGACAAAACCUAAUCUCGAAAUACGCCAACCCAACAUGUACCUUCGGAGACACCUGUAGAGCACCUUUAUAAUCACCCAGUUACGUUGUGACGUUUGGUAGCACACAAAGUGUUCCUCUGGUAAACGGGAGUUGCAUAAUCUCAUAGUCACAGGAACAUGUAUAAGUUAUGAACAAAGCAGUAGCAACAUACUAAACGAUCGUGUGCUAAGCUAACGGAAUGGGUCAAGUCAAUCACAUCAUUCUCCUAAUGAUGUGAUCCCAUUGAUCAAAUGACAACUCUUUUGUCCAUGGCUAGGAAACUUAACCAUCUUUGAUUCACGAGCUAGUCAAGUAGAGGCAUACUAGUGCCACUAUGUUUGUCUAUGUAUUCACACAUGUAUUAUGUUUCCGGUUAAUACAAUUCUAGUAUGAAUAAUAAACAUUUAUCAUGAAAUAAGAAAAUAAAUAAUAACUUUAUUAUUGCCUCUAGGGCAUAUUUUCUUCAAGGGUUCCCACCCUAGGGGUGCGGCAGCCCUACAUGGGACUUGGAGGGGGCGACCAAGAGGGGGAGAGAGGGGGCGCGCCCUAGGGUGGGCCUUUAGGCCCAUCUGCGCCUAGGGUUUCCCCUCUCCCCUCCUAGCUGCGCCUUGGGCCUUGGUGGGAGGCGCACCAGCCCACUCUAGGGCUGGUCCCUUUCCACACUAGGCCCACGCAAGCAUGCGGGGCUGGUGGCCCCUCCCUGUGGACCCCCGGAACCCUUCCGGUGGUCCCGGUACAUUACCGGUGACCCCGGAAACACUUCCGGUGGCCAAAACCUCAUUUCCUAUAUAUUAUUCUUUACCUCCGGACCAUUCCGGAACUCUUCGUGACGUCCGGGAUCUCAUCCGGGACCCUGAACAACAUUCGGUAACCACAUACAAACUUCCUUUAUAACCCUAGCGUCAUCGAACCUUAAGUGUGUAUACCCUACGGGUUCGGGAAUCAUGCAGACAUGACCGAGACGUUCUCCGGUCAAUAACCAACAGCAGGAUCUGGAUACCCAUGUUGGCUCCCACAUGUUCCACGAUGAUCUCAUCGGAUGAACCACGAUGUCAAGGACUCAAUCGAUCCCGUAUACAAUUCCCUUUGUCUAGCGGUAUUGUACUUGUCUGAGAUUCGAUCGUCGGUAUACCGAUACCUUGUUCAAUCUCAUUACCGGCAAGUCUCUUUACUUGUUCCGUAACACAUCAUCCCGCGAUCAACUCUUUGAUCACAUUGUGCAUAUUAUGAUGAUGUCCUACCGAGUGGGCCCAGAGAUACCUCUUCAUCACACGGAGUGACAAAUCACAGUCUCGAUUCGUGCCAUCCCAACAAACACUUUCGGAGAUACCUGUAGUGCAUCUUUAUAGCCACCCAGUUACGUUGUGACGUUUGGUACACCCAAAGCAUUCCUACGGUAUCCGGGAGUUGCACAAUCUCAUGGUCUAAGGAAAUGAUACUUGACAUUAGAAAAACUUUAGCAUACGAACUACGAUCUUUGUGCUAGGCUUAGGAUUGGAUCUUGUCCAUCACAUCAUUCUCCUAAUGAUAUGAUCCCGUUAUCAAUGACAUCCAAUGUCCAUGGUCAGGAAACCGUAACCAUCUAUUGAUCAAUGAGCUAGUCAACUAGAGGCUUACUAGAGACAUGGUAUUGUCUAUGUAUCCACACAUGUAUCUGAGUUUCCUAUCAAUACAAUUAUAGCAUGGAUAAUAAACGAUUAUCAUGAACAAGGAAAUAUAAUAAUAACUAAUUUAUUAUUGCCUCUAGGGCAUAUUUCCAACACGCCGGUGACCGGCGGCAUCAAGAACAGCGAGGGGCGCCACCUCUGGUGGGGCGUCCCCGGCCGCACCCUCGACGGCGUGCUGACGCACCUCGAGCGCGGCAACAACCCCCCGUUGACGUACCCCCCGGCGAGGUCGACCACCCCGGCGCACCGCCGACGCGACGGGGAAUGGGCGCCAAGGAGGUUCGGCUCCUCCUCCUCUUCUUCCUCAUCACGUUCUUCCUCCCAGUCCUCCGGCACUCCAUCGCUGCUCGGCGUCAAGGCCGAGCUCGCGGCGGAGACGCCGCUCGGCCGGUGUACACGCAGCGCCGGUAUCGUCAUCAGCGAGGGCGGCCGGCGCGCCUCCUCGUCGGCUCCUUCCCCGCGCUUCGUCAAGCCGAAGACGGAGCCGGGUCUCGCGCCGAUGAAGACGGAGCCGGGGCUAGCGCCGGUGAAGACGGAGCCGGGGCUGCUGGUGCCGGUGAAGGCGGAGCACGGCGAGGUCGAGCUGGACGACGACGCGGCCCUUGAAUGGGCGCGCCAAGACUCCCUGAAGAUGGCGAGGGAGCGCCAGCGCGCCGCCGUACAGCGCUUCGCGCAGCGCCGCCGAGGCCGCGACGAAGGCGGCGUCGUCAUCAUCGACGAUAGUGGCGACGACGACGACGACGUGCCGCCGCCGCCACCACCAGCCGGGGAGGGGUCCAGCAGGGGCGCCCGAGUCAAGUAGGAGAAGGCCGACGAUGGCGGCGACGACGGCGACUUCUCGGCCUUCAGGAAGUUUUUUUUGACUAGUUUUUAUAUGUAAUGGCAUGUUUUAGCCCAAGUUUACGAAUAUUAAAGCCCAAGUUUGCCGAAAAUUGACGUGUUUCAGCUCAAAUUUGUCUUUUUUUUUCACGCAUGGGGCCGGCUCUGGGGGCGGCGGCUAGGGGCCAACUCGCGAGGUCGAGAAAAUGGACUCCAUGGGAGCAGAUAGCCAUUAACUGUAGCAGGCCUAUCUAUCAUUCGUAGUAGUACGAGGCAGACGUAUUGCGUUGAAAUUCGUAGUAGAACGAGGCAGACGUAUUACGUUGAAUUCAACGUUUCAGCACACAGAAAAUCAUUUCCGGUAUCGGCCAUAGGAGGUACCCUCCCCCUUAUUUUCCUGCUUUCUUCCACGUGCAACGACGAACGCUCCUUGCCUUGCCCCGCGCGGCACGGUGCUUAUUAUAGUACCUAGCUAAAGGGUCACUGCGAAAGAUACUCAAGAAAAAUGGUAUUCCUUGUCAAAAUACGUCCUCCUCAGUGUAGUUUCCACAGCCCAAAGCUAGAAAACCAAGCCUGCAAGGCUCCAAUCACCCAUCAACAACGUCAGAAGAAGAACCUUGGUCUGCUAGCUCCUCCUUGCAAGUGUGACAAGGCGCCAUGCUUUCUCAGUCUCUGCUCGCGCUUGGUUUGCUCCUCCUGCUGAGCCUGAGCCUCGACAGAGAGGUGGCUCUAGCGGCGGAAGACGGCGAGUUCGCCUACCAAGGCUUCGCCACGGCGAACCUUACGCUGGAUGGCCUCGCCACCGUCAUGCCCAACGGCCUCCUGCUGCUCACCGACACGGAGUCCGCGAACACGGGCCAUGCCUUCCACCCCGCGCCACUCCAGUUCCUCGAAAGUUCCACCACGACGACGAACAGCACCACCAUGGCGCGGUCCUUCUCCGUGACCUUCGUGUUUGCCAUUUCGUCCAGGUACGAUGGCCUGACCAGCUACGGGCUUGCGUUCGUGGUCGCUCCGACCUCGAACCUCUCGGCUGCGAACGGCAGGCGGUACAUGGGCCUCCUCAACGCGACAAACGGCACGGCGAGCGACCGCAUCCUGGCGGUCGAGCUCGACACCAUCAUGGACGUCGCGUUCCGCGACAUCGACAGCAACCACGUCGGCAUCGACGUCAACAGCCUCGUCUCACGGCAGGCCAAGCCGGCUGGGUACUACAGCAACGAGAACGGCGCCUUCCAAGAUCUGAGGUUGAACAGCCGCAGGCCGAUGCAGGUGUGGGUGGACUACGACGCCCAAGCCAGGCGAAUCAAUGUGACAUUAGCACCUGUGCAGGUACCAAGGCCCAGGAAUCCUCUGCUCUCCGAGGUUAUUGAUCUCUCCACGGUCAUGGUGGACGAAAUGUAAGUCGGCUUUUCUGCUUCUAGCGGUACUCCCGGUGACAAUCACCACUCUGUCCUUGGAUGGAGUUUCAGCUUCGACGGACCCGCCCCGACGCUUGACUUCUUCAAGCUUCCCGCCCUGCCAUGGCUAGGUCCCAAGCCUCGGUCCAAGAUCUUGAACAUCGUGUUGCCACUGGCAGCGGUAUCGCUUGUCAUUGCCGUGCUAGCUGCCGCAUUCUUCUUCUUGUGGCAUCGGUGCCGAUUUGCUGAGGUGAGAGAAGACUGGGAGGAUGAGUUCGGCCCACAUCGUUUUGCAUACAAGGAUUUAUUUCAUGCCACCGAGGGGUUUUCUAGUAGGAAUUUACUUGGAGUAGGAGGAUUUGGAAGAGUGUACAGAGGAUUGCUUUCCGCGUCCAAUUUGGAGGUUGCCGUCAAGAGGGUGUCACAUGAUUCGAAACAAGGACUAAGGGAGUUCAUUGCGGAGGUGGUGAGCAUUGGCCGUCUCCACCACCGGAAUCUCGCCCGGUUACUAGGCUCCGUCGAAAGGGUGAACUUCUCUUGGUUUAUGAGUACAUGGAAAAUGGUAGUCUUGACAAGUAUUUGUAUACUCAAAAUAAGCCGGCUCUACAUUGGUCCGAGAGGUAUCGGAUCAUCAAAGGUGCUGCAUCAAGCUUGUUGUAUCUUCAUGAGGAAUGGGAGCAAAUUGUCAUCCAUUGAGAUAUAAAGGCUAGCAAUGUGCUCUUGGACAGUCAGAUGAAUGGACGGCUCGGUGAUUUUGGUCUAGCAAGGUUAUACGACCAUGGCACAAUUUCUAAAACAACACAUGUGGUGGGCACUAUGGGGUACCUUGCACCGGAACUUAUACGCACCGGGAAGGCAACACCCUUAACCGAUGUGUUUGCAUUUGGUGUGUUUCUCCUUGAGGUCGCAUGUGGUCGUAGGCCAAUCAACAAUAGCAAGGAUAUCACAAAGUUAGUGUUGGUCGAUUGGGUGCUUGAACAUCACCGCAACGGCUCAAUUCUCGACGUGGUCGAUCCACGUCUUAUGGGGAAUUUCAACACAGAGGAAGCCACCCUCCUGCUCAAAUUAGGUUUGUUAUGCUCCUACCCAUCAGCCAAUGCAAGACCUAGCAUGCGAAAGCUCAUGCAAUACCUGGACCGCGACUAGUCAAUUCCUGACCUGUUCGCCUACAUGAGUUACAACAGGAUAGCAAUGAUGCAGAAUGAAGGGUUCGAUUCAUACAUAAUGUCGUACCCUUCAUCGAAUACGAAUAUCUGUGUCGUAUCUGGUGAGUCUUCGGUGUCGAUUCUUGAAGAGGGAAGGUGAAUGCUUUUAGUUUACACCUCUUUUUUUGUUCUUCUCUCAAUGUUCCUUAAGAACUUGUAAUCCAUAUUGGAUCUGAGUUUGUCUAAGUGAACUGGUUCUAUCUCAUACAUGAAUUUCAAUAAUCAGUAACACUUUUGGUAAGGAAAUAGUGGUAACCGCCAUUUGCCGAGACUCCGGAGUCCACUAAUAGUCCCUGGUGAGGUGUAAGCUUAGUUAUGGAUUUGCUUAGCGAUAUCCUAAGAGCAUCUCAACCAGAUGAUGAAAAAUUGGUGUCGUGAAAACAAUAUAGGGCAGAAGAGAGAGAAAAUUCAUCACCGCCAAGGUUGUUGCUUUAACAGAUGUGGUAAAAGUGAUGCCCAAAAUGUUUUGCCCUCCUCAGCCACCGUUCUUCACUCCAACAUUGCAUAAAUAGUUCAAACAAAAACCUGUGAUUACGGGGAAUUUGGCUACGGUCUCCCCUAAUCUCUCCGUUAAACCUCCCACUAGUAGAAAAAGCCCCAUUCGUCUCGGUUGGUAAAGGUCUUUUGUCCCGGUUCUUAAACCGGGACUAAAGGGUCGUUAAAUUCCUCAUGUUUGUGCUCAUCCCAUGUACGUACACCGUUUUCAUUCCACAGCUAUAAAAGUUCUUCAACUAAUGGCCUUAGGUACACAUCAAUGUCGUUGUCGGGUUGCUUAGGGCUGAGAACUGGCAUCAUAAUAAACUUCCGCUUCAUGCACAUCCAAGGAGGAAGGUUAUACAUACAUAGAGUCACGGGCCAGGUGCUGUGAUUGCUGCUCUGCUCCCCGAAAGGAUUAAUGCCAUCUACGCUUAAACCAAACCAUACGUUCCUUGGGUCACCUGCAAACUCAGUCCAGUACCUUCUCUCGAUUUUUCUCCACUGCGACCCGUCAGCGGGUGCUCUCAAUUUCCCGUCUUUCUUACGGUCCUCACUGUGCCAUCGCAUCAACUUGGCAUGCUCUUCGUUUUUGAACAGACAUUUCAACCGUGGUAUUAUAGGAGCAUACCAUAUCAACUUCGCAGGAACCCUCUUCCUGGGGGGCUCGCCGUCAACAUCACCAGGGUCAUCUCGUCUGAUCUUAUACCGCAAUGCACCGCAUACCGGGCAUGUGUUCAGAUCCUUGUAUGCACCGCGGUAGAGGAUGCAGUCAUUAGGGCAUGCAUGUAUCUUCUACACCUCCAAUCCUAGAGGGCAUACGACCUUCUUUGCUGCGUAUGUACUGCCGGACAAUUCGUUAUCCUUUGGAAGCUUCUUCUUCAAUAUUAUCAGUAGCUUCUCAAAUCCUUUGUCAGGCACAGCAUUCUCUGCCUUCCACUGCAGCAAUUUCAGUACGGUACCGAGCUUUGUGUUGCCAUCAUCGCAAUUGGGGUACAACCCUUUUUUGUGAUCCUCUAACAUGCGAUCAAACUUCAGCUUCUCCUUUUGACUUUCACAUUGCGUCCUUGCAUCGACAAUGACCUGGCGGAGAUCAUCAUCAUCGGGCACAUCGUCUGGUUCCUCUUGAUCUUCAGCAGCUUCCCCUGUUGCAGUAUCAUUGGGCACAUCAUCUGGUUCCUCUUGAUCUUCAACAGCUUCCCCCGUUGCAGCAUCACCGUAUUCAGGGGGCACAUAGUUGUCAUCGUCCUCUUCUUCUUCCCCGUCUUUCAUCAUAACCCCUAUUUUUCCAUGCCUCGUCCAAACAUUAUAGUGUGGCAUGAAACAAUUAUAAAGCAGGUGGGUGUGAAGGAUUUUCCAGUCAGAGUAAGACUUCGUAUUCCCAUAUUUAGGGCAUGGACAACACAUAAAACCAUUCUGCUUCUUUGCCUCAGCCACUUCGAGAAAAUCAUGCACGCCCUUAAUGUACUCGGAGGUGUGUCUGUCACCGUACAUCCAUUGCCGGUUCAUCUGCGUGCAUUAUAUAUAAUUAAGUGUGUCCAAAACCAUUACAGAACAUCAUGAAUAGAUAAUUAAGAGACCAAAUUAAUAGAAGUUCAUCAUCACAUUAAAACCAAAGUACAUACAUAGUUCUCAUCUAACAACAUAAAGCUCUCCAGAGCAUCUAAAUUAAUUAACCAUACAUUGAAAUUAUGUAAAACAUUUCAAUGCGAAAACAAAUGCGAUCAUAAUCGCAAUCAAGGUAACAACUGAUCCAACUGCAUAAUGAUACCAAGCCUCGGUAUGAAUGGCAUAUUUUCUAAUCUUUAUAAUCUUCAAGCGCAUUGCAUCCAUCUUGAUCUUGUGAUCAUCGACGACAUCCGCAACAUGCAACUCCAAUAUCAUCUUCUUCUCCUCAAUUUUUCUUAUUUUCUCCUUCAAGAAAUUGUUUUCUUCUUCAACUAAAUUUAACCUCUCGACAAUAGGGUCGGUUGGAAUUUCCGGUUCAACAACCUCCUAGAUAAAUAAUAUCUAUGUCACGUUGGUCGGCAUAAUUGUCAUAAACAAUAAAUGAACCAAUAGUUAUGAAAAGAUAAUAUAUACCACAUCCGAAUCAUAGACAGGAGGAGGGCCGACGGGGGCGGAUACCAAAACCAUCGCACUAUAUAAUAACAAGCAAUAAAAUAGUAAGAAAAUUAGACAAGUAUCUAUCUAAAGCAAGAAUUUUUUUUCUUUCAGAAAGAAGAUAAGAACAAGAGGCUCAUCACGGUGGUGCCGGCGACGAGAUCGGCGCGGGCGAUCGACGACAGUGAAGACGGGGACGGGGCGUGACGGCCGCUAAUAUAAACCUAGACAAAUCUCGGGAAAAAUAGAGUUCGAAGGUCGUGCUUCGAGAGGAGAAAGCUUAACUAGUGUGGCUCGGGCAUUUCAUCGAACACCUCAUGUGCAUAGAAGGUGAGCUAGAGCACCACAAAGCCCUCCCCUCCCCGGCCAGAGAAAAACAGAGCAGUGGAGUGCUCUGCUCGGGCGAGGGGUAUAUAUAGGCACCUCAAUGGUCCCGGUUUGUGGCACGAACCGGGACUAAAGGGCAGCCUGUUGUCCCGGUUCAAGCCACCAACCGGGACCAAUGGUGGUGGGCCAGGAACCAGGCCCAUUGGUCCCGCUUCAUCCCAUCAACCGGGACCAAAAGGUCCAUAUGAACCGGGACCAAUGGCCCACGUGGCCCGGCCGGCCCCCUGGGCUCACGAACCGGGUCCAAUGCCCCCAUGGGUCCCGGUUCUGGACUGAAUCGGAACUAACGGGCUGACCCGGCCUCAUCCAAAGCCCUCUUUUCUACUAGUGUCCCCUAAUCCCCUCCUAAAUUAUGGGGAAUUUAUGCUGCCUAGGCAUCAAGCUCUAUGAAACAAUCAAUGAUUUUGUGUAUGGUUUGGACUGAAACGAGUUUACGGAGAAUUCGUACUGACAUAUGGGGAUGUAGCUAUAAAUUGUUGCAGUUUGGACCGAAAUGUGUUUCAGGAGAAUUAGCAACUUAGUAAUCCAGCACGAAGUACAUGCGCAACAUGAACUGUAUGUUGCGGUUUGGUUAAGUUUCAGUUGACUGAGGCCUACUCACACCCUUUAAGUAUCCGUUUCUCCCCCAACUACAACUUCCACCUGACACGCGCGUCAGCCUAUUGAGGUAGAAGACAUUCAUAGACGACAAGCUUGAGACUGUGGAUUCCAUGGAAGCAGAUAGCCAUUGAACUACCGCGGGCCUAUCAUCCAUAGUAGUACGAGGCAGACGUAUUACGUUGAAUUCAACGUUUCAGAACACUGAAAAUCAUUUUUAGCAUCGGCCGUCGCUGUGUCCAUGAGGUACCCUCCCCCUUACUUUCCUGCUUCCUUCCACGUGCAACGACUAACGCUCACUACCUUGCCCCACGCGGCAUGGUACUUAAUUACCCAGCUAAGGCCAUGUACAAUGGUGCUAUCUUAGGAGUGCCACGUAGGAUAAAUAAUGAGGUGGAGGAGAGAGAACUCGUAAGAAAAGGCUUAUCUUCUCUUAUUUAAGAGAAGACAAGAGAUGAUCUCUUAUCACAAUAUGUCUCACCAUAUUUUUAGGAAUGACUAGUUAUUAAAGAUAAGGCUAAGAGAUGGCUCAUUGUAGACUUUUUUUUAUCAACUCUAAAUUACAUGCAAGACUUAAAAUAAAACUAUCUUAUCAACCAUUGUACAUGCCUUAUCGAGUCACACUGCGAAAGAUACUAAAGUAGUACUCUCCGUGUAGUACUAUUCCUUGUCAACACACGUCCUUCUCCGUGUAGUUUCCACAGCCCGGCGUCUCCUCUUCACCGUCAAAGCAAUCACCCAUCCACAACGUCAAAAGGAGAGGCUUGGUCUGCUCCUUGCAAGUGUGACGAGGCGCCAUGCUUUCUGAGUCUGUGCUUGCGCUUGGUCUGCUCCUCCUGCUGAGCCUGAGCCUCGACGGAGAGGUGGCUCUGGCGGCGGAAGACGGCGAGUUCGCCUACCAAGGCUUCGCCACGACGAACGACCUCCAACCUCUCAAUGGCGAACGGCCACCAAUACCUGGGCCUCCUCAACGCGACAAACGGCACGGCGAGCGACCCCAUCUUGGCGGUCGAGCUCGACACCAUCCUGGACGCCAAGUUUCACGACAUCGACAGCAACCACGUGGGCAUCGACGUAAACAGCCACAUCUCACGGCAGGACAAGCCGGCUGGGUACUACCGUGACGAGGACGGCGCCUUUCAAGAUCUGAGGCUGAACGGCCGCAGGCCGAUGCAGGUGUGGGUUGACUACGACGCCAUGGCCAGGCGACUCGACGUGACAUUAGCACCGGUGCGGGUACUAAAGCCCAAGAAUCCUUUGCUCUCCCAAGUCAUUGAUCUCUCCAUGGUCAUGGCGGGCAAGAUGUACGCCGGCUUCUCGUCUUCGUCAGGUAUCGACUCCAGGCGCCACUAUGUCCUUGGAUGGAGCUUCAGCUUGGACGGCCUGCCCCGACUCUCGACUUCUCCAAACUGUCAGGAUUAAUCUUGUCACUUGUGUCUGCAUGUUUACUUUCCUUAUUCAUGUAGCAUAGAUUAGGGAGUAGCUAGUCAGCGGAGCUUCAAUGAAGAUGUGUGGAGAAGGCGAGAUGCCAGACGGCCGUGAAAUACCGCGAGUCCGGCGAGAUGCCGAUGGCGGCGUGACACCGCGGUGCCGCGCGAGGCGGCAAGGUCGUGUGAUACGGCACACACGUAGAUGGCUGAAGCAAGACUGGCCGGCUGGACGAUGAGUUAGUUUGCAUGAAUGGAGUCGUCGUUAGCUGCAUGUAUAGGUUGGUUAGUGGGCUAGCUAAAAGGUCGGUCAUGUAGCCGUGCAUGCGUUGAGUCUGUUUGUGCAUGACCGGGUGUAGGUUAGUUAGCAGGUGAUGCAUAUCCUGGAGAGAUUCUAGGAGGAGAUGGUGUUAUGCCGACGUGUGUAGGAUAGUGGCCGAGUGUGUCGGUCAGCCUAGUGUGUGCGUGCAUGAGUUAGUGGUUGGGUGUGAAGUCAUUUGUACUGCCUAUUUAAGUUCAACAAAAUGAAUGAGAAGGGAGGCCGUGAGGGCUGAAGGAAACCAUGUAGCGCAUGUGAUUGUCACCGGGAGAGAUAAGGCAAAGCUAAUUUUCUCCCUGGUGAAUGUGUGCGUGCGUGUGUGUUUUCUGCCCGGGUGUGUGUUCUUGUGUUCUUGAGAGAAGAAGAGAAAAACAAAAGUGAGAGUUGUGAGAGGAGAGGAAGAAGAAGAAGCGGGGCUGCAAGGAGAGGCGGCGCCAACACAAACUCCCUGCUCUGCCACGUGUGGGUCCCAAGCCUCGGUCUAAGAUCUUGAACGCCCUGCUGCCACUGGCUUCGUCAUUGCCUGUCAUCGUAGUGCUAGGUGUUGUCUUCUUCAUUUUGUGGUAUCGACGUCGAUUUGCCGAGGUGGGAGAAGAUUGGGAGGAUGAGUUCGGCCCACAUCGUUUCCGAUACAAGGAUUUGUUUCAUGCCACCGAAGGGUUUUCGAGUAGGAAUUUACUUGGUGUAGGAGGAUUUGGAAGAGUAUGCAGAGGAUUGCUUUCUCCGUCCAAUCUGGAGGUUGCAGUGAAGAGGGUGUCACAUGAUUCUAAACAAGGAAUAAGGGAGUUCAUUGCAGAGGUGGUGAGCAUUGGCCGUCUCCACCACCGAAAUCUCGCACGGUUACUAGGCUACUGCCGUCGAAAGGGUGAACUUCUCUUAGUUUAUGAGUACAUGGAAAAUGGUAGUCUUGUCAAGUACUUGUACGAUAAAAAUAAGCCAACUCUACACUGGCCUCAGAGAUAUAAGAUCAUCAAAGAUGUUGCAUCAAGUUUGUUGCACUGGUGGAAAAAGGGCCUUUGGUCGCGGUUCGCAACUGCCAUUAGUCGCGGUUGCGCAACCGCGACCAAAUAGGCGCGACUAAAGGCCCCCACCUUUAGUCGCGGUUGCUUAAGAACCGCGACUAAAGGCCCGUCCACGUGGGCGCCAGGCGGCCGUCGGGGUGGAGGACCUUUAGUCGCGGUUCUUCUGGCCAACCGCGACUAAAGGCCGCCGCAGGUUUAGGGUUUUAGCCCCCCCCCCCCUAAACCUGUUUUCUGUUUAAUUUGUAUUGUUUUAUUUCUUUUGUGCUUUAUUUUAAUUUUGAAGGAGUUUCACAUAUUCUACGGUACUACAUACAUGGAAUGUACAAUUUCAAACAAAUUUGAAAUUAGAACCAAAAAGAAUUCAAGAGGAAUAUACAAUAUAUAUUCAAUAUCAUCGGAUGACCAUAUACAAUUUUGAACAAGUUUCCAUACAUAAUUUAAUGCAUAUAAAGUUCUACGUCCUCGUAAUGGUGUUCUCCUUUAGGAUGGAGGACUUCCCUCCUGAACCAUCCAGCUAGUUCCUCUUGAAGUGGUCGGAAGCGAGCUUCUGGACUAAGCAUCAUCCGGAGGUUAUUCCUCUGAGCAUUGGUAUCACUCGGAACCCGCUCAGAGGUGUAUCUCUGGAUCAUCUCACAGACAUAGUAUGCACAUAGAUUGGUCCCCGCUGGCUGAAUAUCCUCACCAUUCUUAGCCUUUGACCUUUUGAAUUCUAGCUCUUUUUUGAAUUCACCGACCUUUGUAUCUACGAACCGUCUCCAAACCCUACGAGGCAAAGAAAAUUAAAUGAACAAGAGAGUUAUUAGUUACUUGAUAUUAGGAAAUGAACGAAAUAGGCCGAUCGAUAUAGAGCGCAAAUGAAUGAAAAUAAUUACUUCUGCAGCAUUCUUCUCAUGUCGCCCCAAAGCUUUGGAUCCUUAUUCAGAGAGUCGUGGACGAGACAUUCUGAGGUGUCAACUUUAAUUACUAGCAGAAUCCAGUGGAACCUGCGGACACGAUACAUGCACAGUACGUCAUGCAUAACUCAUCGAUUAGCCGGCCACAUACCAUGCAUGGAGUAAAAAAAAGAGAAUGUGCUCAAGACAGAAACACUCACCCAAAAUGGUAAGGAAAUAGAAUAUCACUUUUGAGUUCCUGCUUUGUAAGAAACUGCCACAGGUCUGCCUCCAUGUCGGCGGGGUGAUGCUCCAACACAUAUCCAUUAACGAUGUGUGGGUCAAUGAACCCAACAUCAUGGAUGUUCCUUACUCUGCAUUCCUUAAUCUUCAUUCUGCAUGUAUAAUAGCGGACACAACAAUAUAGUUAGGACAUAUAUAUAGUGCAGGCAAUAUGAACGAGAUGGGGUAGAAAUAAAUCACUUACAGAACGUAGCAACUGAUGAUAGAUUUGUCGAGCUCGCGCAGAUUGAAAAGCUGGAACAAUUCACUCAGAUGAAUUUGUACAUAGUAAUGUUUGAAGUGAUGCUCAUAUCUAACUUCCGCAUAAAUAUAUUCUUUGGCGUUUUUAUUUUUUAUGUAACCCUUGUACCAUUUCAGCAGACCUUUUAUUUGUGGAGGUAGAUCCUCUUCCUGCGCAGGCUCGACGAGAGGCCCAUUCUUCACAUAUGUAAUUACUACCUCCUUCACUGGCGCCUCAUCAAGGCCUAACAGUUCACGAAGAGUAAUACCUAAGUUGGCCGCUUGUUCUCUGGCACUCGUUACAGUUAAUCCAUGUGCUGCCGCAGCUGCUAUGAUAUCGGGGUCAUCCGGACCGGCGGCUUUCACUAUAAGCGGGGCAAUCGAUUGUUUACUUUGUUCCCCGAGCUGGGCAACUCGUUUCCCGCUUUUUUUACUUUCUAAUUCCGUUUUCUCGGCCUCCUCCACUCCCACGAUGUUUCUUUUGCCUGAAAGAACAAUGUGGCGCUUUGGAUCAUCGCAUGAUGUACUGAUCGUUUUCUUAUCUUUUCGUUUCCUCGGUUUGCUACUCAUGUCCUUCACAUAGAAAACCUGAGCGACAUCUUUCGCUAGGACGAAUGGUUCGUCAAGGUAACCAAGAUUGUUGAAAUCCACCAUUGUCAUUCCGUAUUGCUGGUCCACCUUUACCCCACCUCCUGUUAGCUUGAACCAUUUGCACCGGAACAAAGGGACCUUAAAGGAGGGUCCAUAGUCAAGUUCCCAUAUCUCCUCUAUGUAACCAUAAUAUGUGACCUUUUGCCCAUUCUCGGUUGCUGCAUCAAAGCGGACACCACUGUUUUGGUUGGUGCUCUUUUUAUCUUGGGCGAUCGUGUAAAAUGUAUUCCCAUUUAUCUCGUACCCUUGGAAAGUCGUUAUAGUCGAAGAUGGUGUCUUGGCCAACAUGUACAGCUGAUCUACAACAUCAUUGUCAUUCAUUAAAUGUUUUCUCAACCAACUGCCGAAAGUCUCCAUGUGGGCCUUCCUAAUCCAGGAUUCAGGCUUCCUCGGGUUGUCCGAGCGUAAAAUAUUCUUGUGUUUCUCAAAGUACGGAGCCACCAAGCUGGAAUUGGUCAGUACAGUAUGGUGUGCUUCAGUCAGAGAAUGGCCGUCCAUAAAUAUCGUUGAUUUCCUUCCGAUCGUGCCUUUUCCACUUAGUCUCCCCUCGUGCCGCGAUCGAGGAAGACCAAUCGGCUUAAGGUCAGGAACAAAGUCAACACAAAACUCAAUUACCUCCUCAUUUCCAUAGCCCUUGGCGAUGCUUCCUUCUGGCCUAGCACGGUUACGAACAUAUUUCUUUAAUACUCCCAUGAACCUCUCGAAGGGGAACAUAUUGUGUAGAAAUACAGGACCGAGAAUGAAAAUCUCUUCGACUAGGUGAACCAAGAGGUGCGUCAUAAUAUUGAAGAAGGAUGGCGGGAACACCAACUCGAAACUGACAAGACAUUGGAUCACAUCGUUCUGUAACCGUGGUAGAUCUUCUGGAUUGAUUACCUUCUGAGAGAUUGCAUUGAGGAAUGCACAUAGCUUCACAAUGGCUACUCGAACAUUUUCCGGCAGGAGCCCCCUCAAAGCAAUCAGAAGCAAUUGCGUCAUAAUCACGUGGCAGUCGUGAGACUUCAGGUUUUGGAACUUUUUCUCCGCCAUGUUUAUUAUUCCCUUUAUAUUGGACGAGAAUCCAGACGGGACCUUCAUACUGCUCAGGCAUUCAAAAAAGAUGACCUUCUCUUCUUUGGUCAGAGCGUAGCUGGCACGACCUUGAAACCAUUCCGGAUGCCAGUCAUCAGGGUCUUUCAAACGUUGCUGGUCCUGCCGUGCUUCCUUUGUAUCAUUUGUCUUCCCAUACACGCCCAAGAAGCUUAGGAGGUUCACGCAAAUAUUCUUCGUAACGUGCAUCACGUCGAUUGCAGAGCGGACAUCUAGGACUUUCCAAUAUUCUAGCUCCCAGAAUAUAGAUUUCUUCUUCCACAUGGCUGCGUGCCCGUCAGCUCCCUUCGGAACUGAUUGUCCGCCAGGACCCUUUCCAAAGAUGACUUUCAAAUCCUUGACCAUAUCAAAUACCUCAGCACCAGUGCGUUCCGCAGGCUUCGGCCGGUGAUCUGCCUUGCCGUUGUAAUGCUUGCCUUUCUUUCUUACUGGAUGAAUUUUUGGAAGAAAUCGACGAUGCCCAAGGUACACGUUCUUCUUACAAUUUGGCAAAUGUACACUUUCAGUCUCAUGUAAGCAGUGCGUGCAUGCAUUGUAUCCCUUAUUUGACAGUCCCGAAAGGUUACUAAGAGCAGGCCAAUCGUUGAUGGUUACGAAAAGCAACGCUCGUAGGUUAAAUUCCUCUUUUUUGUGCUCAUCCCACACACGGACACCAGGUCUGCCCCACAGCUGUAAAAGUUCAUCAACUAAUGGCCUUAGGUACACAUCGAUGUCGUUGCCGGGUUGCUUCGGACCUUGGAUGAGCACUGGCAUCAUAAUGAACUUCCGCUUCAUGCACAACCAAGGAGGAAGGUUGUAGAUGCAUAGAGUCACGGGCCAGGUGCUAUGGCUGGAGCUCUGCUCGCCAAAAGGAUUCAUGCCAUCUGUACUUAGACCAAAUCCUAUGUUCCUUGCGUCAGCUGCAAAAUCUUUGAACUCUCUGUCGAUCUUUCUCCAUUGCGUUCCAUCUGCGGUGUGUCUCAACUCCUAGUCCGACUUACGGUCCUCUUUGUGCCAUCGCAACAACUUGGCAUGCUCUUUGUUCCUGAACAGACGUUUCAACCGUGGUAUUAUAGGAGCAUACCACAUCACCUUGGCGGGAACCCUCUUCCUGGGUUUCUCGCCCUCAACAUCGUCACCAGGGUCAUCGCCUCUGAUCUUAUAACGCAAUGCAGUGCAUACCGGGCAUUCAUUCAAAUUCUCGUAUUCACCGCGGUAGAGGAUGCAGUCGUUGAUGCAUGCAUGUAUCUUCAGAACCUCUAAACCUAGAGGGCAAACAACCUUCUUUGCUUCGUACGUACUGGCGGGCAACUCGUUAUUCUUUGGAAACAUAUUCUUCAACAUUUUCAGCAAGUUUUCAAAUGCCGAGUCAGCUACACCUGCCUGUGCCUUCCAUUUCAGCAAAUCCAGUGUGCAGCCCAGCUUUUUCAGACCAUCAUCGCAUCCGGGGUACAACGACUUUCUGUGAUCCUCUAACAUGCGAUCCAAAUUCUCCCUCUCCUUUUCAGUUUCGCAGCGUCUCCGUGCAUCAGCAAUGGUCCGACCAAGAUCAUCAACGGUCUCAUCACGUGCCUCUUCUUCACCUUCACCUUCACCUUCACCUUCACCUUCCCCUUCACCUUCCCCUUCACCUUCCCCUUCACCUUCAGCAUCCUCCAUGAAAGUAUCACCGAAAUGAGCAAGAUAGCUUUCAUCGAUGAAAUCAUCCCCUUCUUCAUCUUCUUCCAUUAUAACCCCUCUUUCUCCAUGCUUGGUCCAACAAUUAUAGCUUGGCAUGAAACCGUGCCGAAGCAGGUGCAGGUGAACUUCUCUUGAGGAAGAGUAACCCUUCUGAUUCUUACAGUCAACACAUGGACAGAUAACAAUACCCUUCUGCUUGUUCGCAUUAGCCACUACGAGGAAAUCUUUCAAACCCGUAGUGAACUCGCGGGAGAGUCGGUUACCGUACAUCCAUUGCCGAUUCAUCUGCAUUAUUAUAAUAUAAAAUAUAUAAUUAACCAUCAUGCAUUUGUUAAACUAACUAGCUAUAAACAAUAGAAAUUAAACAAUGAACAACACACAUGCAUAUUUUAUCAAUGACACACAUGCAUGAAAGGUUCAAGUUGCUAACCGCGAUCGAGGAGGAACCUCAAGUGUGGCUCCAACACUUCAUAUCAUGUUUGUUUCACGCUGUUGGGGCAUUUCAUCAAACACCUUGUGUGCAUAAGAGGAACCAAAAGCAAACCUACACCCCCUUGUGAAGAGAAGUGGCACCAAAUGGCUAAGUGAGUGCGCUGAACUGGUAUAUAUAGGGGAGGAGCUUUAGUCGCGGUUGGCCUGGCCAACCGCGACUAAAGGCCUUUGGGCACCUUUAGUCGCGGUUGGCCUGGCCAACCGCGACUAAAGCCCCUCACGUGCACCAGCUGGCCACCGAGCGCCCUGGGCCCAGGCAUUUGGUCGCGGUUCGUCUGCCAAACCGCGACUAAAGACUUCAUUAGUCGCGGUUCCUACAGUUUCGUGACUAAUGGGGCUGGACGGAAGCCUCUUUUUCUACCAGUGUUGUAUCUUCAUGAGGAGUGGGAACAAAUCGUCAUCCAUCGAGAUAUAAAGGCGAGCAAUGUGCUCUUGGAUGGUCAGAUGAAUGGACGGCUGGAUGAUUUUGGUCUAGCAAGGUUAUACGACCAUGGCACGGUUGCUAAAACAACCCAUGUGGUAGGCACCAUGGGAUACCUUGCACCGGAACUUAUACGCACCGGGAAGGCAACACCCUCGACCGAUGUGUUCGCAUUUGGUGUGUUUCUCCUAGAGGUUGCAUGUGGGUGUAGACCAAUCAGUUGCAGGAAGGACAACACACAAACAUUGUUGAUUGAAUCGGUGCUUGAACAUCGCCGCAAUGGAUCAAUUAUCGAUGUGGUAGAUCCACGGCUCUGGGCAAUUUCAACAUAGAGGAAGCCACCUUCGUGCUCAACUUAGGAUUAUUGUGCUCCUACCCAUCACCAAGUGCAAGGCCUAGAACGUGAAAGGUCGUGCAAUACCUGGACCGUGGCCAGUCAAUUUCUGAUCUAUCUCCAACCUAUGUGAGGUACAACAUGAUAGCGAUGAUGCAUAACGAAGGGUUCGAUUCGUACAAAAUGGCGUGCACUCUAUCGAAUACUAGCAUUUGCUCUAUAUCUGGUGAGUCUUCAGUGACCGUUCUACAAGAGGGGAGAUGAAUGCUUGCAAUUGAAUCUUCUCAUUUUAUUCUCCUUUAGCUAUUUCUUCAAGCCAUGACAUGAGUUUCCCUUUUAAUAUCAUGUGAUCCAAGUAUGCUGGUGUAAGCUCUUUUACUUAGGCUGGUCAUAGUGGGGAGUAACUUAGACUAGUGUAGUCUAAGUUACUAUCUUCAUAAUGCAAAGUAACAUAAUAGUAGUGUCAUAGAUGGCUUCAUUUAUUAGCUUGUAGACUCAUCAUAUCUUGGGAAGCGCUAUGUUACAGUAACAUAUUAUGUUACCACCUCACAUUAAAUACUUGCCACAUAAGCAAAAAUUUCUUGGAGUGCGCUAUGUUACUAGCUAAGUUACUCCCACUAUGACUAGCCUUAUGUAUGUAUGAAACCAUGUUUUCAUAGUGAAAUAAUUAUGUCUGAGCAUCAAUUUUAGUAACCAGUAACACUAUGGAUGUAAAGUACUCCCUCCAUCACAGUUUAGAAGGCACAGUUAAAUUUGCGUGCGUUUCCACAAUAGACAAGGUUUAGGGCGCAUUGCAUUUAUUUCUAGUAACUAAUUAGUACUCUGAGAUACUAUUUCUAUAUGCAUGCGUAGUGUGAAUGCUAUUUUUAGCCCACGUCACAACCAAUAGAUAACCACCUAGGUCCCAGAGAAUUUCCAAGUGCGUCUUCUAAACCGUGAUGGAGUAGUUAAUUGUACUCCCUCCAUUUCAUAUUAAUUGUUGCCGAUUUGAUACAACUUUAUACUAAAUCAAUGACACUUAAAAUGGAUCGAAGGGAGUAUCAAUCUCUGGUGCUAGUGCUUUGUUGCUACUAGACCUGCACAUUUCCAUAGUGGGCCAAAGAGGCCCCUCAGUGCACGACUACAUGACACGUUAAUUGGCACCUUGGUUCAGGACAGAGCAUCAGCUGUCCGCACAGAAUACAUCCAAGGGAGCACGCGGCAGUACAUAGGGUGAGGGUACAUGGUGGCAUGGCUGUAGGUCUGGACAGGAAGGUCGGGGUCGAGGCUUGGUUGGGUUCGACUCGGGUCGAAGGUCCAACAAGCCAAGUCCAAACCUUCGGUCAAGCUCGUGAAGCUCGACAAGCCGGCUAGAGACUCGAUGAACAAAAAAUCCACACGGCCUUUGCUAAAAAAAUAGCAAUAUACUUUCUUCGUUCACUAUUAUCAGAUGUUCUAACUUUUUUCUAAUUCGGAUGCAUGUAGACGCAAUUUUGUGUGUAUGUUCACUCAUUUUGGUCCGUAUGUAGUCCAUAUUAAAAUAUCGAAAAUAUCUUAUACUAUUUGUGAAGAGUAUUAAUUAAGACCAAUAGUUCACAAUUAUAUAACAUGAUAUAGACAUUGCACCCACUCAUAACAUAGUCUAUCAAGUCGACAUAAAGUCCCAGCAAAAGUAGUAAGACUACUCGAUGCAUUAAUGCCCGUCAAUUGAACAGGUCUAAAUGUGGACAAAUUUGAACAUGUGAGAGGACCCACUAGGUCCAGCUGAAAGAAAUAUGCCCUAGAGGCAAUAAUAAAGUUGUUAUUUUAUUUUCUUAUAUCAUGAUAAAUGUUUAUUAUUCAUGUUAGAAUUGUAUUAUCCGAAAACUUAGUACAUGUGUGAAUAUAUAGACAAACAGAGUGUCACUAGUAUGCCUAUACUUGACUAGCUCAUUGAAUCAAAGAUGGUUAGGUUUCCUAACCAUAGACAUGAGUUUUCAUUUGAUUAACGGGAUCACAUCAUUAGAGAAUGAUGUGAUUGACUUGACCCAUUCCGUUAGCUUAGCAUUUGAUCGUUUAGUAUAUUGAUAUUGCUUUCUUCAUAACUUAUACAUGUUCCUAUAACUAUGAGAUUAUGCAACUCCCAAAUACCGGAGGAACACUUUGUGUGCUACAAAGCGUCACAACGUAACUGGGUGAUUAUAAAGGUGCUCUACAGGUGUCUCCGAUGGUACUUGUUGAGUUGGCAUAGAUCGAGAUUAGGAUUUGUCACUCCGAUUGUCAGAGAGAUAUCUCUGGGCCCUCUCGGUAAUGCACAUCACUAUAAGCCUUGCAAGUAAUGUAACUAAUGAAUUAGUUGCGGGAUGAUGCAUUACGGUACGAGUAAAGAGACUUGCCAAUAACGAGAUUGAACUAGGUAUUGAGAUACCGAUGAUCAAAUCUCGGGCAAUUCACAUACCGAUGACAAAGGGAACAACGUAUGUUGUUAUGCGGUUUGACCGAUAAAGAUCUUCGUAGAAUAUGUGGGAGCCAAUAUGAGCAUCCAGGUUCCGCUAUUGGUUAUUGACCGAAGACGUGUCUCGGUCAUGUCUACAUAGUUCUCAAACCCGUAGGGUCCGCACGCUUAACGUUCGGUGACGAUCGGUAAUAUGAGUUUAUGUGUUUUGAUGUACCGAAGGUAGUUUGGUGUCCCGGAUAUGAUCACGGACAUGACGAGGAGUCUCGAAAUGGUCGAGACAUAAAGAUCGAUAUAUUGGAUGACUAUGUUUGGACUUCGGAAGAGUUCCGAGUGACUUUGGACAAAUACCGGAGUACCGGGGGGUUACCGGAACCCCCCGGGGAGUGUAAUGAGCCUCAUGGGCCUUAGUGGAGAGAGGAAGGGGCGACCAGGGCAGGCCGCGCGCCCCCUCCCCAUCUAGUCUGAAUUGGACAAGGAAGGGGGGCGGCGCCCCCCCUUUUUCCUUCCCCCUCUCCCCUCCUUCCUUCCCUCUUACUCCUACUCUUGGAAGGGGUGGAAUCCUACUCCCGGUGGGAGUACGACUCCCCUUGGGGCGCGCCUAGGAGGCCGGCCUCCUUAUAUACGGGGGAGGGGGGCACCCCAUAGACACACAAGUUGAUCAUUGAUCACUUAGCCGUGUGCGGUGCCCCUCUCCACCAUUAUCCACCUCGGUCAUAUCGUCGUAGUGCUUAGGCGAAUCCCUGCGCCGGUAGCUUCAUGAUCACCAUCAUCACGCCAUCGUGCUGACGAAACUAUCCCUCGAAGCUCUACUGGAUCGUGAGUUCGUGGGAUGUCGCCGAGCUGAACGUGUGCAGAUCACGAAGGUGCCAUACGUUCGGUACUAGGAUCGGUCGAUCGUGAAGACGUACGACUAUAUCAACCGCGUUGCCAUAACGCUUCCGCUUACAGUCUACAAGGGUACGUGGACGACACUCUCCCCUCUCGUUGCUAUGCAUCACCAUGAUCUUGCGUGUGCGUAGGAUUUUUUUUGAAAUUACUAUGUUACCCAACAGUGGCAUCCGAGCCAAGUUUAUGCGUAGAUGUUAUAUGCACGAGUAGAACACAAGUGAGUUGUGGGAGAUAAUAGUCAUACUGCUUACCAGCAUGUAAUACUUUGAUUCGGCGGUAUUGUUGGAUGAAGCGGCCCGGACCGACAUUAUGCUUUAUCUUACGCAAGACUGGUUCUACCUACAUGCUUCACACACAGGUGGCUGGCGGGUGUCAGUUUCUCCAACUUUAGUUGAAUCGAAUGUGGCUACGCCCGGUCCUUGUGAAGGUUAAAACAACACAUACUUGACGAAAAAUCAUUGUGGUUUUGAUGCGUAGGUAAGAACGGUUCUUGCUCAGCCCAUAGCAGCCACGUAAUACUUGCAACAACAAAGUAGAGGACGUCUAACUUGUUUUUGCAGGGCUUGUUGUGAUGUGAUAUGGUCAAGACAUGAUGAGAUAUAAGUUGUUGUAUGAGAUGAUCAUGUUUUGUCGAAGUUAUCAGCAAUUGGCAGGAGCCAUAUGGUUGUCGCUGUUGGGGAACAUAGUAAUUUCAAAAAAAUCCGACGCACACGCAAGAUCAUGGUGAUGCAUAGAAAUGAGAGGGAAGAGUUUUGUCUACGUACCCUCGUAGACCGUAAGCAGAAGCGUUAUGACAAUGCGGUUGAUGUAGUCGUACGUCUUCACGAUCGACCCAUCCUAGUACCGAACGUACGGCACCUCCAUGAUCUGCACACGUUCAGCUCAGCGACGUCCCACAAACUCAUGAUCCAGUAGAGCUUCGACGGAUAGCUUCAUCAGCACGACGGCAUGAUGACGGUGAUGAUGAAGCUACCGGCGCAGGGCUUCGCCUAAGCACUACGAUGAUAUGACCGAGGUGGGUUAUGGUGGAGGGGGGCACCGCACACGGCUAAAAGAUCAAUGAUCAACUUGUAUCCAUGGGGUGCCCCCCUCCCCCGUAUAUAAAGGAGUGGAGGAGGGGAGGGGCCGACCCUCUCUAUGGCGCGCCCUAGGGGAGUCCUACUCCCACCGGGAGUAGGAUUCCCCCCUUUCCUUAGUAGGAGUAGGAGAGGAAGGGAAGGAGGAGUAGGAGAGAAGGAAAGCCCCCCCCCCAAACCCUUUCCAAUUCGGCCUCCUGCCCAAGGGGGGCGCACCAACCCCUUGUGGGCUGGUGUGCUUCCUUCUUAUUGCCCAUAAGGCCCAUAACUUCUCCUGGGGGGUUCCGAUAACCUCCCGGUACUCCAGAAAAAUGUCCAAAUUAAACCACUCAGAACCCUUCCGAUAUCCAAACAUAGUCAUCCAAUAUAUCGAUCUUUAUGUCUCGACCAUUUCGAGACUCCUCUUCAUGUCCGUGAUCAUAUCCGGGACUCUGAACUACCUUCGGUACAUCAAAACACAUAAACUCAUAAUACCGAUCAUCACCGAACGUUAAGCAUGCGGACCCUACGAGUUCAAGAACUAUGUAGACAUGACCGAGAAUCAUGUCCGAUCAAUAACCAAUAGCGGAACAUGGAUGCUCAUAUUGGUUCCUACAUAUUCUACGAAGAUCUUUCUGGGUCAAACCGCAUAACAACAUAAGUUGUUCCCUUUGUCAUCGGUAUGUUACUUGCCCGGGAUUCGAUCGUCGGUAUCUCAAUAGCUAGUUCAAUCUCGUUACCGGCAAGUCUCUUUACUCGUUCCGUAAUGCAUCAUCCCACAACUAACUCAUUAAUCACAUUGCUUGCAAGGCUUAUAGUGAUGUGCAUUACCGAGAGGACCCAGAGAUACCUCUCCGACAAUCGGAGUGACAAAUCCUAAUCUCGAUCUAUGCCAACUCAACAAGUACCAUCGGAGACACCUGUAGAGCACCUUUAUAAUCACUCAGUUACGUUGUGACGUUUGGUAGCACACAAAGUGUUCCUCCGGUAUUAGGGAGUUGCAUAAUCGCAUAGUCAUAGGAACAUGUAUAAGUCAUAAGAAAGCAAUAGCAACAUACUAAACGAUCAAGUGCUAAGCUAACGGAAUGGAUCAAGUCAAUCACAUCAUUCUCUAAUGAUGUGAUCCCGUUAAUCAAAUGACAACUCAUGUCCAUGGCUAGGAAACUUAACCAUCUUUGAUUCAACGAGCUAGUAAAGUAGAGGCAUACUAGUGACACUCUGUUUGUCUAUGUAUUCACACAUGUACUAAGUUUUCGGUUAAUACAAUUCUAGCAUGAAUAAUAAACAUUUAUCAUGAUAUAAGGAAAUAUAAAUAACAACUUUAUUAUUGCCUCUAGGGCAUAUUUCCUUCAGUCUCCCACUUGCACUAGAGUCAAUAAUCUAGAUCACAUCACCAUGUGAAUAACACCAAUAGUUCACAUCACCAUGUGAUUAACACCAAUAGUUCACAUGACCAUGUGAUUAACACCCAAAGUUCACAUCACCAUGUGACCAAUACCCGAAGGGUUUACUAGAGUCAAUAAUCUAGUUCACAUUGCUAUGUGAUUAACACCUAAAGAUUACUUAGGUGUGAUCAUGUUUUUCUUGUGCGAGAAGUAUAGUCAACGGGUCUGCCAUAUUCAAAUCUGUAAGUAUUUUGCAAAUUUCUAUGUCUACAAUGCUCUGCAUGGAGCUACUCUAGCUAAUUGCUCCCACUUUCAAUAUGUAUCCAGAUUGAGACGCAGAGUCAUCUGGAUCAGUGUCAAAGCUUGCAUCGAGGUAACUCUUUGUGACGAACUCUUUAUCACCUCCAUAACCGAGAAAUAUUUCCUUAGUCCUCUAAGGAUAAUUUUGAUCAAUGUCCAGUGAUCUACUCCUAGAUCACUAUUGUACUCCCUUGCCAAACUCAGGGCAGGGUAUAUAAUAGGUCUGGUCUAUUGCAUGGCGUACUUUAUAGAACCUAUGACUGAGGCAUAGGGAAUGACUUUCAUUCUCUUUCUAUUUUCUGCCGUGGUCGGGAUUCGAGUCUUACUCAAUUUCACACCUUUGCAACACAGGCAAGAACUCUUUCUUUGACUGUUACAUUUUGAACCACUUCAAAAUCUUGUCAAGGUAUGUACUCAUUGAAAAUCUUAUCAAGCGUCUUGAUCUAUCUCAAUAGAUCUUGAUGCUCAAUGUGUAAGUAGCUUUACUGAAGUCUUUCUUUUGAAGAACUCCUUUCAAACACUCCUUUAUGCUUUCUGGAAAAUUCUACAUCAUUUCUGAUCAACAAUAUGUCACUCACAUAUACUUAUCAGAAAGGUUGUAGUGCUCCCACUCACUUUCUUGUAAAUACAGGCUUCACCGCAAGUCCGUAUAAAACUAUAUGCUUUGAUAAACUUAUCAAAGCGUAUAUUCCAACUCUGAGAUGCUUGCACCAGUCCAUAGAUGGAUCACUAGAGCUUGCACAUUUUGUUAGAACCUUUAGGAUUGACAAAACCUUCUUGUUGCAUCAUAUACAACUUAUUCUUUAAGAAAUCCAUUAAGGAAUGAAGCUUUGACAUCCAUUUGCUAGAUUUCAUAAAAUGUGGCAAUUUGCUAACAUGAUUCGGACAGACUUAAGCAUCGCUACGAGUGAGAAAAAAUCAUCGUAGUCAACACCUUGAACUUUGUCAAAAACCUUUUUCGACAAGUCUAGAUUUGUAGAUAGUAACACUACUAUCAGCGUUCGUAUUCCUCUUGAAGAACCAUUUAUUUUUUGUACGGCUUGCCGAACAUCAGGCAAGUCAAUCAAAAUUUACACUUUGUUCUCAUACAUGGAUCCCAUCUCAGAUUUCAUGGCCUCAAGCCAUUUCGCGGAAUCUGGGCUCAUCAUCGCUUCCUCAUAGUUCGUAGGUUCGUCAUGGUCAAGUAACAUGAACUCUAGAAUAGGAUUACCAUACCACUAUGGUGCGGAACAUACUCUGGUUGACCUAUGAGGUUCGGUAGUAACUUGAUCUGAAGCUUCAUGAUCAUCAUCGUUAACUUCCUCACUAAUUUGUGUAAGCAUCACUGGAACUAAUUUCUGUGAUGAACUACUAUCCAAUUCAGGAGAAGGUACAAUUACCUCAUCAAGUUCUACUUUCCUCCCACUCACUUCUUUUGAGAGAAACUCCUUCUCUAGAAAGGAUCCAUUCUUAGCAACGAAUAUCUUGCCUUCGAAUCUGUGAUAAAAGGUGUACCCAACUGUCUCCUUUGGGUAUCCUAUGAAGACACAUUUCUCCGAUUUGGGUUUGAGCUUAUCAGGAUGAAACUUUUUCACAUAAGCAUCAUAACCCCAAACUUUAAGAAACGACAACUUUCUCUCCAUUGUUCCGGAGAACGGAGUCUUAGUCAUCUUGCCCAUGAGGCAUGGUUGCAAGCACCGACCGAUUCAUAAUUAAGUGAUUCCAAAAACCCAUCAACAUGGAUUUUCUUCAUGCGCUUUACACCAAUAUGACCUAAACGGCAGUGCCACAAAUAAGUUGCACUAUCAUUAUUAACUUUGCAUAUUUUGGCUUCAAUAUUAUGAAUAUGUGUAUCACUACGAUCGAGAUUCAAUAAACCAUUCACCUUGGGUGUAUGACCAUUGAAGGUUUUAUUCAUGUAAAUAGAACAACAACUAUUCUCUGACUUUAAAUGAAUAACCUUAUUGCAAUAAACAUGAUCAAAUCAUAUUCAUGCUUAACGCAAAUGCCAAAUAACAUUUAUUUAGGUUCAACACUAAUCCCGAAAGUAUAGGGAGUGUGCGAUGAUGAUCAUAUCAAUCUUGGAACCACUUCCAACACACAUCGUCACUUCACCCUCAACUAGUUUCUGUUCAUUUUGCAACUCCCGUUUCGAGUUACUACUCUUUAGUAACUAAACCAGUAUCAAAUACCGAGGGGCUGCUAUAAACACUAGUAAGGUACACAUCAAUGAUAUGUAUAUCAAAUAUACCUUUAUUCACUUUGCCAUCCUUCUUAUCCGCCAAGUAUCUAGGGGCAGUUCCACUUCCAGUGAACAUUUCCUUUGCAGUAGAAGCACUCAGUUUCAGGCUUGAGUCUAGCUUUGGGUUUCUUCAUGGGAGUGACAACUUGUUUGUCAUUCUUCUUGAAGUUCCCUUUCUAUUCUUUUGCCCUUUUUUCUUGAAACUAGUGGUCUUGUAAACCAUCAACACUUGAUGCUUUUUCUUGAUUUCUACCUUCGCCAAUUUCAACAUCGCGAAGAGCUAGGGAAUUUCUUUCAUCAUCCCUUGCAUAUUAUAGUUCAUCACGAAGUUCUAGUAACUUGGUGAUAGUGACUAGAGAACUUUGUCAAUUACUAUCUUAUCUGGAAGAUUAACUCCCACUUGAUUCAAGCAAUUGUAGUACUGAUGUCUACUACACAACCUUCUUCUUGUAGAUGUUGUUGGGCCUCCAAGUGCAGAGGUUUGUAGGACAGCAGCAAAUUUCCCUCAAGUGGAUGACCUAAGGUUUAUCAAUCCAUAGGAGGCAUAGGAUGAAGAUGGUCUCUCUCAAGCAACCCUGCAACCAAAUAACAAAGAGUCUCUUGUGUCCCCAACACACCCAAUACAAUGGUAAAUUGUAUAGGUGCACUAGUUCGGUGAAGAGAUGGUGAUACAAGUGCAAUAUGGAUAGUAGAUAUAGGUUUUUGUAAUCUGAAAAUAUAAAAACAGCAAGGUAACUAGUGAUAAAAGUGAGCACAAACGGUAUUGCAAUGGUAGGAAACAAGGCAUAGGGUUCAUACUUUCACUAGUGCAAGUUCUCUCAACAAUAAUAACAUAAUUGGACCAUAUAACUAUCCCUCAACAUGCAACAAAGAGUCACUCCAAAGCCACUAAUAGCGGAGAACAAAUGAACAGAUUAUGGUAGGGUACGAAACCACCUCAAAGUUAUCCUUUCUGCUCGAUCUAUUCAAGAGUUCGUAGUAAAAUAACACGAAGCUAUUAUUUCCGUUCAAUCUAUCAUAGAGUUCAUACUAGAAUAACACCUUAAGACACAAAUCAACCAAAACCCUAAUGUCACCUAGAUACUCCAUUGUCACCUCAAGUAUCCGUGGGCAUGAUUAUAUGAUAUGCAUCACACAAUCUCAGAUUCAUCUAUUCAACCAACACAAAGUACUUCAAAGAGUGCCCCAAAGUUUCUACCGGAGAGUCAAGACGAAAACGUGUGCCAACCCCUAUGCAUAGGUUCAUGGGCGGAACCCGCAAGUUGAUCACCAAAACAUACAUCAAGUGGAUCAUGUGAUAUCCCAUUGUCACCACAGAUAAGCACGGCAAGACAUACAUCAAGUGUUCUCAAAUCCUUAAAGACUCAAUCCGAUAAGAUAACUUCAAAGGGAAAACUCAAUCCAUUACAAGAGAGUAGAGGGGGACAAACAUCAUAAGAUCCAACUAUAAUAGCAAAGCUCGCGAUACAUCAAGAUCGUGCCAUAGAGAGAGAACACGAGAGAGUUUGAUCAAACACAUAGCUACUGGUACAUACCCUCAGCCCCGAGGGUGAUCUACUCCCUCCUUGUCAUGGAUAGCACCGGGAUGAUGAAGAUGGCCAUCAGUGAGGGAUCCCCCCUCCGGCAGGGUGCCGGAACGGGCUCCUGAGAGGUUUUUGGUGGCUACAGAGGCUUGCGGCGGCGGAACUCCCGAUCUAUCUUGUUGUUCGAUGGUUUUAGGGUAUAUGGGAAUAUAUAGGUGAAAGAAGUCGGUCGGGGGAGCCUCGAGGGGCCCACGAGGGUGGAGGGCGCGCCCAGGGGGGUGGGUGCGCCCCUAUCUCGUGGCCUUCUCGACGCUUCCCUGGCUUGCACUCCAAGUUCCCGGGAUUGCGUUUGUUCCAAAAAUAAGUUUUCUGAAGGUUUCAUUCCGUUUGGACUCCGUUUGAUAUUCCUUUUCUUCGAAACACUGAAAUAGGCAAUAAAACAACAAUAUGGGCUGGGCCUCCGGUUAAUAGGUUAGUCCCAAAAGUAAUAUAAAAGUGUAUAAUAAAGGCCGUAAUCAUUCAAAACAAAUAAUAAAAUAGCAUGAAUGCUUCAUAAAUUAUAGAUACGUUGGAGACGUAUCAGCAUCCCCGAGCUUAAUUCCUGCUCGUCCUCGAGUAGGUAAAUGAUAAAAGAAAGAAUUUAUGAAGUGUGAAUGCUAGAAGGUGCACAAGUUUGAUUAAUGAUAAUUUCAAUCACCUUUUCUAGCAAGAUUAUAUGUCAUAACAGUAGUUUAUCUCAUAAAACUCAUCAAGAUCAAGUAAUAAGCUAUUCACAUGUUAAAGCAUAGACCAUAAACUUUCUUGAAAACUAGCAAACUUCAUUCUUGGUCAUCAAACAAUUACAAUUCAUUUUAUUUUUAGGAAGGGUCUAUGUCAUAGCUUUGAUUUAGCAAACUCCACAUACUCAACUAUCAUAUAGUCUUCUACAAUUGCUAACACUCACGCAAUACUUAUGGUUAUGGAGUUUUAAUCAGACACUGAGAAAGAUAGGGGCUUAUAGUGUUGCCUCCCAACGUAUUCACCUUUGGGUGAUGUCAACAAUAAUAGUUCAUGCUAACUUACAUCCAAUUGCAUAUAUAUAUAUAUCAGGAUCUUUCCAACAUGAGGUGCUUGCCAAAGGAUAAAAUGAAAAAGGGAAAGGUGAAGAUAACCUUGACUCUUGCAUAAAAUAAAAGACAUAAAUUAAAAGAUAGGCCCUUCACAGAGGGAAGCAGAGGUUGUCAUGUGCUUUUAUGGUUGGAUGCAUAAAAUCUUAAUGCAAAAGAACGUCACUUUAUAUUGCCACUUGUAUAUGGACCUUUAUUAUGCAGUCUGUCGCUUUUAUUGCUUCCAUAACAAGAUCGUAUAAAGCUUAUUUUAUUCACACUAAUAGAUCAUACAUAUUUAGAGAGCAAUUUUUAUUGCUUGCACCGAUGACAACUUACUUGAAGGAUCUUACUCAACCCAUAGGUAGGUAUAGUGGACUCUCAUGGCAAAACUGGGUUUAAGGAUAUUUGGGAGCACAAGUAGUAUCUCUACUUGGUGCAAGGAAUUUGGCUAGCAUGAGGGGGAAAGGCAAGCUCAACAUGUUUGAAUGAUCCAUGACAAUAUACUUUAACUAAGAUGUGAGAAAACAUAACCCAUUACGUUGUCUUCCUUGUCCAACAUCAACUCUUUAGCAUGCCAUACUUAAUGAGUGCUCACAAUUAUAAAAUAUGUCUAAGAUAAUAUAUUUAUAUGUGAAAUCUCUCUUCCUUCAAUAUUCUUUCAUGAAUUGUUCAAAUGACCAAUACAAUGUUUGCUAACCUUUAAUAAAUUUACAACUUUACUUAUUAGAUGUGAAGUCAUUACUCCCCAUGGGAUAAGCAAAUGAAACAUAUAUAAUUUCAGAUUUAUGACAUUCAACUCAUUCAACCAUUCACUCAUAGGAUAUAAGUGAAGCACACGAGUAAGUGACAAACUACUCCAAAAAUAUAUAAGUGAAGAUCAAUGAGUAGCUAAAUAAUUAUGUAACUGUGUGAAGACUCUCUCUCAAUAAAGAAUUUCAGAUCUUGGUAUUUUAUCCAAACAGCAAGCAAAACAAAAUAAAAUGACUUUGCAAGGAUAGCACAACUCAUGUGAAGAAGCAAAAACUGAGGUUCAACCAAUACUAACCGAUAGUUGUUGAAGAAGAAAGGUGGGAUGCCUAACGGGGCAUCCCCAAGCUUAGAUGCUUGAGACUUCUUGAAAUAUUAUCUUGGGGUGCCUUGGGCAUCCCCAAGCUUGAACUUUUGUGUCUCCUUAAUUCCUCUCAUAUCAUGGUUUCUCUUUUUAUCAAAAGCUUCAUCCACACCAAACUCAACAAGAACUCGUGAGAUAGGUUAGUAUAAACCAAUGCAAAACCUUAUCAUUUUCUACUGUAACAAAUCACUAAAAUUAUUAUUCAACAUUGCAUACUCUCCUAUCCUCAAAUAGAAUCAUUAAACAAGCAAACAUAUGCAAACAACGCAACCAUAACAACAAUCUUGAAAGUGCGUUAUAUCGACUAGAGGGGGGGUGAAUAGGCGAUUUUUAUAAAUUCUUCACUGAGGAAUUUGCUGGUGAGGAAAUUCCUAAAUGAAGAACUACUAGCAGCGGAAUAAGUACUCAGAAGUAAACAUAACAGGAUACAAGCAUAGUCAUCAUGGCGAGAUGAAGACAAACACAGAGUACAGAAAGCGUAAACACAAGAUAACACAAGAAUGAAGACGGACAGACUGAAGAAAUUGAUCUAAGGAAAUUGAGAAAGUCUUGAGUCAAAGUCUUCAAACAGAUAUGAACAGGCACACAACAACAGACAUGAGGAAAUGAAAGAGUUGAGGAAAUAGAACCAGUAGGCUUGGUGAAGACAAUGAUUUGGUAGACCAGUUCCAACUGCUGUCUCAGUUGUACAUCUGGUUGGAGCGGCUGAGUAUUUAAACUCGAGGACACCCAGUCCCGAACACACAGUCCUCACCAUAUUCUCCUUGAGCUAAGGUCACACAGACCUCGCCCAAACACUCGUGGUAAGUCUUCAGGUGUCUUCCGAACCUUCACAAACUCGGUCACUCGGCGAUCCAUAAUUCCUCUUGGAUGCUCUAGACCUUGAUGCCUAACCGUCUGGAAGAAGCACAGUCUUCAAAGGAAACAAGCCUCGGAUCCACACAGGAUCAAUCUCUUCAGUGAUGCUCAAUCACUUUGGGUUUGUAGGUGUUGGGUUUCAUUUUCCUCACUUGAUGAUUUUCGCUCAAAGUCCUCGAAGGAUGGGAUGCUCUCAAUUGACAAGUGUCAGUUUCUCUCGGAGCAGCCAACCAGCUAGUGGUUGAUGGGGGCGGCUAUUUAUAGCCUAGGGAGCAGCCCGACAUGAUAAGACAUAAAUGCCCUUGUCUGAUAUGACCGUUAGGUGGGUAGAUAUUUUGGAACCGCUGGCGCAUAGCACAGCAACGGUCGGAAUUUUGACUAUCAAAAUCCUCAGGGCUAUCAUGUUCCUCACUAUGCAGGUAAUUCACACUGGUGAAUUCCUAACUCCUCAGUCAGAACAAAUUCCUUAGAGACCAGAAGAACUUCGUCUCUGUCAGUGAAGAAUAUGACUGAACUGUAUGAGAUUUCCAAUGGCUUCACUCGAAGGGAUUGGUAGGUGUAGGAUUUUGAGUUGAGCAUCACAUGGAAAUUUUUCCUUAGUAUUUCCUCGACCCCCUUUAAUAGUACGAUGUUUCCUAUGACUCAAGAAAGAGAAAAUGAAACUACGAAAACAAAAGUCUUCACGCUUCAUGUUCCUCGAACUAAUACCAAGUCUUGAAGGUCACACCAAUUUCUUCACUUUCAAAGUCUUCAGAAAGUCUUCAGAUAUACAAAGUCUUCAGACGAAGAACUUCAUUUUUAGGGGUCGACUUUCUUUGCAAAUAUCAAACUCCUCAUAGACUUAUAGACCUGUGUACACUCACAAACGCAUUAGUCCCUUAACCUAUGAGUCUUCAAUACACCAAAAUCACUAAGGGGCACUAGAUGCACUUACAAUCUCCCCCUUUUUGGUGAUUGAUGACAAUAUAGGUUAAGUUUUCAACGGGGAUAAACAUGUGAAGUGUAAAUACUGGUAUUGAGGAAUUUGAUUGCAAGAUAUAGAAGAACUCCCCCUAAAGAUGUGCAUAGUGAGUAAUUUGCUUUUGAAGCAAUGCACACUUGAAGAGUAUAAUCAUGGAGAUCUCCUCCUAUAUCUUGCAACUCAUACACGCAUUUGAUAUAUAAUAUGAAGAAUUUGAAAUGCAUGAUGAAAUAUGGUGACUGAUGUAAUUCAGCAUGUGUGCAUUAACAUUAAUGAGGAAUAAGCAUGCAGAAGAACACAUCAAAAGUAUCAGGUCACCAUAGAGUUUAAGAUUACAACUCGAUCCAGCAAAGUCAUUAGAAGAACAAGAGUUGUAACUUAGCAAAAAAACGCCCAUAUAAGAUAGACCCGCUUGAAGACUAACUCAAAUUUCUCCCCCUUUGUCAUCGAAUGACCAAAAGGGUUGAAACUGAGGACUAACGCCCCUGAAGAAUAUCAUGAAGAUGGAGGAGCGCCAGCGUUGUCAGGGUCUUGAGUCGAUGUAGGGCCUGUUGCAGUGUCGUCCAAGUCUUCAUGCUCGUCCAUGGCGCGUGAUGAAGAAUAUGAGCUAGCCACCACGGAGGGAACCUUGACCCUCUUGAAUCUCUUCGGUGGAGGAGCAGACCAGUCAAAGUCUUCUUUGAAGCCCAUUUGCUUCAGAUCUUCUUCACCAUAUAGAUGUGACAGAAUAGCCCAGGUGCGAUCAAACACUUCAUGGAGGUAGUAGUGGUUUUUCUUCACUGCAUUAUGUGUGGAAGUCAUGUUGUGACGAAUAGAACUAAACUGACGCUUAACCCACUUGUGGUUGCGAUCCACCUUCUGGUGAAGACUUAUCAGCAAUUCAGGAUCAGUCAGCACACGAGGAGCAGUAGCUUGAGGACUUGUCUUGGUAGCAUUGGCAGCAGUAUCAUGAGUGGCAGAGUCAUCAUUGGUGGAGUAAGAUGUAGCUUUGCGGAACUGACCAUCCAAUGGACGAAUGCCUUCAUCGAUCACGGCUGGUGACUUGCCCUUCUCAUCAGAUGAGGAAAUUGUCCGCUUGAGGACUUCGAUAGGGGGCAAGUAGCUGAGGUGAUUUUGAAAAUCAGCCUUGUAGUUGAGUGAAGACCUUGUUCUGAGGAAUCUCAUGAUUCACGGCGCGUAAGGCUUCAGCUCAAAUGGAGAAAGUGCAACAUUCGCCAGAGUCCUCAUGAAGAAAUCAUCAUAAUUGAUGGGGAUGCCAUGCAUGAUAGCAUAUUCUUCAUCAUUCCAAUAAUUUCUUCAUCGGAUGAGUCAUGGCCUUGAUGGGACUCAUGGUGUUCGUCAGAAUGCGGUAGAUUGUCCUUGGCACAUAGAGCAAUUCCUUCACGAGGAAUUUGGUCCUUGGAGCCUGUCCUGGCUUCAGUGGCUUCAUGAGCACUUGCAUAUAAUGAUCAAUGAGUUCAGGCUCAUCAUACAGACAACGAGCACCGUCAAGUGGAGGACUGAUUGGUAGGGCACGAAGCAAUUCAGUGGCUGGUGCCUUGUAAUGAGUGUUUCCAGUCAUCCAGUCCAACACCCAUGAGUUGACGUCAGCAGCAUCGCCUGUGAUAUGCAAGGUUGCGUAGAACUGAAGAAUAAGCUCUUCAUUCCAAUCAACUAUGUCAGAGCAGAAAUUGAGCAAGCCAGCAUCAUGAAUCAUUAUGAGGACUUGAGAGAAACAUGACAUGGAUUCCAUGUCCACAUGAGGAAUAUGCUCAUGAUCGAAGACUUUGUCCUUGUUGUAAAGCACUGAGGAAUAGAAGUUUGCCUGGCUGGCAGUCCAGAAAUGCUUCCUUCUAAGACGAGCAUUGUCAUAGGGGUUGAAGUCAGUGAAGAACACGUGCUCGCCGAAGAAAUCAUCAACCUUGAAUUUUGGCUUCUUAGAGAAAGGAUCCUUUGGCUUGGGCUGAGGAGUGUCAGUCAAUUACAGCAGCACUUCAGGAAUCGCAAUCUCAGGUUCCUCAGGCUGAGGAAUUUCAGGCUCUUCUUCAGCUUCAGCCUGGGUCGUCAAUUCUUCAUUGACAAUUUCUUCAGCACUAGUGGCUGGAAUUUCUUCAUGAACACUUGGGGUUGCAUGAGGUUCAUCAGAUCCUAUUUGCACUUCAGUGGCGGCAGGGGACUGAGGAAUAGCUUGAAGGGGAGUGAACAUUGGAGAGUUGGGAUGUUGACUGUCCCAAAAUUCAUCAUUGAGCACAGGAGUGGUACAGCCAAUGUCCACAUCCUCCUCUUCAAUUUCUUCAACACCUGCCUCUUCAGCACUAAACUGAGGCAAAGGUGAGGAAAUGAUUGGGGUUUAAGGGAUCUCAUCCACUUCAAUUUCUUCGUCCAACUGCUCUGAAGAAGCAGCAGAAGGAGUUACUUCAUCAGAUUCAUCAGGAAUCACAGAGUCUUCACCAAAAGGAACAAGGUCCUUUGAUGGCAUUGAUGAAACAGGAACGGCAUCAAUUGGAUUGUGAAUGGAACUGAUCAGAGUCUUCAUCUUCUUUGGAGCUGAAGAAUUUGAUGAAGCUGAUGCCUUCCUUUUCUUCACAGCUGCAUGUUCUGCAGCCUUGGUCUUCUUCGCAUCUGAUGCAGAUGGAAGGAUUGGAGUUGGUGUAGGCGCAGGAGGUGCAGAGGACAUUGGUUCAUUUUCCUCAGGCGCAACUGAUGCAGUUGCCCUGACUUGUUCACUUUCUUCAGGCGCACCACUAGUGGAUGCCCUGGCAAUAUCUUCAGCGGCUGGAAUGGAGUCAUCAGCCCUAGCACUCUCAUUUUCUUCAGCAGCCUGAUUGUCAUCAGCGGUGCUGGAAUUUUCUUUAGUAGGCUGAGCAGAUGCCUCAGCCUGAGUAACUUCAACGUGCACAGGUGGAGCAGCACUUGAAGUUAAUUUCUUCGUCAGAUUGACGAAACGCACCUUGGAGCCCUUCUAGUCAGCAUAGUAGCGAUCAAUUUAUCACUCAAUUGCUUGAUUUCAGCUUGCAGAGCAAUGAGCUCAUGAGGGGUGAGAGUGAGGACAUUGUCCUUGAGGUAGCGUUGUUUCUUGUAUUGCGCUUUCUUCAGACUUCUGCCUUGUUCAAAUUUCCAUUUCUCUUCUUCAAUGAAGGCAGUGAGGACAUGGCUUUGACCAGGAGUGAGGUUCAUCUCAGUCAAAGUCGUGUUGGGGUCCUUGUGCCAUAAGUCAAUGUAAUCAAGGAUCAGCUUGGGAUCCAACAUCAGUGGCACAUUGCUGCCUUUGGCUCUAGCAGCCCUAGCUUGCCUGUUUCUGAUGAUUUCGGCAAGUUCUUCAUCAUCAGCCUCAUCAUCACCAGAAGGUACAUGGAAGGCGACCUACUUCUUGUGAGGACUUGGGCGAGUGCCUUGUCCAGUAGUGGCCUUUUUCUUCAGCAGAGAGGGACCAGCUAAGGAAUUUCGAGCAACAGAGGAGCUUGCAGAUGCUCCUGAGGCAAUAGAGAAGCCUUGAGUCCUUUGGCACGUGGCGAGAUGCACAGGUGCCGAGGAUUUUGUCGGAGUAGCUGAAGACUUUGACGGAGGAGCUGAGGACUUUGAAGGAGCAGUCUGAGGAAUAUGCCGUGAGGGCCUUGAGGUGUCUGGCCUUGAUGGCAUAGCAGAGGAGCUUGGCCGUGAGGGCAUUGAAGGUGAAGCACUAGACUUGUGUGCAGGCUUCUUGGGCUGACUGGCAGAGGCCUCAGUAGAGGCAGCAGCAGCAGCAGAGUCAGUGUUGAAUUUCCUCACUUCUUCCUUUGCUUGCUUAGCCAGUUUGGCUUGGCGUUUUGCCCAUUCGUCAGGAUAAUCCUCACCGCACUUGAGGCUAGUGGGAUCUGCCAACUGGCCUGGUGCCAAUGGAGGUCUUGGGCAUGGAGGGUUGAGUGCAAAUUUCUUCAUGUACUUGGGAGUUACAUACCUGUACUCCCUCCAUUCCCGUGCCCAUCUCCUUUCAAUCCUCUGUAUGCGCACCUUGCGCUGUUUUUUAUUCUCCUUACCAAAAUUGGCCUCAUCAGGUGUGCAAUAGCCUGCGUAAAUGUCCUCAGGGAUCUCAAAAGUAGUCAUGACCUCAGGCUUCUUUCCUCCCUUCCGUGGCUUCUUACCAUCUGCCAUUUUCUUCAGUUGAGGAAUUUGAACAAUUGAAUUCUCUGAAGAAGUAUGCAACUUUUCUUCGAGGAACGCUGCAAAUGAGUUAAGUUGAUGAGAACCUAGUGAUUCAGCAGCAGACAUUUGUACCUGUGAACAGAGUGUAGUUGCGAGGAAUUUGGAGAGGUCAUUUGCGUUCUCAGAGGGUUUUUCAAAAGGAACAAGUUUGAGGAAUUUGACCAGAUGAGUCUUGAGGAAUUUCACUAAGCGUUCUUUGUCUUAGGUUCCAGAGUUGUAUAGAUUGAAAAUCCACACAAUUGAGGAAUCUUGAAGAAAAUCAUAGCUUAGAGAAACGAAUCAAAAACAGAUGACAUGUGAGGUGUUUGUGUGUGUGAAGAAUUGAAGAAUAAACACCUUUGAAGAUUUUCAGAAAAACUUGAGAAUCAAAGCGAGCAGUUAAAAGUAACUUUUAAUUACCCGAAGUGAAGAACACGACAAACUGGGAAGAACAGAUGUGAAGUUCGUCAGUUCAGAUCUUCCACGCCCUAACUUGGCGGAGGAAGACGGCUACGGCGGCGGCGGAGUGAAGAUUUCUGCGGCCGGCGCGAGUACGAUGGCGACAAGGUCGAGGCAGUGAAGCUCUUCCUCACUGGUGAUGAUGGAGUAGCGGAGGCGCUAGGGUUUGAGAAGCUCGAGCGGGAGAGAGAGAUCGAGCGGAGUAAAGGAAGUGAGGAAGGGGUGAGGGGGUAUUUAUAGUCGCAGUGAAAAACUGUUCGCCCGAAGAUUUAGGUUGAACGUGCCCCUGACCCUUCUCAUUUGCAUGACAUGUGUCACCCACGUACUGUGAGGUGGCGAUCGUGUAGGAUCGUGGGUGAAUAGAUAAGUAUAUCAUGGGAUGCAGAACGGUUUGAGCGGCAAAGCCGAAAAUUCCGAUAAGAUAAGUUUUAAAGUUCCGUUCGCAAUUUCUUCAGCUGUCAAGGACACAGUGAAGAAUCUGAACGAGUUUCAAAUAGAGCGCAUAUGAGGAAUUUGUGAAUAGACUGGGUUGAGUUUCGCAUAGAGGGGGAAGGGUCCGAUCACAUUCACUUAGCAGAAGAAAUCAACUUGAAGAAAUAACAAUAAGUGAAUGUCGUAGAGGACUUAAAACUCAUAUAUAUAUAUAUAUAUAUAUUUAUAUUUAUAUAUAUAUAUAUAAAGAGAGAGAGAGAGAGAGUAACACUAUUCUGAUCCUGGGAUCAGAAUAACUAUUUGGAUCACGUCAGGCCUAUAUAGGGCUUGAUUAGGUUAUCUCGAGAUCUAAAACAUAGAGCCAGACCGGCCCACAAACAUAUUUCUGAAUAGCCUCAUAAGCCCCAAUGACCUUCUCCUCCUGCAGCCCCCGCCGCCGCGACCUCCUCCCGCGACCCGUCGCCGGCCUCCUCCCGUGACCCGCCGCCGGGCGACCCUCCGCUGGUCUCCUCCAGCGACCCUCCGCCAGCCUCCUUCCGCGACCCUCCGGCGGCCUCCUCCCACGACUCGCCGCCAUCCUCCUCCCGCGGAUCUCCUACCCUCCCGCGACUCACCGCUGUCCUCCUCCCGCGACUCACCGCCGUCCUCCUCCCGCGGAUCUGCUUCCCUCCCAUGACCCGCCGUCGUCCUGCUCCCGCAGCCCCGCCGCCAUCCUCAUCCCACCGAAGCUGCCCAUGCGCGCCGCCACCAGUGUCAUCCGCAAUAAACAUGUCGCAUCGGUCGCUGGUGCUCAAGGUCGAGGAUCGAAUGGAUCGUGCUGGAAUUGGAUUUGCAUAGCCGGCCUUGUGCUUCAUGGAGACCUCGGAUGUCCCUGCCGACCACCUACCUCUUCAUCGCAUAGCCACCGUGGCUCUCUCCAGCCAGAGCAGCCGCUGCUUCCUGCACCCACCCAUGCUCCGCCACCUGCACACCUCCUCUCCCCCUGAUGGCACCUUCCAUCUCACUGUACGUCUCGAUCAUUUGCUACUGUCCCCAUUGUACAGCGUUGCAUUUUUGUGUUACAUUCCUGACAAAAAAGCUUUCGUGUAUUUUGUGAUGAGGGAUGCAGAGAUUCAGAUAAGUUGUGUAGAAGUUCAAGUUUAAAAAAAUUGGUUGUUCGAUGUUUAAAAUAUUUGGAAGCAACUUUAUUAUGCUCUCCAGCUAUGGCAGUUGGAGCUGUUACUCCGUGAGGCCCCUAUUGUCGCUGCAAUUUCUUGGAGCUCUGUACUGCAAAAACGCUACUGCUCUGUCUAUCGAUCUGCUACCAACGCUCUUAAUGGUGCUGAUGAAGUUGAAGUGCUGCUACUGUUAACUUUGCGCGAGGCCGGCCCCUCCUUCAGGGCGAGCUGCGUUUGGACUUCUGUUGCAAUAUGAUGAGCACUUCGGGAUCACGGGGCGAGCACAAAAAAAGUGGCCAUCCCAAGCUCAGUUGCUCCCGUUGGCGGCCGCCCCUCCCGCUGCACGUCGCCGACCACAACGACGCAAGUAGUUCGAUCUAUAUGGGGAACCUGAAAUUCUUUCCGUUUCUAGAAAAAUAAAAGUAAAUUAAAAUGUUUGAUGAUUAUUUCAAAUAUAUAUUUUUUCUAAGAAUAAAACUAAGAAAUUCAAAUCAAAAUAACAGAGAAGUUUGAAAUUUAUAGACAACUAAGAUUUUUCCUCGUUACUAAAGAAUAAAAUCAAGAGGUUCAAACUAGAAAAAAAGGAACAACUAAAAAAUAUUAAAAAGAAAUUUCUUGUUUCAGUUUGCAAGUGCAAAAAAUAGGUGUCUGAAGUGCAAAAAAUAUUAAAAAUAUAUUCACUUUUUGAUGUCUGAAGUUCAGCUAUACCUGCAGGUGCAAAAAAAUAGGUGUUUUGGUCCAUUUGUUUCAGUUUGACAAGUCAGUUUUCUUCCAAGUUUAUCUCCAAAAUUCAACGAUGUCGUGGAUUUUUAAUCCUUCAGUUUCUGUGAUAAGAAGAACGACAACGACAUAUUUCUCUGAACUUCCCAUUUGGCCACAACUAGACCCCAAGAAAAGUGCACGUACAGGAUAUUGUUAAAACCAAAUAUGAUGUAAAAUCUAGAGACAAAAAUAGUGAAUAUAUUCAAUAGUUUUUUUGUUUACUUUCAUGUUUUCUCUGACUAUAUACAUGACAGUCUGUCAUUUGUAUUCAAAAUCAGAUCCUUGUUGAUGAGACCAUACAUUUCUAAAUAGUAUGCGGUCACAUUGUGUCGCCCAGAAAGUUCAACACCGUCGUUUCUGGCCGUUCAACGAUGCGGCUCCAAGAAGUUUUUUUUCCAUAUUGGUUUUAUAGUGUUAGUUUUUUUGUGUUCAUGUAGUAAAAAAUUAGGAAGUUCAAUUUUAAGGAAGCAUCAAGUUCAACCAAUACGGAAAAACUAAAAAAUACAUUGAAUACAAACUUUUUUAGUGAGGUUCAAAUUGGAAAGACACGAAAAAGAAUUGUUCUCUGCUCUUCGCAGUAAAAAAAUGGUCACGUAUUGGUUGGUUUCCCCAACUAGUUGCUCUGUAACACACAAUAUAUUGAUGCUUUCCUUCUCCUUCAUGAAACUGUUACAAAAAAAUAGAGCAUAGAAGUUCGAUAUUAAAAGCAAAAAAACAGGCGAGCAUUUCUUGGAGAUAAAAAAAGGUUGAUGCGAAGUUCAUAUUCUUUUUGCCGCACAUAGUUCAAUAUGUUCGCUUAGGGCAAAACACACACAUUGGGUAUCCAAAAAUAAGGAGGUGAACAUACAAAAAAUUCAUGAAGUUCAAAUUUUGAAAAUAGAGAAGUCUGAAGUUUAUUAAAAAAGGAAAAAAUUCGUUUCCAAAAAGUAAAAUAAAACGUUCAUGUUUAAAUACCACAACAGUUGGAUGUUUAUUAAAAUACUCCUAGCAAAGAUAAAAACUAGGAAGUUUAAUUUUAAAUUGUUCAAUAGUUUGAUGUAAAUUAAAAUUAUGGAUUUUUCUCCUUAUUACAAGAAUAAAAACAAGAAAUUCAAACUAAAAUAACGGAGUAGUUCAAUCUAUAUUAAAAACUCAAUUUUUUCUCAUUUUUAAACAAUACGUGGCCGAAGUUCAACAACAGCAAAAAUAGGGAGUGACCAAAUACACAACAUAAAAACAAGAAGAAAACAAAAGCAUUACCCAAAAAAACCAAUCCCUAAGUUCAAAUUUCCUUAAUUAGAUAGUUCAAUUAGAAAAAUUAUGAAACAAUAUUUACUGUGCGAAAAAAUAAAUUCAAUAGUAAUCAAAUUUUCCUUUUAUAAAAAAAAUAACACAUUAGUUCAACUUCUAUGUAAAGAAAUAAAUUUCCCCUUUUUAAAAAACUUAAAACCAAGAAGGUCAAAUUAAAAUAACAUAGCAGUCCAAAAACAAGAGAGAAAGCCAACUCAAAAUAACACAGCAGUCCAAAAAUGUUUAUAAAACAUGGGUUUUAAAAAAACUAGGAAAUUUGAAAUACCGAGAAGGUCAAACAAAAGUAGAAGUUCAAAUUUGAAAAACCUGGAAAUUCAAUUCAAAUAACCGAGAAGGUCAAACAAAAGUAGAAGUUCAAAUUUGAAAAACCUGGAAAUUCAAUUUCAAAUAACCGAGAAGGUAAAAAACUGGAAGUUCAAAUUUAAAAACCUAGAAAAUUGUUGGCUUAUUUAAAACCAUAUUUUUCUGAGAAGUUCAAAGUAAAAAAGAGAGAAGUUUGAAGGUAAAAAGAUGUUUUCACUUUACUAAAUAAUAAAAUGAAGAAGUUCAAAUUAAAAAAAGGAAAAACUAAAAAAGUUUUAAAAGAAUUUUCUCGUUUUUUAAGUCGAACACAAAGAAGUCCAAAUUGAUAAUGGUCAGAGAAAGUUAAAAAAAUUUAUUGUGAGAGAGGUUUGUAUAAAAUAAAUAUCAUUUAUGUAAUACUAACGAAUGGAUAAAAAAAAUUGUAAAUGAAAAUACGUCACAAAAGUUCAACUAGUACACUGAAUGAAUUUCAAGUAAUUUUUUUAAAUCGUUAGUAAAAUCUGAGUUUUACUAUCAUUGGUGCGGUGCAACUGGUUAAAUGUUUGAAACAAACCCAAAGAAGGUCAUUAAAAAAGCAUCUCAAACAAUUUUAUGAAAAAUAUUUCCUCCGUUAAAAUAAACCUAUAAGUUCAAAAUUAAAAACGGAGCGGCUAGAUUCUGUUAAAAAGUAGGAUUUUUUCGUUACUAAAAGAAAUAAAACCAGGAAGUCCAAAUUAAAAAGAUGCAGAAGUUCGAUGAUUAUAAAAAACUCAGAUUCUCCUCGUUAUUAAAGAAUUGAAACAAUAAGUUCAGAAAUUAAAUAACCAGAAGUUCAACUUUUAAAAAUAGAAUGCUUCAAAAUUUCAUAAAAAAGAUUAAGAAAAAAAACCCAAGAAGUCCACAUUGAAAAGUUGGAGAAGUUCGAUGAUUAUAGAAAACUCAAAUUUCCCUCGUUAUUAAAGAAUGGAAACAAGAAGUUCACAAAACAAAAUAACAAGAAGUUCAAUUUUUAAAAAUAGAGCACUUCAAAAUUCAUAAAAGAAGGAUUGAGGAAUUCAGAUUAAAAUUCAUAAAAAAUCAUAUAUUUUCAAAUAGACAUGCCCGAGAAGUUCAACUACUUCACGCAAUGCAUUUCCAUUCAUGAUAAAGGCAGAAACCAUGAUCUCGUCGUUUUCUAAUUUACUUCAAAACGACAGGAAUAUCAUUUGUGUAAGUUCAAGUCCUCGGUCGGAGAAAGUUAAAAAAAUAUUGUGAAAGAGGUUUGUACAAAAAGAAUAUCAUUUGUGUAACAGUGACGAAAAUGAAUGGGAAAAUUACAAACAAAAAUACGUCACAGAAGUCCAACGUGAAAAUAGCAGGAAGUUCACAAGAAAAACUUUUAAAACCGUCGCGAGUACGAAAAAAUGACCAACACAGAAAAGUUGUGUGUCUAUAGCAGUUUUCCAUCGGUAUAUCACUUGCUUAAUUCCGGUGAGUGUUCCGGUGAGUGAAUGAAGAGCUACGAGCAAAAAAAAUGACGUGAAAAAACAGAGUGAAGUUCAAGGAGAACUGCCAUAGAAGUUCAAGUACUUCACGGAAUGCAUUUUCGGCGAAUCUGUUUCGCGAUAAAGGAAGAACGAGUGAUCUCGCCGUUUCUGAAAUUACUUGAAAAUGGCAAGGAUUUAGACAAAACCAUCAACAUUAAAAAGUUUCGCAUUUUUUGUAGCUUUUCAAUAGUAUAUUAUUUGCCCCGUUCCGAUGAAGUUUGUAGAAAUUACGGCAAAAAUACGUUUUUAGCCAUUUUCAAAAUCAACGUAAAACCAUAAUGAAUUUGGAGAAACAAUAUAUACCAGCAAGUUUCGCAUUUGUUCAGGCUUUCCAACGUCAUAUCAUUUGCUACAUUCGGUCGUAUCAUUAAGAAAAUAGAUCAAAAACACAAACUUGGUAGAACUUGUACCGUUUCCUAAAUUAAUCUUAAACCAUUCAAAAUUAGAAAAAACUUUCAACAUGAGAAAAAAGCGCAUUUUAAUAAGCUUUCCAACGCCAUAUCAUUUGUCUCAAUUGGAUUAGGCGUUUAGAAAUGGCAUAAAAAAUGCGAACUCAGUUGUUCGGUUUGCGAAAUUUUACGAUUUUCCACAUUACUUUUUAACCAUAGGGAAUUAGAAAAAACUUUCAGCAUGUGGAAGGAGCGGUUUUACAGCAGCUUUCCAAUGCCAUAUUAUUUCCCUCAUUCCGAUAAACAUUUUAGAAAUGCGAUCUAAAAUACAAUUCACGUUUUUUGUAUGAAGAAAAAACGGUUUUCAAAACUGCUCUUAAACCACUUACAUUUUGCCAAAAUUUGAAGUUGGGUCAUGAUACUGGUGUCCAUAGCUUUCCAACGGCAUAUCGCAAGCCCCAUUUGGGCAAUGUUGAUGGAAGUUCAACUAGCACUAGGGGAAGUUCAGGUCGAACGAAUCAGGCAAUAAAAUUGCAAAAAAACGCAAUUUCAUCAUGAGCCGAGAGCAAAAUCCGCCAGCGAGCGACAUUUCUAUUUACAACCGGUAUUUAGUUGCUAAAAAACUUUUCUAGAUUACACUAACAUCAUAUAGAACACUACUAAACAGAAAAAUUCGCGGGGGAAGCCACGGUUGCAAAGAUAGCCCGAAGGUCGGGUCCGUACAGAGGGAAGUUCAGCGCGUGUACAAACAAAAAUACGUCACAGAAGUUCAACGUGAAAACAUCAGGAAGUUCAACUACUACGCUGAAUGAAUUUUAGAUGAAAAACUUUUAAAAUCGUUGCGAGUAUGAAAAAAUGAUCAACACGGGAAAGAUGCGUUAUUAUAUCAGCUUUCCAUCGAUAUAUCACUUGGUCAAUUCCGGUGAGUGGAUGGAGAGCUAGGAGCAGUGGAUAGAGGUAUACGAGCAAAAAAAGCAAGUGAAAAACAGAGUGAAGUUCAAGUACAUGUGCCGAGAAGUUCAGGUUCUUCACGCGGUGCAUUUUCGAAUAAUCAGUUUCUCGAUAAAGGCAGAACGAGUGAUCUCGCCAUUUUCGCAAUUACUUGAAAACGGCUAGGAAUCAGAGAAAAGCAUCAAAAUGAAAAAGUUUCGCAUUUUCCAUAGCUUUUCAGCGGUAUAUUAUUUGCCCCAUUCUGGUAUAGUAUGUAGAAAUUAUGCCAAAAAUACGUUUUUAGCCAUUUGUCCAAUUUGACUUGAAACUAUAAGGAAUUAGGAGAAACAAUAUAUACGAAAAAGUUUCGCAUUUUCUCAAGCUUUCAAACGCCGUAUCAUUUGUUUCGUUCAGACGUAUGGUUAAAACAUUAGGCCGAAAAUACGAACUCGGUGGAUUUUGUACCGUUUUAUGAAUUACUUUUAAACCGUUCCAAAUUAGAAAAAACUUUUAACAUGAGAAAGUAGCGCAUUUUCACAAGCUUUCAAAUGCCAUAUCAUUUGCCUCAAAUGGAUUAGCCGUUUAGAAAUUACAUUGAAAAUACAAACUCGGCUAUUCGGUUUGCAAAAUUUUACGAUUUUCAAAAUUACUCUUUAUCCAUAGGGAAUUAGAGAAAACUUUCAACAUGUCGAAGGAACGGUUUUGCAACAGCUUUCCAACGCUAUAUUAUUUACCUCAUUCUGAUAAACAGUUUAGAAAUGCGAUCGAAAAUACGAUUCACAUUUUUUGUAUGAAGAAAAAAUGGUUUUCAAAACUGCUCUUAAACCGCUUACAUUUUGCCAAAACAUUUAACUUGGAUCACGAUAUUGGUGUCCAUAGCUUUCCAACGGUAUAUCGCAAGCCCCAUUUGGACACUUUUUAGCUGAAGUUCAACCUAGUAUUCGUGGAAGGUCAAGCGCGUUACUCGGGAAGUUCAUGUUGUGAUCAGAAUAUUAUUUUCAUCCCAUGAUCAGAAUAGUGUUUAUGUAUAUAUGUAUAUAUAUAUAUAUAUAUAUAUAUAUAUAUAUAUAUAUAUUCGAAUGAAGAAUAACACCGGGAAGAGUGAAGACAAUGCAAAGUUGAAGAAUUUGAAAAACUGAGGAAUUUCAAAAACGAAGAAAAACUCAAAUUGAAGAUUUUUAACUUUGAUUGGUGGCGUAACCCACCGUAUAAGAAGGCUGAUUUCAGACACCGUGUACAAUUGUCGUAGGGCUCUGAGAAUCAAUUUCUUCAUUAAUUUCUUCACACUUAGAGGGUUAGUCUUCAUUGAUUGAAGAAAAACAUUACUUCAUGUGUUGCGCAUCUAAGUCAACAAGUCAGCAUAAGUGUUAGGAUGUGUGUCCAUUUCAGAGAACAUUCGAAGAUUGUAGGAUAUUUAGCUCACACCGCAACUUGCUAAAUCUCUUCUCAUCCAAGGGCUUUGUGAAGAUAUCGGCCAAUUGAUCUUCAGUGCUGACGUGGUCAAUGGAGAUGUCGCCCUUCAACACAUGAUCAUGAAGAAAAUGAUGACAAAUUUGGAUGUGCUUGGUCUUCGAGUGCUGAACUGGGUUAUGAGCAAUCUUGAUGGCACUCUCAUUGUCACAGUAGAGAGGCAAUUCUUCACGUUGACGCCAUAGUCCUUGAGUGUUUGCUUCAUCCAUAGUAGUUGAGCACAACAUGAUACAGCAGCAAUGUACUCAGCUUCUGCAGUGGAGAGAGAUACGCAGUUCUGUUUCUUCGAGGACCAACAGACCAAAGAUCGUCCAAGGAAAUGACAUGUACCAUAUGUUGACUUGCGGUCCACGCGAUCGCCAGCAUAGUCAGAGUCUGAAUAUCCAAUGAGAUCAAAAGUGGAACCCUUGGGAUACCAUAAUCCAAGUGUUGGUGUGUGAGCUAAGUAUUGAAGAAUAUGCUUCACAGCCUUAUGGUGUGAUUCCUUUGGUGUAGCUUGAAAUCGGGCACACAUGCAAACACUAAGCAUAAUAUCUGGCCUAGAUGCACAUAGGUACAAUAAAGAGCCAAUCAUGGAGCGGUAUACCUUUUGAUCGAAGUCUUUACCAUUUUCAUCAGUGCAUAGAUGGCCAUUUGUGGGCAUUGGAAUUUUGACCCCUUUGCAAUCUUGCAUCCCGAAUUUCCUCAAUACGUCCUUGAGGUAUUUCUCCUGAGAUAUGAAUAUUCCAUUGCGUUGUUGACGAAUUUGAAGACCUAAGAAGAAUUUCAACUCUUCCUUCAUAGACAUUUGAUAUUGUUCACUCAUCAUAUAGGCAAAUUCAUCACUAUAUUGUUGGUCAGUACAGCCGAAAAUGAUAUCAUCAACAUAUAUUUGGCACACAAACAAUUCACCAUCAUAAGAUUUAGUGAAAAGAGUUGGGUCGAGUGAACCGGGUUUGAAGCCAUUCUUCACAAAGAAUUCCUUCAAGGUAUCAUACCACGCUCGAGGGGCUUGCUUGAGGCCAUACAGGGCAUUGUUGAGCUUGAAGACUUUAUCAGGAUUCUUUGGAUCUUCAAAACCUGGGGCUUGAGCAACAUAUACUUCUUCCUCAAUCUUACCAUUGAGGAAUGCACUUUUCACAUCCAUUUGUUGUAAGAUAAUAUCAUGAUGGUUAGCAUAAGCAAGUAAUAUGCGAACAGCCUCAAGUCUAGCAACAGGUGCAAAAGUUUCAUCGAAGUCAAUUCCUUCAACCUGUGUGUAGCCUUGAGCUACAAGCCGUGCCUUAUUCCUAACCACAAGGCCAUUUUCAUCUUGCUUUUUGCGGUAGAUCCACUUUGUGCCAAUAAUGUUGUGCUUGCGAGGAUCUGGAUGUUUGACCAGUUCCCAGACGUUGUUGAGCUCGAACUGAUGUAAUUCUUCUUGCAUAGCUUGAAUCCACUCAUGCUUCAGAAAUGCUUCAUCUACCUUAGUGGGCUCUGUGAUAGAGACAAACACAAAGUGCCCACAAAAGUUAGAUAAAUGUGAAGCUUUUGAGCAUGUGAGAGAACCUGGUGCUUCAAUAUCAUUGAUGAUCUUCUCGAUUUGCACUUCAUUUGGAAUACGAGGAUGAGCGAGUUGUCUUCGAGGAAUUUGAUCCGCAUUUUCUUCAGGAGCAUUUUCCUCAGCACCAUUUUCUUCUGGUGUGCCAGCUCGACGUUCAUCACGUUCUGGAAUGAAUUCUUUAGCAGAUUCUUCAGUAGGAAUGACAUCCUUAGUGGCUUUGAACUUGAUAGAAUCCUCAGGUGUUGGUUCAUCUAUCACAGAAGGUAGGUGCUCUCUUUGCGAGCCAUUAGUUUCAUCGAACCACACAUCUACAGUUUCAACAACCUUGUGAAGAACGUUGUUGAAGACUCUAUAGGUGUGCGAGUCCUUUCCGUAACCAAGCAUGAAACCCUCAUGUGCUUUCGGUGCAAACUUAGAAUUGUGAUGAGAUCUCUAAUCCAACAUUUAGCACUGAAGACUCUGAAGUAACUUACAUUGGGUUUCUUGUAAGUGAGGAGUUCAUAGGCAGUCUUCUUGAAGAAUUUGUGAAGAUAUACUCUGUUGAUGAUGUGGCAAGCGGUAUCAAUUGCAUCAAUCCAGAACCGACGAGGUGUCUUGUAUUCAUCAAGCAUAGUGCGAGCCAUUUCAGCGAGAGUUCUGUUUUUGCGCUCCAUGAUGCCAUUCUGUUGAGGAGUAUAAGGAGCAGAUAACUCAUGGGUAAUACCAAGUUCAUCAAGAUAGUCAUCAAGACCAGAAUUCUUGAACUCAGUUCCAUUGUCACUCCUGAUGUGCUUGAUCUUCACACCAAAGUUGGUUGAAGCCCUUGAGGAAAAUCGUUUGAAGACUUCCUGCACUUCAUGUUUGUAAGUAACAAUGUGUACCCAUGUGUAAUGAGAAUAAUCAUCAACAAUUAAAAAGCCAUAUAGAGAUGCAUCAUUUGUCAUAGUAGAAUAAUGAUUAGGACCGAAAAGAUCCAUAUGAAGCAAUUCAAAUGGUCGAGUGGUAGUCAUGAUAGUCUUCGUUGGAUGCUUGGCCUUUGUCAUCUUCCCAGCUUCACAGGCUCCGCAUAAAUGAUCCUUGAGGAAUUUAACAUUCUCAAUGCCAAUGACAUGCUUCUUCUUCGCGAGCGUGUGCAGAUUCCUCAUGCCAGCAUGACCAAGUCGUCGAUGCCAUAGCCAUCCUUCUGAAGCUUUUGCAAGUAAGCACACGGCAGGUUGUGGUCCUGUAGAGAAAUCAACAAUGUACAAGUCUCCUCUCCUAAAGCCUUCGAAGACUUUGGAAUUGUCAGCUUCCAUGAUCACAACACAAUGAUACUUGCCAAAGACAACAACCAUAUCAAGAUCACAAAGCAUUGAGACAGACAUGAGGUUGUAUCCUAAGGACUCAACAAGCAUGACUUUGUCCAUGUGUAUGUCCUUAGAGAUCGCAACCUUACCUAGACCCAAUACCUGACUUUUGCCUUUGUUAGCGAAGAUGAUAUGCUUAAGAUGUGACAGUGAUAAGGGAGCAUCCAUCAAGAGAUUCAUGUCACCAGUCAUGUGAUUUGUACACCCACUAUCGAGGACCCACUCAUUUUCUUUGGGUUGGUCAUCCUGUAGAUGAAUUAGUGCAGCUUACAAACUCAUAUACUUCAUCAGUGAAGAAUAUGACAUCAGUAUCAUCAGGUCAAUUUCAUCAAGCAAUUUGAACAGCUGAUCAGUAUGAGGACGUGUGAAAUGAAGGUUCAUUUCAUCAUGAUUAGCCUGCGUCCUAUCAGGCACUGUUCAGGUCUCCAGCAAAUUCUUCAGUCGUUUUGAGCAUGACUGGAGAUCUGACCCUGCAUAAGAGAUUAGUUCUUUUUCUUCACCACCCACAUCUGAAGGGGUGGCAAAGAAUUCAUCACUCUGCGAGCACCAUAUGAGAAAGGUGGCAUAGACGCCAGUCCACUUUGUUUCACAUAAGAGGGGUUAGGGUAAGCAUAUGAGUAAGCAGAGAAAUUCUUCGAGGACUUAUGAACAUAAUGAUUUGAAGAAUAAUGCACAUAUUCAUAGCCCUUAGCUCUACCCUACGAAACAGAAGGGUUAGCACGAUGAUGAUCAUAUGAGGACUUUGAUCCUUUUGAGGAAUUUGAUCCAUGUGAGUAAUUUGGUCCACCUGAGGACAAGGAUCCAUAUGAAGAAUUUGGUUCAUAUGAAGAAUUUGAUCUGGAGUUCCUUUUCCUCACAGGUGGUGUCAUGAGGACAUUCACCUAAAGACUUUCAAGGCAACUUUUGGGAACCCAGAUUUUCUUCAUAGGAGAACCGUUCUUGCAGUUAGUCCCAAAAUAUCUAGCAAAUACUUCAUCAUUCUGAUUUUUGAACAGUUUAUAGUUAGAGUCAAAUGACUCAUCAAAAGAAUGAGGAGAUUCACAUGUAAAGCCAGAUAGGUUGGAUGGAUCAACUAGAGGUCCCUUUGCAGCAGCCCAUGAGGUUUUGGGGUACUGCUCAGGCUUCCAACAUGUUCCAUCAGCAUUGAGUUUCCUCUCAAAGGCAAUACCCUCUUUUCUAGGGUUUCUAUUGAGGAUCUGCUUUUUGAGCACAUCACAAAGAGUCUGAUGCCCUUUGAGGCUUUUGCACAUGCCUGUCAUGUACAAUUCCUUCAGCCCUGCAUCAUCAGUGAUACUAACAUUGUCCUCAGAUGAGGAAUUAGUGACAGCAGAGACAUAUGAAGAAUUUGUAGCAUUAGAAGCAUUUGAACAUUCAGGUGAGGAAUUAGCAGUUUCAUGUUCAAUGCACUUCAGACAUGGAGGAACAAAUUCUUCCUGGGUAGCGCUAAUUUGUUGAGCAAGUAAUGAAUCGCGCUCCUUCUGAAGAUCUUCAUAAUCCACUCUUAGCUUUUCAAGAUCUUGCUUUCUUUGAACAAAUUCAUAAGAAAGCUUCUCAUGAUCAGAUAAGAGAGUGUUAUGAUGACCUUGAAGAUUGUCAAACCUGGACUGAAGUCUCUGAAGAUUUUAAGUCAAGGUUUUAGUGCGAUCCAUUUCUUCACCCAACAUAUCAUCACUUUUGUCUAGCAUGUUUUGAACCUUUUUCAAAAGCCUUUUGUUGUUUCACAGCAAUUUUAGCAAGUUUAGAGUAGCUGGGUUUGAUAUUUUCAUCAGAUUCAUCCUCACUUGAGUCAGAGGAGGUGUAUUUAGUUACCUUGACACCCUUUGCCAUGAAGCAAUAGGUGGGAGCGUAGUCAUCAUUGCCUUCAUCAGCCUUGUUGGUGGAGUCGUUUUCAUCAGAGUUGAAGAUAGACUUGCUGACGAAUGCAGUAGCGAGAGCUAGGCUCUCCACACCAGACUCUGACUCCUCAGAUGCCUCCUCGUCCUCAUGUUCCUCAGAUUCAACCUCAGAGUCCAUUUCCUUGCCAAUGAAUGCCCGAGCCUUCUUGGAGCUGCUCUUCUUGUGAGAUGAAGACCUCGAGGAUUUUGAUGAUGAAGACUUUGAAGAUUUCUUCUUUUUCUUUGCGUCAUCAAAACUGUAAUCCUUGUAUUUCUUCUUCUUUGAUUCCUUAUCCCACUGAGGUCAAUCUUGGAUGUAGUGACCAGGUUUCUUGCAUUUGUAGCAUAGCCUCUUCUUGUAGUCACUAGAUGAGGAAUCAUUGCUCCUUGAGGGUUUUCCAAAGCGACCAAGUCUUGGGAACUUCUGAAAUUUCUUCACGAGCAGUGCAAGUUCCUGGCUUAGUUCUUCAGGGUCACCAAGGCUGCUAGCAGAGUCUUCAUCUUCAGACUCAGAGACUGCCUUGGCCUUCAAAUCACGUGAUCUGCCAUAGCUCGAACCGUAGAGAUCUCUCUUCUCAACAAGCUGGAACUCAUGAGUGUUUAGCCGCUGGAGGAUAUCAGUGGGAUCAAGUGACUUGUAGUCAGCACGCUCUUGAAUCAUCAGUGCCAGAGUGUCAAAUGAGGAAUCUAGUGAUCUCAGCAAUUUCUUCACCACCUCAUGGUCGGUGAUGUCAGUGGCGCCAAGCGCUUGAAGCUCAUUUGAGAUGUUACUGAGGCAAUCAAAGCUUUGCUAAACAUUUUCAUUGUCGAGUCUUUUGAAGCGGUUGAAGAGAUUGCGAAGAACAUCAACAUGAGAGUCACGUUGAGUUGAGACUCCUUCAUUUACUUUGGAUAGCCUAUCCCAGAUAAGCUUGGCAGUUUCCAAAGCACUCACUCUUCCAUACUGUCCUUUGCUCAGAUGACCACAUAUGAUAUUCUUCGCUUGAGAAUCGAGUUGCUUGAAUCUCUUCACAUCAGUAGUUCAGAGAGGGUGAGACUGUGGGAACAUCAUUUUCCACAACAUACCAAAGAUCGUUAUCAAUUGCCUCAAGAUGCAUUCGCAUCUUGUUCUUCCAGUAGGGGUGUCCGUUCCAUCGAAGGUAGGACACCCAGCAGAGACCUUGAUCAUACCUGAGGUCGACAUAACUAAAACUCCAGGUGGUUAAACCAAAUCACACAGAAUAAGGGAGUACCUUGCUCUGAUACCAAUUGAAAGUGCGUUAUAUCGACUAGAGGGGGGUGAAUAGGCGAUUUUUAUAAAUUCUUCGCUGAGGAAUUUGCUUGUGAGGAAAUUCCUAAAUGAAGAACUACUAGCAGCGGAAUAAGUACUCAGAAGUAAACAUAACAGGAUACAAGCAUAGUCAUCAUGGCGAGAUGAAGACAAACACAGAGUACAGAAAGCGUAAACACAGGAUAACACAAGAACGAAGACGGAUAGACUGAAGAAAUUGAUCUAAGGAAAUUGAGAAAGUCUUCAGUCAAAGUCUUCAAACAGAUAUGAACAGGCACACAACAACAGACAUGAGGAAAUGAAAGAGUUGAUGAAAUAGAACCAGUAGGCUUGGUGAAGACAAUGAUUUGGUAGACCAGUUCCAACUGCUGUCUCAAAUGUACAUCUGGUUGGAGCGGCUGAGUAUUUAAACUCGAGGACACCCAGUCCCGGACACACAGUCCUCACCGUAUUCUCCUUGAGCUAAGGUCACACAGACCUCACCCAAACACUCGUGGUAAGUCUUCAGGUGACUUCCGAACCUUCACAAACUAGGUCACUCGGCGAUCCACAAUUCCUCUUGGAUGCUCUAGACCUUGACGCCUAACCGUCUAGAAGAAGCACAGUCUUCAAAGGAAACAAGCAUCGGAUCCACGCAGGAUCAAUCUCUUCAGUGAUGCUCAAUCACUUUGGGUUUGUAGGUGUUGGGUUUGGUUUUCCUCACUUGAUGAUUUUCGCUCUAAGUCCUCGGAGGAUGGGAUGCUCUCAAUUGACAAGUGUCAGUUUCCCUCGGAGCAGCCAACCAGCUAGUGGUUGAUGGGGACGGCUAUUUAUAGCCUAGGGAGCAGCCCGACAUGAUAAGACAUAAAUGCCCUUGUCUGAUAUCACCGUUAGGUGGGUAGAUAUUUUGGAACCGCUGGCGCAUAGCACAGCAACGGUCGGAAUUUUGACUAUCAAAAUCCUCAGGGCUAUCAUGUUCCUCACUAUGCAGGUAAUUCACACUGGUGAAUUCCUAACUCCUCAGUCAGAACAAAUUCCUCAGAGACCAGAAGAACUUCGUCUCUGUCACUGAAGAAUAUGACUGAACUGUAUGAGAUUUCCAAUGGCUUCACUCGAAGGGAUUGGUAGGUGUAGGAUUUUGAGUUGAGCAUCACAUGGAAAGUUUUCCUUAGUAUUUUCUCGACCCCCUUUAAUAGUACGGUGUUUCGUAUGACUCAAGAAAGAGAAAAUGAAACUACGAAAACAAAAGUCUUCACGCUUCAUGUUCCUCGAAUGAAUACCAAGUCUACAAGGUCACACCAAUUUCUUCACUUUCAAAGUCUUCAAAAAGUCUUCAGAUAUACAAAGUCUUCAGACAAAGAACUUCAUUUUUAGUGGUCGACUUUCUCUGCAAAUAUCAAACUCCUCAUAGACCUAUAGACCUGUGUACACUCACAAACGCAUCAGUCCCUUAACCUAUAAGUCUUCAAUACACCAAAAUCACUAGUCUGUAAAGAAUGCAAGAUUCAUCAUACUUCCCUAACUCCAAAAAUUAUGAGCAAAAUAUCUUACUGUAUAAGAUUUAUCAUAGCUCAAUAUGCAAAAGGUUUCAACAUUAUACCAUUCCCUAACUUUUCUAUGGAAUUUUUGCAACAACGGUAAACUUUCUGUUUUCAAACAGCAACAUGUAUACUAGCAAAAUAAGCGUGGCAAAGGCUAUCCUUGACAUUUUUAUUGAAAAUAAAGAUGCAAAACAUUAUUCUAAUUAACAGAAAGCAAAAACUAACAAAAUAAAAUGAUGCUCCAAGCAAAACACAUAUCAUGUGGUGAAUAAAAAUAUAGCUCCAAGUAAAGUUACCGAUGAACGAAGACGAAAGAGGGGAUGCCAUCCGGGGAAUCCCCAAGCUUAGGCUCUUGAUUGUCCUUGAAUAUUACCUUAGGGUUCCUUGGGCAUCCCCAAGCUUAGGAUCUUACCACUCCUUAUUCCAUAGUCCAUCUAAUCUUUACCCAAAACUUGAAAACUUCACAACACAAAACUCAAGAGAAAACUCGUAAGCUCUGUUAGUAUAAGAAAAUAAAACAACCACUUAGGUACUGUAAUGAACUCAUUCUAAAUUCAUAUUGGUAUAAUAUCUACUAUAUUCUAACUUAUCUAUGGUUCAUACCCUUCGAUACUACUCAUAGAUUCAUGAAAAUAAGCAAACAACACAAUGGAAACAGAAUCUGUCAAAAACAGAACAGUCUAUAGUAAUCUGUAUCAAACGUAUACUUAUGGAACUACAAAAAUCCUACCAAAUUAGGAAGUCCUAAUCAAUUUGUGUACCAAUCCAUAUAAAAAACGAAUCAGAGCAGAAGCACGUUUCUGGGAAUUAUCAAAACUAAUUUACUGGGUUAAAAAGUUUCUGAUUUUCAGGAGGAUCAACACAACUAUCACUCUAAGCUAUCCUAAAGGUCUUACUUGGCACUUUAUUGAAACAAAAGCUAGAAAACAUGAUUACUACAGUAGAAUAAUCAUGUGGACACACAAAAACAGUAAGGAUAAAUAUUGGGUUGUCUCCCAACAAGUGCUUUUCUUUAAUGCCUUUUAGCUAGGCAUGAUGAUGACAAUGAUGCUCACAUAAAAGAUAAGAAUUGAAACAUAACGGGAGCAUCAUGAAGCAUAUAACUAGCAAAUUUAAGCCUAACCCUCUUCCUAUGCUUAGGCCUUGUUCGGUUUGGCAGGGUUUGAAGAGGUUUGAAAGGGAUUGAAAGGGAUUAAAUCCCUUGCAAGUCAAAAUCCUUCUCAAACCUCCCCAAUCCCCUUCAAUCCCUAUGGCAAGAGGAUAAACCGAACAUGGCCUUAGGGAUUUUGUGAGCAAAUAACUUAUGGGAACAAUAAUCAACUAGCAUAGGAAGGCAAAACAAGCAUAACUUCAAAACUUUAAGCACCUCGAGAGGAAACUUGAUAUUAUUGCAAUUCCUACAAGCAUGUGUUCCUCCCUCAUAAUAAUUUUCAGUAGCAUCAUGAAUGAAUUCAACAAUAUAACCAGCACCUAAAGCAUUAUUUCCAUGAUCUACUUGCAUAAAAAAUUUACUACUCUCCACAUAAGCAAAAUUCUUCUCAUGAAUAGUAGUGGGAGCAAACUCAACAAAAUAAUUAUCAUGUGAGGCAUAAUCCAAUUGAAAACUAAAAUCAUGAUGACAAGUUUCACGGUUAUCAUUAUUCCUAAUAGCAUACAAGUCAUCACAAUAAUCAUCAUAGAUAGCAACUUUGUUCUCAUAAUCAAUUGGAACCUCUUCCGAAAUAAUGGAAUCAUCACUAAAUAAAGUUGACACUCUCCCAAAUCCACUUUCAUGUUCAUCACAAUAAGAUUCAACAUCCUCCAAAAUAGUGGGAUCACUACUUCCUAAAGUUGACACUCUUCCAAACCCACUUUCAUCAAUAUAAUUGAAAGUGCUAGUAUCGACUUGAGGGGGGGUGAAUAGGCGAUUUUUAUGUAAGUCUUCAAAACUUGGAAGUUUCGAAGACAAACAAUAGAAAUGACCUAGUUGAUAUGCAGCGGAAGAUAAACUACCAUAAGCAAACCAUAGUCAAGUAUGCAAUGAUGUGACAGUAUAGGACUAAUAGCAGCUAAGUAGUAAGGAUCAGGAUGGAAGAUAGUAUGACGCCAAUUAACAGUAGUAGUCAAGCAAUGAAGUCAAACAGAUACACAGAUAGGCAAUGACUUCACGAAGACAAACUUAAGUAAAGGAAGGAAGAGGAUAGAACCAGUCACUUGUUGAAGACACAGGAUUUGUUGGACCAGUUCCAGUUGCUGUGACAACUGUACGUCUGGUUAGGGAGGCUGAGAUUCAACUCAGAAGACCGUGCCUUCACCUUGUUCCCCUUGAGCUAAGGACACCUAGUCCUCGCCCAAUCACUCUGGUAAGUCUUCAAGGUAGACUUCCGAACCUUCACAGACUUCGUUCACCGGCAAUCCACAAUGACUCUUGGAUGCUCAGAACGCGACGCCUAACCGGCUGGAGGAUACACAGUCCUCAAGUGUAAUAAGUCUUCAGGUCACACAGACAGAAAGACUUCAGUGAUGCCUAACACUCUUUGGCUCUGGGUGUUUGGACUUGGUCCUCGCAAGGAUUUCUCUCUCUCAAAGGCUUCGAGGUGGGUUGCUCUCAAACGACAAAAGUUGUGCACUAACUCUGAGCAGCCACCAAUUUAUGGUGUAGGGGGUGGGCUAUUUAUAGCCACUGGGCAACCCGACCUGAUAUGUCCGAAAUGACCCUGGGUCACUAAGGAACUGACACAUGUUCCAACGGUCAGAUUUCAAACACACACGGCAACUUUACUUGGGCUACAAGCAAAGCUGACUUAUCCAGCUCAGGAUAAGAUUUGCUCUCAUUGUCUUCGCUCGAAGACAUAGGAUUUGGGUUGAGCAUCACUUCAGUCAUUCUGACUUAGUUCACUUGGACCCCACUUAACAGUACAGUGGUUCCUAUGACUCAACAAAGAAGAAAAGGAAAUAGCGAAACAACACAGUCUUCGCACUCCAUAGUCUUCACUCAAUGUCUUCUCAUGUCAUAGUCUUCAAUAUGAAUAUCUUCACAUACCACCAUUGUCUUCAAUGUCUUCAUACAUUUUUAGGGGUCAUCUCCGGUAGGUAAACCGAAUCAAUGAGGGACACUACAUGUGUUAUCCUACAAUUCUCACAAACGCAUUAGUCCCCCAACCAACUUUGUCGUCAAUACUCCAAAACCAACUAGGGGUGGCACUAGAUGCACUUACAAUAAUCAUCAUAAAUAGGAUGCAUGCUUUCAUCAUAAUAAAUUUGCUCAUCAAAACUUGGGGGACAAAAAAUAUCAUCUUCAUCAAACAUAUCAUCCCCAAGAUUGUGGCUUUGCAUAUCAUUAGCAUCAUGGGUAUUCAAGGAAUUCAUACUAAUUAACAACAUUGCAAUCAUGCUCAUCAUUCACAUAUUUCAUGCCAAGCAUUCUAUGUAAUUCUUCUUCUAGCAUAUGAGCACAAUUUUCCUUUUCAUCAUUCUCACAAAAAAUAUUAAAAAGAUGAAGCGUAUGAGACAAACUCAAUUCCAUUUUUUUUGUAGUUUUCUUUUAUAAACUAAACUGGUGAUAAAACAAGAAACAAAAAGAUUCGAUUGCAAGAUAUAAAGAUAUACCUUCAAGCACUCACCUCCCCGGCAACGGCGCCAGAAAAGAGCUUAGUUGACGGGGUGUGAGUGCCUCUUACCUAGCCUCCCCGGCAAUGGCGCCAGAAAAGAGCUUGAUGUCUACUACACAACCUUCUUCUUGUAGACGUUUUUGGGCCUCCAAGUGCAGAGGUUUGUAGGACAGCAGCAAAUUUCCCUCAAGUGGAUGACCUAAGGUUUAUCAAUCCGUAGGAGGCGUAGGAUGAAGAUGGUCUCUCUCAAGCAACCCUGCAACCAAAUAACAAAGAGUCUCUUGUGUUUCCAACACACCCAAUACAAUGGUAAAUUGUAUAGGUGCACUAGUUCGGCGAAGAGAUGGUGAUACAAGUGCAAUAUGGAUAGUAGAUAUAGGUUUUUGUAAUCUGAAAAUAUAAAAACAGCAAGGUAACUAAUGAUAAAAGUGAGCACAAACGGUAUUGCAAUGGUAGGAAACAAGGCAUAGGGUUCAUACUUUCACUAGUGCAAGUUCUCUCAACAAUAAUAACAUAACUAGACCAUAUAACUAUCCCUCAACAUGCAACAAAGAGUCACUCGAAAUCCACUAAUAGCAGAGAACAAACGAAGGGAUUAUGGUAGGGUACGAAACCACCUCAAAGUUAUCAUUUCUUCUCGAUCUAUUCAAGAGUUCAUAGUAAAAUAACACGAAGCUAUUCUUUCCGUUCAAUCUAUCAUAGAGUUCAUACUAGAAUAACACCUUAAGACACAAAUCAACCAAAACCCUAAUGUCACCUAGAUACUCCAUUGUCACCUCAAGUAUCUGUGGGCAUGCUUAUACGAUAUGCAUCACACAAUCUCAGAUUCAUCUAUUCAACCAACAUAAAGUAUAUCAAAGAGUGCCCCAAAGUUUCUACCGGAGAGUCAAGACGAAAACGUGUGCCAACCCCUAUGCAUAGGUUCAUGGGCGGAACCCGCAAGUUGAUCACCAAAACAUACAUCAAGUGGAUCACAUGAUAUCCCAUUGUCACCACAGAUAAGCACGACAAGACAUACAUCAAGUGUUCUCAAAUCCUUAAAGACUCAAUCCGAUAAGAUAACUUCAAAGGGAAAACUCAAUCCAUUACAAGAGAGUAGAGGGGGAGAAACAUCAUAAGAUCCAACUAUAAUAGCAAAGCUCGUGAUACAUCAAGAUCAUGCCAUAGAGAGAACACGAGAGAGAGAGAGAGAGAUCAAACACAUAGCUACUGGUACAUACCCUCAGCCCCGAGGGUGAACUACUCCCUCCUCGUCAUGGAUAGCGCCGGGAUGAUGAAGAUGGCCACCGGUGAGGGAUCCCCCCUCCGACAGGGAGCCAGAACGGGCUCCUGAGAGGUUUUUGGUGGCUAUAGAGGCUUGCGGCGGCGGAACUCCCAAUCUAUCUUGUUUUUCGAUGGUUUUAGGGUAUAUGGGAAUAUAUAGGUGAAAGAAGUCGGUCGGGGGAGCCUCGAGGGGCCCACGAGGGUGGAGGGCACGCCCAGGGGGUGGGCGCGCCCCUAUCUCGUGGCCUCCUCGACGCUUCCCUGGCUUGCACUCCAAGUUCCCGGUAUUGCGUUUGUUCCAAAAAUAACUUUUCCGAAGGUUUCAUUCCGUUUGGACUCCGUUUGAUAUUCCUUUUCUUCGAAACACUGAAAUAGGCAAUAAAACUGCAAUAUGGGCUUGGCCUACGGUUAAUAUGUUAGUCCCAAAAGUAAUAUAAAAGUGUAUAAUAAAGCCCGUAAUCAUUCAAAACUGAUAAUAAAAUAGCAUGAAUGCUUCAUAAAUUAUAGAUACGUUGGAGACAUAUCAAGUACCCGGACAAUCUGAGCACAUGCUCACUGGUUGAGCUAUUCUCCUCCAUCUUGUAGGCAAAGUACUAUCAGAGGUCUCAUACCUCUUGACAAGGGCAUGAGUAUGAAAUACCAAUUUCAACUCUUGGAACAUCUUAUAUGCUCGGUGGCGUUCAAAACAUUUUUGAAGUCCCGGUUUUAAGCCGUAAAGCAUGGUGCACUAAACUAUCAAGUAGUCAUCAUACCGAGCUUUUGUCAAAACAUUCAUAACGUCUGCAUCUACUCCUGCAAUAGGUUGGUCACCUAGUGGUGCAUCAAGGACAUAAUACUUCUGUGCGGCAAUGAGGAAAAUCCUUAGAUCAUGGACCAAGUCCGCAUCAUUGCUACUAUCAUCUUUCAACAUAGUUUUUCUCUAGGAACAUAUAAAAAUAAACGGGGAGCAACAUCACGAGCUAUUGAUCUACAACAUAGUUAUGCAAAUACUAUCAGGACUAAGUUCAUGAUAAAUUAAAGUUCAGUUAAUCAAAUUACUUAAGAACUCCCACUUAGAUAGACAUCCCUCUAGUCAUCUAAAUGAUCACGUGAUCUAAAUCAACUAAACCAUGUCCGAUCAUCACGUGAGAUGGAGUAGUAUUAAAUGGUGAACAUCACUAUGUUGAUCAUAUCUACUAUAUGAUUCACGUUCGACCUUUCGGUCUCCAGUGUUCCAAGGCCAUAUCUGCAUAUGCUAGAGGCUCGUCAAGUUUAACCCGAGUAUUCUGCGUGUGCAAAACUGGCUUCCACCCGUUGUAUGUGAACGUAGAGCUUAUCACACCCGAUCAUCACGUGGUGUCUCAGCACAAAGAACUGUCACAACGAUGCAUACUCAGGGAGAACACUUAUAGCUUGAAAUUUUAAUAAGGGAUCAUCUUAUAAAGCUACCUCCGAACUAAGCAAAAUAAGAUGUAUAAAAGAUAAACAUCACAUGCAAUCAAAAUAUAUGACAUGAUAUGGCCAUCAUCAUCUUGUGCCUUUAAUCUCCAUCUCCCAAGCAUCGUCAUGAUAUCCAUCGUCACCGGCAUGACACCAUGAUCUCCAUCAUCUUGAUCUAUAUCAAUGCUUCGUCACAUGGUCGUCUCACAAACUAUUGCUCUUGCAACUAUUGAUAUCGCAUAGCGAUAAAGUAAAGAAAUUAUUUGGCGCUUGCAUCUUAUGCAAUAAAGAGACAACCAUAAGGCUUCUACCAGUUGUCGAUAACUUCAACAAAACAUGAUCAUCUCAUACUCAACUUAUAUCUCAUCACGUCUUGACCAUAUCACAUCACAACAAGCCCUGCAAAAACAAGUUAGAUGUCCUCUACUUUGUUGUUGCAAGUUUUACAUUGCUGCUACGGGCUUAGCAAGAACCGUUCUUACCUGCGCAUCAAAAACCACAACGAUUUUCGUCAAGUAUGUGAUGUUUUCACCUUCAACAAGGAUCGGGCGUAGCCACACUCAAUCAACUAAAGUUGGAGAAACUAACACCCACCAGCCACCUGUGUGCGAAGCACGUCGGUAGAACCAGUCUUGCGUAAGCGUACGCGUAAUUCUAUCCGGGCCGCUUCAUCGAACAAUACCGCUGAAUCAAAGUAUGACAUGCUGGUAAGCAGUAUGACUAGUAUCGCCCACAACUCACUUGUGUUCUACUCGUGCAUAUAACAUCUACGCAUAAAUCUGGCUCGGAUGCCACUGUUGGGGAACGUAGUAAUUUCAAAAAAAUUCCUACGCACAUGCAAGAUCAUGGUGAUGCAUAGCAACGAGAGGGAAGAGUGUUGUCUAUGUACCAUCGUAGACCGUAAGCGGAAGCGUUAUGACAACGCAGUUGAUGUAGUUGUACGUCUUCACGAUCGACCCAUCCUAGUACCAAACGUACGGCACCUCCACGAUCUGCACACGUUCAGCUCGGUGAUGACCCACAAACUCACGAUCCAGUAGAUCUUCGAGGGAGAGCUUCGUCAGCACGACGGUGUGAUGACGGUGAUGAUGAAGCUACUGGUGCAGGGCUUCGCCUAAGCACUACGAUGAUAUGACCGAGGUGGAUUAUGGUGGAGGGGGGCACCGCACACGGCUAAAAGAUCAAUAAUCAAGUUGUGUCCAUGGGGUGCUCCCUCCCCCGUAUAUAAAGGAGUGGAGGAGGGGAGGGUGACGGUGUCCUGGACUAGGGGGUACUCACCACGUCGUCUCCCGAUCAGUUGGAUUGGGCCGAGGACCCCCAUGGCCAUAUACUCAUGGGCCAGUUCGGACAACCCCUGCCGCAUACAAGGAAGACUCCACAAGACUUGGUACCCAAGACAAGGAUUCUCCUAAACCCUAGGCCUCCAGUGUCUUAUAUAAACCGAGGCCAGGCUAGUCAAUAGACAAUCUCAUAUUCAUUACUACAAUCUCAUGUUAGACACAUGUACUCUCUACUACACCCAUAUGAAUACAAUCAAAAGCAGCAUGUAGGGUAUUAUCUCAUCAAGAGAGCCCGAAGCUGGGUAAAACCCCGUGUCCAUGUUACCAUCACUCCAAGACGCCUAGCUUAGGACCCCUACUACGAGAUACGCUGGAUAUUGAAUCGACAUUGGUGCUUUCAUUAAGAGCCUGCUAGGUGAUCACCGCGCAUCGAUGAAUUAGCAGGUGAUAUUUUUUCAGUUAAAUCCGUAUAGAAUAAGGCAAUUUCUUCUCGAAGUAUUACUACUGCCUUGUUGUAUUGUUUGCAGAUGUGUUUCGGUCUCGCGAGCAGCGGCGAUUUUUUCGCAUGACUCGGCCACAGUAGGAUGGCCGAGGUAUUCGCGAGGUGCGCGUGCGUAUGGCCGAACAUAUAGGAGCCGCCCUACACCUCUGCUACAUCGGAGACAUUAGGCCAAGGCAAACCCAUGCAUGCAAGCAUGGAUUGAAUAGUGAUUCAUCCGCACGCGGAUCAAGGGAACAAUUCUUUUUGUGGGCUUUGUCCUCCUCUGCACGUGAGCUAUCAGGAGAGUGCACCAAUUUGCUAACUAGAACUAUUAGUUAAUUGGAAUACAAGACGGUUACAAUGAAUUGUGUGCCUCGUCCCUUGCUAUACUAGUUACAUAAAGGCCAAACUAAUAUUUGUUUCUUCCUUUUUUUCAUCAAUUGUCACGGCAACCCCCCAUGGAGAUCAACCCGGCCAGCAGGAUCUGAGGUUGGCUGACAGGGUUCGGCUAGGCGGCGUUCCAGCUGAGGACGGGACAGAGCUUGCACCAGCGUGUGCGAACCGAGAUGUUGUAUUAAUCCCGUCGGUCGCUGACAACAUCAGGGAGAUUCACUUCCUUUUGUUUUUCAAUUCAGCUUCUAGUCGUUCUACUACCUUUUGGAGAAGUAUGUAAGUACUAACUACUCCUACUAAUGCAAUUGAUUUAGUCUUGCAGCACGAUCUCCUAAACCUAGUUGGUGGACACUAGUAAUCCAACCAGUAUUACUACUGCACGUUUGGUGAAUCUUCAUAUAAAGAUUGAAGCAGUCCGACUCUCGGUAUCCGUUCAGUAUGAAUCAGUUCUUCUUGCUUCCGUCUGCCGCGGUCAUCAUCGUCGAACAGUGUAUCCAGAUUUUUGUCCGCGGUCUCACAAACGUCGCAUCUACAACUGGAUCCGCCCUAUAAAAUGGAGGCUAUUAGUCCUUCGCCACCACCAAGCUCGGCCCCGGUAAUCAACUCGACCGCGUCACACAGUCAACUCUGUGGGCCGACAUCGUCGUCCUCUUGCGUCGAUCAAGUUGUGGCGUCGCCUCAGCGCGCGUCCCUGUGUCAACAUCUCCGCGGCAACUCUGUUGGGACGACCUUGGCGUUCAGGCCAUAUUUCUUUAAUUAUUUACUUUACUUAAAUUCAUUAAGUAGAGGAUUUUUUAUAUAUAAAAAUAUAUUGUUAUUACCUCUGGCUUGGACUAUUUUAUCUGUGCAGGCAAUUGACUUAGAUCGGGCCGCACUAUCCCCACGGCGUGGUAUCCUCGUCGCCGACCUCCAUCGACCGAAUUGUGUCAUCGCCUUGGAGCGAUGCCCUGUGUUGGCAACCCCGCAUUGUCGCUUCAUCAACCUACCCGGCAGGAGAUUCCAGUGUCACCCGGCGACCUGCUCCAUCACCUUGGCUAGACUGGGGGCUUCACCUCUUCGGAGUGCCGAGCUCUUCGCUCGGCCACAUCGGGCUUGGGGGCUGAGACCUUGUCCCGCACCAAGCUCGGACCGCGUCAUCAAUGCCUAACACAUUAACCAGCUAAGUCGCUUUGAUGCUCAAAAACUUCCAGUUUUAAAUUUUGUUCGGUUCGACCAAGCAUUAUACUUCUUUGGCAAAAAGUUGCUUGUGAAAAUCUUCCUUGUCAAAACUUUGUUUGUGACGCGCAAAUUCAAAUACCCAGUUUACUUGGGGGCUUCCUUUAUUAAGCCUUUCCUCUUGCAUAUGAUUAUACUUGUACGGAUUCGUUCCUUGUGUUGGGGAACAUAGCAGAAAUUCAAAAUUUUCCUACGUGUCACCAAGAUCUAUCUAUGGAGAGACCAGCAACGAGUAGAAGGAGAGUGCAUCUACAUACCCUUGUAGAUCGCUAAGCGGAAGCGUUCAAGUGAACGGGGUUGAUGGAGUCGUACUCGUCGUGAUUCAAAUCACCGAUGAUCAAGUGCCGAACGUACGGCACCUCCGCGUUCAACACACGUACAGCCCGGUGACGUCUCCCACGCCUUGAUCCAGCAAGGAGAGAGGGAGAGGUUGAGGAAGACUCCAUCCAACAGCAGCACAACGGCGUGGUGGUGAUGGAGGAGCGUGGCAAUCCCGCAGGGCUUCGCCAAGCACCAUGGGAGAGGAGGAGGAGGAGAGGCAGGGCUGCACCAACGAGAGGAGAAGUACUCAUGUCUAUGGCAGCCCCAAAACUCAUCUAUAUAUAGGGGGAAGGGGAGGGCUGCGCCCCCUUUAGGGUUUCCCACCCCAAGGGGCGGCGGCCAGCCUCCAGAUGGCAUCUGGUGCGGCGGCCAGAGGGGGAGAGAGGGGAGGCGCAGGGAGCAUGGGCCUUAGGGCCCAUCUGCCCUAGGGUUUGCCCCCUCCCACUCUCCCCUGCGCCUUGGGCCCCUUGUGGGGGGCGCACCAGCCCACCUGGGGCUGGUUCCCUCCCACACAUGGCCCAUGCAGCCCUCCGGGGUUGGUGGCCCCACUUGGUGGACCCCCGGGACCCUCCCGGUGGUCCCGGUACAAUACCGAUAAACCCCGAAACUCUUCCGGUGUCCAAAACAGGACUUCCCAUAUAUAAAUCUUUACCUCCGGACCAUUCCGGAACUCCUAGUGACGUCCGGGAUCUCAUCCGGGACUCUGAACAACAUUUGGUAACCACAUACAAGCUUCCUUUAUAACCCUAGCGUCAUCGAACCUUAAGUGUGUAGACCCUACGGGUUCGGGAGACAUGCAGACAUGACCGAGACGUUCUCCGGUCAAUAACCAACAGCGGGAUCUGGAUACCCAUGUUGGCUCCCACAUGUUCCACGAUGAUCUCAUUGGAUGAACCACGAUGUCAAGGACUUAAUCAAUCCCGUAUUCAAUUCCCUUUGUCUAGCGGUAUUUUACUUGCCCGAGAUUCGAUCAUCGGUAUACCGAUACCUUGUUCAAUCUCAUUACCGGCAAGUCACUUUACUCGUUCCAUAACACAUCAUCCCGUGAUCAACUCCUUGGUCACAUUGCGCAUAUGAUGAUGUCCUACCGAGUGGGCCCAGAGAUACCUCUCCGUUUACACGGAGUGACAAAUCCCAGUCUCGAUCCGCAUAAAACAAUAGAUACUUUCGGAGAUACCUGUAGUGCACCUUUAUAGUCACCCAGUUACGUUGUGACGUUUGAUACACCCAAAGCACUCCUACGGUAUCCAGGAGUUACACGAUCUCAUGGUCAAAGGAAGAGAUACUUGACAUUGGCAAAGCUCUAGCAAAUGAACUACACGAUCUUUUGUGCUAGUCUUAGGAUUCGGUCUUGUCCAUCACAUCAUUCUCCUAAUGAUGUGAUCCCGUUAUCAACGACAUCCAAUGUCCAUAUCCAGGAAACCAUGACUAUCUGUUGAUCACAACGAGCUAGUCAACUAGAGGCUCACUAGGGACAUAUUGUGGUCUAUGUAUUCACACGUGUAUUACGAUUUCCGGAUAAUACAGUUAUAGCAUGAAUAAAAGACAAUUAUCAUGAACAAGGAAAUAUAAUAAUAAAACUUUUACUAUUGCCUCUAGGGCAUAUUUCCAACAGUCUCCCACUUGCACUAGAGUCAAUAAUCUAGUUCACAUUGCCAUGUGAUUAACACUCAUAGGUCACAUCGCCAUGUGACUAAUACCCAAGAGUUUACUAGAGUCAAUAGUCUAGUUCACAUCACUAUGUGAUUAACACUCAAUGAGUUUUAUGUUUGAUCAUGUUGCUUGUGAGAGAGGUUUUAGUCAACGGGUCUGGACCUUUCAGAUCCGUGUGUGCUUUACAAAUCUCUAUGUCAUCUCCUAGAUGUAGCUACCACGCUCUAUUUGGAGCUAUUCCAAAUAACUGUUCUACUUGGAGCUAUUCUAAAAUGUUGCUCCAUUAUAUGUAUCCGGUAUCUCUACUCAGAGCUAUCCGGAUAGGUGUUAAGCUUGCAUCGACGUAACCUUUACGAUGAACUCUUUUACCACCUCCAUAAUCGAGAAAAUUCCUUAGUCCACUAGUUACUAAGGAUAACUAUGACCGCUGUACUAUGAUCCAUUCAUGGAUCACUCUUGUACCCCUUGACUGACUCAUGGCAAGGCACACUUUAGGUGCGGUACACAGCAUAGCAUACUGUAGAGCCUAUGUCUUAAGCAUAGGAGACGACCUUCGUCCUUUCUCUCUAUUCUGCCGUGAUUGAGCUUUAAGUCUUAACUUCAUACCUUACAUCUCAGGCAAGAACUCCCUCUUUGACUGAUCCAUCUUGAACACCUUCAAGAUCAUGUCAAGGUAUGUGCUCAUUUGAAAGUAUUAUUAAGCAUUUUGAUCUAUCCUUAUAGAUCUUGAUGCUCAAUGUUCAAGUAGCUUAAUCCAGGUUUUCCAUUGAAAAACACUUUCAAAAUAACCCUAUAUGCUUUCCAGAAAUUCUACGUCAUUUCUGAUCAACAAUAUGUCAACAACAUAUACUCAUCAGAAAUUCUAUAGUGCUCCCACUCACUUCUUUGGAAAUACAAGUUUCUCAUAAACUUUGUACAAACCCAAACUCUUUGAUCAUCAUCAAAGCAUACAUUCCAACUUCGAGAUGCUCACUCCAGUCCUUAGAAGGAUCGCUGGAGCUAGCAUACCUUUUAGCAUCCUUAGGAUCGACAAAACUUUUCUGAUUGUAUUGCAUACAACAUUUCCUUACGAAAACUAGUAAGGAAACUUGUCUUGACAUCCAUCUGCCAGAUUUCAUAAAUGCAGCUAAUGCUAACAUGAUUCCGACGGACUUUAAGCAUCGCUACGAGUGAGAAAAUCUCAUCGUAGUCAACUCCUUGAACUUGUCGGAAAACACUUCGCCACAAGUCGAGCUUCAUUGAUGGUGACAUUACCAUCCACGUCCGUCUUCUUCUUAAAAGAUCCAUUUAUCUCAAUGGAUUGCCGAUCAUCGGGCAAGUCCAUCAAAGUCCAUGCUUUGUUCUGAUAUAUGGAUACUAUCUCGGAUUUCAUGGCUUCUAACCAUUUGUCGGAAUUCGGGCCCACCAUCGCUUCUCCAUAGCUCGCAGGUUCAUUGUUGUCUAGCAACAUGACCUUCAAGACAGGAUCACCUUACCACUCCGAAGUAGUACGUGUCCUUGUCGUCCUACGAGGUUCGGUAGUGACUUGAUCCAAAACUUCAUGAUCACUAUCAUAAGUUUUCCACUUCAAUUGGUGUAGGUGCCACAGGAACAACUUCCUAUGCCCUGCUACACACUAGUUGAAGUGACAGUUCAAUAACCUCAUCAAGUCUCCACCAUCCUCCCACUCAACUCUUUCGAGAGAAACCUUUCCUCGAGAAAGGACCCGAUUCAAGAAACAAUCCAUAUUGCUUUCGGAUCUGAAUUAGGAGGUAUACCCAACUGUUUUGGGUGUCCUAUGAAGAUGCAUUUUAUCCGCUUUGGGUUCGAGCUUAAUCCUGAAACUUUUUCACAUAAGCGUCGCAGCCCCAAACCUUUAAGAAACGACAACUUAGGUUUCUCUAAACCAUAAUUCAUACGGUGUCAUCUCAACGGAAUUACGUGGUGCCCUAUUUAAAGUGAAUGUGGUUGUCUCUAAUGCCUAACCCAUGAACAAUAGUGGUAAUUCGAUAAGAGACAUCAUGGUACGCACCAUAUCCAAUAGGGUGCAACUAUGAUGUUCAGACACACCAUCACACUAUGGUGUUCUAGGCGGUAUUAAUUGCGAAACAAUUUCCACAAUGUCUUAAUUGUGUGCCAAAACUCGUAACUCAGAUAUUCAUCUCUAUGAUCAUAUCAUAGACAUUUUAUCCUCUUGUCACAAUGAUCUUCUACUUCACUCUGAAAUUACUUGAACCAUUCAAUAAUUCAGACUUGUGUUUCAUCAAGUAAAUAUUCUCAACAUCUACUCGAAUCAUCUGUGAAGUAAGAUCAUAACGAUAUUCAUUGCAUGCCUCAGCACUCAUUGGAUUGGACACAUCAAAAUGUGUUACUUCCAACAAGUUGCUAUCUUGUUCCAUCUUACUGAAAACGAGGCUUUUCAGUCAUCUUGCCCAUGUGGUAUGAUUUGCAUAUCUCAAGUGAUUCAAAAUCAAGUGAGUCCAAACAAUCCAUCUGCAUGGAGUUUCUUCAUGCAUAUACUCCAAUAGACAUGGUUCGCAUGUCUCACACUUUUCAAAAACGAGUGAGUCCAAAGAUCCAUCAACAUGGAGCUUCUUCAUGCGUUUUAUACCAAUAUGACUUACAUGGCAGUGCCACAAGUAAGUGGUACUAUCAUUACUAUCUUAUAUCUUUUGGCAUGAAAAUGUGUAUCACUACGAUCGAGAUUCAAUGAACCAUUCAUUUUAGGUGUAAGACCAUUGAAGGUAUUAUUCAAAUAAACAGAGUAACCAUUAUUCUCCUUAAAUGAAUAACUGUAUUGCGAUAGACAUAAUCCAAUCAUGUCUAUGCUCAACGCAAACACCAAUCUCGAUGGUAGAGGGAGCGUGUGAUGCUUGAUCAUAUCAACAUUGGAAACACUUCCAACACAUAUCGUCAUCUCACCUUUAGCUAGUCUCCGUUUAUUCCGUAGCUUUUAUUUCGAGUUACUAACACUUAGCAACCGAACCGGUAUCUAAUACCCUGGUGCUACUAGGAGUACUAGUAAAGUACACAUUAACAUAAUGUAUAUCCAAUAUACUUCUAUCGACCUUGCCAGCCUUCUCAUCUACCAAGUAUCUAGGGUAAUUCUGCUCUAGUGACUAUUCCCCUUAUCACAGAAGCACUUAGUCUCGGGUUUGGGUUCAACCUUGGGUUUCUUCACUAGAGCAGCAGCUGAUUUGCCGUUUCAUGAAGUAUCCCUUCUUGCCCUUGCCCUUCUUGAAACUAGUGGUUUCACCAACCAUCAACAAUUGAUGCUCCUUCUUGAUUUCUACUUUCGCGGUGUCAAACAUCGUGAGUACCUCAAGGAUCACCAUAUCUAUCCCUGAUAUAUUAUAGUUCAUCACGAAGCUCUAGCAGCUUGGUGGCAAUGUCUUUGGAGAAACAUCACUAUCUCAUCUGGAAGAUCAACUCCCACUCGAUUCAAGUGAUUGUUGCACUCAGACAAUCUGAGCACAAGCUCAACGAUUGAGCUUUUCUCCCUUAGUUUGCAGGCUAAGAAAAUCGUCGGAGGUCUUAUACCUCUUGACGUGGGCACGAGGCUGAAAUCCCAAUUUCAGCCCUCGAAACAUCUCAUAUGUUCCGCGAUGUUUUGAAAAACAUCUUUGGUGCCUCUACUUAAGCCAUUUAAGUGAACUAUCACGUAGUUAUCAAAACGUGUAUGUCCGAUGUUCGCAACAUCCACAAAUGACGUUUGGGGUUCAGCACACUGAGCAGUGCAUUAAGGACAUAAGCUUUCUACUGUCUGCAUAAUUGCUACUAUCAACUUUCAAACUAUAUUUUCUCUAGGAACAUAUCUAAAACAGUAGAACUAAAGCGCGAGCUACGACAUAAUUUGCAAAAGGUCUUUUGACUAUGUUUAGGAUAAUUAAGUUCAUCUUAUGAACUCCCACUCAGAUAGACAUCCCUCUGGUCAUCUAAGUGAUUACAUGAUCCGAGUCAACUAGGCCGUGUCCGAUCAUCACGUGAGACGGACUAGUCAUCAUCGGUGAACAUCUUCAUGUUGAUCGUAUCUACUAUACGACUCAUGCUCGACCUUUCAGUCUCCGUGUUCCGAGGCCAUGUCUGUACAUGCUAGGCUCGUCAAGUUAACCCUAAGUGUUUUUGCUGUGUAAAACUGUCUUACACCCGUUGUAUGUGAACGUAAGAAUCCAUCACACCCGAUCAUCACGUGGUGCUUAGAAGCGACGAACUGUAGCAACGGUGCACAGUUAGGGGAGAACACUUCUUGAAAUUGUUGUAAGGGAUCAUCUUAUUUACUACCGUCGUUCUAAGCAAACAAGAUGCAUAAUCAUAAUAAACAUCACAUGCAAUUAUAUAGUUGUGACAUGAUAUGGCCAAUAUCAUAUAGCUCCAUUGAUCUUCAUCUUCGGGGCUCCAUGAUCAUCUUGUCACCGGCUUGACACCAUGAUCUCCAUCAUCAUGAUCUCCAUCAUCGUGUCUUCAUGAAGUUGUCACGCCAACGACUACUUCUACUUCUAUGGCUAACGCGUUUAGCAAUAAAGUAAAGUAGUUUACACGGCGUUCUUCAAUGACACGCAGGUCAUACAAUAAAUAAAGACAACUCCUAUGGCUCCUGCCGGUUGUCAUACUCAUCGACAUGCAAGUCGUGAAUCCUAUUACAAGAACAUGAUCAAUCUCAUACAUCACAUAUAUCAUUCAUCACAUCCUUUUGGCCAUAUCACAUCACAUAGCAUACCCUGCAAAAACAAGUUAGACGUCCUCUAAUUGUUGUUUGCAUGUUUUACGUGGCUGCUAUGGGUUUCUAGCAAGAACGUUUCUUACCUACGCAAGACCACAACGUGAUAUGCCAAUUGCUAUUUACCCUUCAUAAGGACCCUUUUCAUCGAAUCCGUUCCGACUAAAGUGGGAGAGACUGGCACCCGCUAGCCACCUUAUGCACCAAGUGCAUGUCAAUCGGUGGAACCUGUCUCACGUAAGAGUACGUGUAAGGUCGGUCCGGGCCACUUCAUCCCACAAUACCGUCGAAACAAGAUUGGACUAGUAACGGUAAGCAUAUUGAACGACAUCAACACCCACAACUACUUUGUGUUCUACUCGUGCAAAGAAUCUACGCAAUAGACCUAGCUCAUGAUGCCACUGUUGGGGAACGUAGCAGAAAUUCAAAAUUUUCCUACGUGUCACCAAGAUCUAUCUAUGGAGAGACCAGCAACGAGUAGAAGGAGAGUGCAUCUACAUACCCUUGUAGAUCGCUAAGCGGAAGCGUUCAAGUGAACGGGGUUGAUGGAGUCGUACUCGUCGUGAUUCAAAUCACCGAUGAUCAAGUGCCGAACGUACGGCACCUCCGCGUUCAACACACGUACAGCCCGGUGACGUCUCCCACGCCUUGAUCCAGCAAGGAGAGAGGGAGAGGUUGAGGAAGACUCCAUCCAACAGCAACACAACGGCGUGGUGGUGAUGGAGGAGCGUGGCAAUCCCGCAGGGCUUCGCCAAGCACCAUGGGAGAGGAGGAGGAGGAGAGGCAGGGCUGCACCAACGAGAGGAGAAGUACUCAUGUCUAUGGCAGCCCCAAAACUCAUCUAUAUAUAGGGGGAAGGGGAGGGCUGCGCCCCCUUUAGGGUUUCCCACCCCAAGGGGCGGCGGCCAGCCUCCAGAUGGCAUCUGGUGCGGCGGCCAGAGGGGGAGAGAGGGGAGGCGCAGGGAGCAUGGGCCUUAGGGCCCAUCUGCCCUAGGGUUUGCCCCCUCCCACUCUCCCCUGCGCCUUGGGCCCCUUGUGGGGGGCGCACCAGCCCACCUGGGGCUGGUUCCCUCCCACACAUGGCCCAUGCAGCCCUCCGGGGUUGGUGGCCCCACUUGGUGGACCCCCGGAACCCUCCCGGUGGUCCCGGUACAAUACCGAUAAACCCCGAAACUCUUCCGGUGUCCAAAACAGGACUUCCCAUAUAUAAAUCUUUACCUCCGGACCAUUCCGGAACUCCUCGUGACGUCCGGGAUCUCAUCCGGGACUCCGAACAACAUUCGGUAACCACAUACAAGCUUCCUUUAUAACCCUAGCGUCAUCGAACCUUAAGUGUGUAGACCCUACGGGUUCGGGAGACAUGCAGACAUGACCGAGACGUUCUCCGGUCAAUAACCAACAGCGGGAUCUGGAUACCCAUGUUGGCUCCCACAUGUUCCACGAUGAUCUCAUUGGAUGAACCACGAUGUCAAGGACUUAAUCAAUCCCGUAUUCAAUUCCCUUUGUCUAGCGGUAUUUUACUUGCCCGAGAUUCGAUCAUCGGUAUACCGAUACCUUGUUCAAUCUCGUUACCGGCAAGUCACUUUACUCGUUCCAUAACACAUCAUCCCGUGAUCAACUCCUUGGUCACAUUGCGCAUAUGAUGAUGUCCUACCGAGUGGGCCCAGAGAUACCUCUCCGUUUACACGGAGUGACAAAUCCCAGUCUCGAUCCACAUAAAACAAUAGAUACUUUCGGAGAUACCUGUAGUGCACCUUUAUAGUCACCCAGUUACGUUGUGACGUUUGAUACACCCAAAGCACUCCUACGGUAUCCAGGAGUUACACGAUCUCAUGGUCAAAGGAAGAGAUACUUGACAUUGGCAAAGCUCUAGCAAAUGAACUACACGAUCUUUUGUGCUAGUCUUAGGAUUGGGUCUUGUCCAUCACAUCAUUCUCCUAAUGAUGUGAUCCCGUUAUCAACGACAUCCAAUGUCCAUAGCCAGGAAACCAUGACUAUCUAUUGAUCACGACGAGCUAGUCAACUAGAGGCUCACUAGGGACAUAUUGUGGUCUAUGUAUUCACACGUGUAUUACGAUUUCCGGAUAAUACAGUUAUAGCAUGAAUAAAAGACAAUUAUCAUGAACAAGGAAAUAUAAUAAUAAAACUUUUAUUAUUGCCUCUAGGGCAUAUUUCCAACACCUUGUUCGUGUAUUACGCCACAAUAUGCACCAUGUUGACUUAAGCGAUUUGCAAGCUGGGUUGCCUUGCUCAUGUGUUUACCCCUACGUUCCUGAUUGUUCGGCUAGGAAGUAAAGGGAGCACCUCUGCGAUUGUCACGAUCGGGUCAUCCGAGCUCGGACCUCAGGCUGGUGAAGCCAAAAGCUAGCGCUCUUAUUGUUUUCAACGAUGGUCGGCACACAAUAGAACUCAUGAGUACAAAAAAUCUAUUGCACAAGUCUCAUAAGUAACAAUGAUCAACCGAAGAAAGGUAUCGGUGGAGGUACUAUUUUCUUCGAAGAUGCUUCUUACACUUUGUCAGUAAUAUAGCAUAAGUUCCCUGGGCGUGCUUUGUCUGUUACAGCCUUAUGGCCUGAUUGCCUGGUUAUCGGAAACAUCGUCGAUAUUCUCGACAGGUGGAGUACAUAAUACUUUUCGGCCCUUUGCCGAAGAGGGAGAAGCCGACGGUCGGUUAAGACGUGUUUAAAGUUCGGGUGAACACAUAUAUGAUAUAAGUACUUCGGUACAUACAAUCAUUAUACAUAAAAUUCUUUUACCCGAGUCAUUCAGGGGCUCUUAAAUUUAUGUGAGCUAUUUUAUAAUAAGUGUUCUUCUUCUUAGCCGUUGCAAAGUCUUUUUUCUAUCACUCCUUUUUUCGACGCGAGUGUGUGGUCAAUAGCCGGGGAGCCUAAUUUCUCUCUCAAAGCCGCUAAAGUUUGCUAAACUGGCCUAACGAGAAGUACUCCGCCUUCGGGAUAGGAGGUUGAAGCCGUAGGCUGACCCGCUUGAAGUCUUGAGAUAGGAUAUGUCAUGUUAAAGCAUGACAGAAGCACAAUUUUUUUUUCUAAAACCAAUUUUCUGAUUGGCACCGAACAAUUGAUCUAGUUCGGACGUCGAGUUUUUCCUAACAUUUUUGGUUUUCCAAUCCUAUGGCACUUUUCAACUAUUUGUGUGUUUUCCGCAUAAGUCUCGCAGUGCAACGCCGGACGCCUUUAGGGAUUCGGCAAAAAUUCUUGGAUAUUGCUAUAUAUGCAUCAGUUUCAAAUUGUGUCUUCGGUCAAUAGUUGGGUUGCCCGGCUCCUGUGCUUGCCUCCUAUGUUCCGCUUUGUUCGUCUAGGUGUGCAAAGGGAGAACCACUACGAUUGUGCUUCCAGCUCGCAUGGUUAAGCACCGCAGUGGACAAAGCCGAAAACUGACUGUCACAAUAAGCGUAAACUGGUCAGCGGUCCGAUGACUGUAUUAAAUGAUGGGCCAUUCAUAGCAUUGGCUGAAGUGUUUACGGCUUGACUUCGGCUGUUGCCGAACACUUACCGGGGGGCUACUUGCUGGCCUCCCAACUUUAAGCUCCUAUGACUAAGUGAAAGAUAUAAAGCCCGCAUAUCUGGUUGCCUCGUUUCCGCCAACAUAACCGCCUUCGGGCACCGAGACGUCGGCUAAGGGUUGUUUUGUUAUUUCGGAAACACCCUGUGUAGCAUCUACAAUGGGGUAGAAUCCGGCGAUGGGCCACUUUUAGAUUAUAAACGGUCGCAACGGAAGUAAAAAUUUGGGUUCAUUUAGACCACAGAGUUUGGAAGCUUUCCCCGAACUAAAUCCUCAGUAUUUUCCUCCCACAUUGGUCGGAGCUGAGGUUUCAUGAUCAUGCUUAGCAUGACAACCCAAAGAAAGGAACCGAUAGCGGGACUAUUUUCUUUGGACGAUGUUUCUUAUGUUAAACAAUAAUAUAACAUGUCUCUCUGUGUACCUUUGUUUAUAAAACCGUAUGGCCAGAUUGCUUUGUUUGCCGUAAAUCUUUGCCCUCAUAAAGGCUUUAUAAAGUGGGACAAACACUCACUGGCUACUGGCCGAGGAGGUUGAAGCCGAUGGUUGGUCAACAAAGUUUUGUACAAUGCGGAUUCGAGUAUUAAUGAUGUAGAGUACUUGGAUACAUAGAAUCAUUACACAUAAUUUGUGAUUUUACUUCGGACAUCGAUCCUUCAUUCGGCCACCCGUGCCCACAUUAAGGCUCGGGGCUACUGGGCUUCGUGCUUAUCAUUUACAAAUAUUAAAAGGGCACAUCGAUCCCCUGAUCUGGUGUUGCCACCCGACCAGUGUCUCGGGAGCUACUACACUGACAAUCCAAUGCAGAAAAUUUAAAGCGGAAUAUAGUUUUCAAGGAGAUUAUUAUCCUUAGGUUGGUCGGCCGCACCUAACCUGAGUCUCGUGGACUUUGCACACCGCAUUUCUAUUCCUAAGUAUGCUGCCGAGCUGGGAAUUGAUCCUCAGGCUGAUUUUAUGAAUCGACCUGAGUCUCAGGGGCUACUAGGGUCAGCGGUUUGAUUUUUUUCCUUCAGAUGCAUCCCGGAUAUUAGGCCAACACGCACCUUGAGGGCUACUGGCUAUACAUCUCGGCAGAGAUUACAUUGCAUAAUUCAGAAUUAAAUUCAUAACAAUCAGCCCAUGGCCGAGGUGGUGCACCACCUCGGAUACAGUCCGGCAUUGGUGCUCGACUACAAUAGACACCCCGGAAGCAGUCCGGCAUAAAGCUCGGACGCUAGUGGCUGGCUCCAUAGAGGGCAUUUACGGCAUUAAGCUCGGCUAAAGUCCUUCAAGUUUUUUGAACCAAGGUGAUCUAUGACACCUCAAAUAUAGUCUGGCGUUGGAGCUUGGACAUAGUCCGGCAUUGGAGCUUGGACAUAGUCCGACGUUGGAGCUCGGAUACAGUCUAGCAUUGGAGCUUGGACAUAGUCCCGCGUUCGAGCUUAGACAUAGUCCGGCGUUGGAGCUUGGACAUAGUCCAGCGUUGGAGCUUGGAUACAUUCCGGCGUUGGAGCUCGGAAGCGGUCCAGCGUUGGUGCUCGGCUGCUAAAGAUACCUCGAAUGCAGUCUGGCCUUGGAGCUCGGACGCAAGAGGACGUUACCGCUCAGGAACAACUUCAAACCCGAGGUAUGACAUUAAACUAACAAGGCAUUGAUAAAGGCCGGAAACUUAAAGGGGCUCCUUGGAUACCCGACGUGUAAACUCUUCGGAGUCACCUCGGCGAUCCUCAAGAUCAAAGACGAGAAGAUUUGUUGAACCAGUUUUCAAGACCAACAACCGAAGGUGAAGAACAGUUUAGAAGAAUCGAGGAGCGUCCCCAACUUGAAGACCGGUUCAGGGGGCUACUGGCGGUGUCCUGGACUAGGGGUACUCACCACGUUGUCUCCCGAUCAGUUGGAUUGGGCCGAGGACCCCCAUGACCGUAUACUCAUGGGACAGUUCGGACAACCCCUGCCGCAUACAAGGAAGACUCCACAAGACUUGGCGCCGACAAGGACUCUCAUAAACCCUAGGCCUCCGGUGUCUUAUAUAAACCGAGGCCAUGCUAGUCAAUAGACAAUCUCAUAUUCAUUAGUACAAUCUCGUGGUAGACACAUGUACUUUGUACUACACCCAUAUGAAUACAAUCAAAAGCAGCAUGUAGGGUAUUAUCUCAUCAAGAGAGCCCGAAGCUGGGUAAAACCCUGAUCCAUGUUACCAUCGCUCCAAGACGCCUAGCUUAGGACCCCUACUAUGAGAUACGCCAGAUAUUGAACCGAUAGAGGGGCCGGCCCUCUCUAUGGCACGCCCUAGGGCGGUGGGAGUAGGAUUCCCCCCUUUCCCUAGUAGGAGUAGGAGAGGAAGGGAAGGAGGACUAGGAGAGAAGGAAAGCCCCCCUGUCGGUGUCAAAACCGACGGAUCUCGGGUAGGGGGUCCCGAUCUGUGCGUCUUAGGCUGAUGGUCAUAGGAAGCGAGGGACACAAUGUUUACCCAGGUUCGGGCCCUCUCGAUGGAGGUAAAACCCUACUUCCUGCUUGAUUAAUAUUGAAGAUAUGAGUAGUACAAGAGUAGAUCUACCACGAGAUCAUAGAGGCUAAACCCUAAGAGCUAGCCUAUGAUGGUAUGAUUGUAAUUGUGAUCGGCCUUCUAAGGACCAACCUCUCCGGUUUAUAUAGACACCGGAGAGGGCUAGGGUUUACAUGGAGUCGGUUACAAGGAAGGAAACACAAUAUCCGGAUCGCCAAGCUUGCCUUCCACGCAAAGGAGAGUCCCAUCCGGACACGGGCCAAAGUCUUGAGUCUUGUAUCUUCACGCUUCAAUAGUCCGGAUGAUGUAUAUAGUCCGGCUGUCCGGAUACCCCCUAAUCCAGGACUCCCUCAGUAGCCCCUGAACCAGGCUUUAAUGAUGAUGAGUCCGGUGCGCAGUCUUGUCUUCGGCAUUGCAAGGCGGGUUACUUCUUCGAAUACUCCAAUGUACCUACUAUGACGAAUAGUGUCCGGUUUCCCAUCAAUGUCGCACUCCUCAGCUUCAGUGCCUCAAUAAUGACCAUCUCCACGUGUCAAGCGAAUGCAAGGAGACGAGGCAUUUUUGCAUUUGCCACCUGCGAUCCUUCCAGCGGGCCGUCUAUUUGAAGAGACGGGAAUUCUCAGAUCCAAACCUCACUCUCCCCCCUCGAGCAAGCAUCCCACAGAGCACUCCGGAAAAAACCAUUCCAACAUGGUCGGUCAUCGCAGCUCUUCUGCUCGCUCUCCUCGCUGCAAGUCGGGGGAUUGGGAAGAGUGUUCAGUUCCUCAUAGCCGUUUGAUAAAGUUACAAACCCAAGGGUUUCUCCCACCGGCAUUUAUGGUCCCCGUUCGAGCCGGAAUAGCCACCUAUAAUGGAGGGGAACAAGCGGAGGGAUCUCCUAAUCCAUCUCCAGAGGAGCGAAUAUGCUUUAUCCCGCAUCUGCUAAGGGGCGUCGGGUUUCCCAUCCACCCGUUUCUUCGCGGGCUCCUGGAGUUCUACGGUCUCCAGUUGCACAACCUUACCCCUGCCUCCGUACUACAUAUAGCAGGGUACGUUGCCCUUUGCGAGCUGUUUUUAGGCUGCAAACUCACUUCGGGUUAUGGAAGAACCUGUUUUGCCUUGUCCCCCGCACCCAGGGAGAAUCCCUAAGUCAAGUGGGCGGGGCCGAAGUAUGGCGCAUUGCCGAGACCGGAUACCUAUCGACACUCCCAAGAAGGCACCAGAGAACUGGCCUUCAGAGUGGUUUUACAUUGAUGACGUUCCCCUUCCGGAUCCAGUCCGGACAGGUCUCCCCAAGUUCAGUAAUGCCCCGUCGACGGCACGUCUAAGAUGGCGCCCCCGGGGCCCCCAAGAGGAGGAUACCAGGGAAAUACAUUUCCUGAUGAGCAGGAUAAAGUUACUGGCCAAAUCCGGACUGACGAUAGUCGAGGUCAUGGCAAUAUGCAUAAUGCGGGGAGUGCAACCGCUUCAAUAUCGGGGGAAGCCCAUGUGGCACUUCAACGGGGAAGACGACGCCACCCGCUGUGGCCAUAAUGGUCCGAACUCCACCACUGCUCUGGCAAGGAUAUUGUCCGAUUUAUACAAAGGGGAAGAGGAAGAAUUCCUUCGCAUUAAACCGCGGGAUGGAUUCUCCAUGUACAACCCGCCCAGAGUGGGUAAGUCAUCAUUCCUUUCCCUGCUUCACUUACUUUAGCAUUCUCUGCUAAGAUUACUCGCAUUGAUGUUUCCGAGCAGGAACCGAGGAGGGCCGUAGAAGGAAUCUUCAUCCCCUCCCCGCAGCCAGAGGACGCCGGAAGGCCCCUAGAUCCAGGACUUGAAGAAGAUCCGGAUGUUACUGUGGAGCUUGUCAACGGGGUGUUUGAUCAAGCGAGCUGUGAUGGUGCCUCAGUGACCAUUAUUAUCGAUCAUCCCGGACUGCUCCCUGUGUCACGUGUAAGCCAAACUAAAAACCCUAUCCUCCGAAGAGGACUCCCCUCAGGUAUCAUGCCUUACCCUUGAGGCGACGUGCUGUUUGCAGAGAUGACGGUCGGAGCGCGGGGCCAAGCCCCUAGGGACUCGUCGAACACGAGUGUCCGGAUCGGGCAGGCUCAAGAGGAAGGUGGUGAGUGUCGACACACCGCUGCAGAGGUAAAGCAAAAACCUGUCCUGCGAUUAUGGUAUUUGAAGUAUAACUGCGCCCUUCGUGUCCUGGCAGGAAAAGGAGCAGCCGGACUAUAUCCGGGGAUCCCGCCAAUCACGCCUCCACCAGCCGGGUUCCAGAACCGGUUUCGACAGCGGAGGCGGACACGGGGCCAGUGCCGCAUAGUUCUCCGACAGAGGACGCGGAUAUACUAUCGGCCACGAACUCCGAAGUAGAGAGCGCCAUGAAUCACCGGCGCCGGAGGGUCGUGCUUCGGAACAACAUCUUCUCCGAAGAGGCUUUUAAUGCCUUAAAUUUGGGGGAUGCAUACAUCCGAGCAGCUCAAGGCGGGCUUGCCCGAGCGACGGACCAGUAUACCAAAGAUAUACGAGUAAGAAAUUUUGAUAAGCAUGUAUAACAGUAGCCCCUGAGACUUGAGACGGUUGGAACAACUAUUUUAUGGAUUAAUUUAUGCACAGAUCCUUGUAGAUAAGAAUUAACAAUUAGCUCGGGAGCUGGACGAAUGCAAGGCCCAGCUGAGGGACACGGUUGCCAAGUUAGAGGAAUCCUAGAAGGCCUCAUCUGGUAACAUUUGUCUCAAUUGUACGAAGAUGCACCAGUUAGUAAACGACUGGUAUGACUAGUCUAACAGAAAAUUCUGCAGACAAUCCCGGGGAGAAUCCGGAGGGCGUAACGGAUGACAACUCGCAUAUCAAAAGGCAGCUAAAGGCUGGCGAACGCAUCCUUACGCAACUUAGGCAAGAGAAGAACAAUCUUCAGGAUGCCAAUAUUCGGCUGGACGUGGAAUUAAAAGACGUCCGCGCUCAACUGGCGGACUCCGUGAAGGAGAACAAAAGGCUUCGAUGCGGUAUUUACGGUGAGUGCCCAGACGAACUAUAUUAUAGUUCGGCGAGGAAGUGUAUUGAAAGAAUUUUGCUUGUAGGAAUGUUAACGGGUCGCCCCGAGGAGGAGAUGCCCUCAUCUGUGGGCGAUGUACUACAAGAACUUUCACAGUUGCACGAGCGAGCUCGGCGGGUGAUGCACGACGUUGCUCAGGCCUUGUGGCCAUGAAGCUUCCUGCCGAAUGGCAUGUGGAGCUUGUGGAUCUGCUUCAAGGAGCCCGGCGGCGCUUCUGAUUGUGGAAGAUAUCAGCUUGCUGGCAAGGUGCAAGAGAAGCAUGGGCAAUGGUGAAGACGCGCUACACCAAGCUGGACCCGAACCAUAUGGCCGAAGUAGGAUCGGCGGGGCCAAAUGGGCAAGAAAUUCCCGUUAGUCUGGUAUAUGACCAGGUAGCGUUAGCCGCCAAGUAUUCUCAAUAGGAUUGUAAGCUAGAUAGCCUGUUGGAUGGUAUAGAGGAGGAGUACAGUUAGUCUAAGUGACUGUGUAAUUCAAUGGACAUAAGUAGUCCCUAGCCGGAUUAAAAUCAUUUGUCAUGGCGGACCUUUUCGCUUUAGCCCCCGGAUCCUACAGUCUGGGGUGUGUCCGAAUACCCGCUCAGUUAUACAAAACCGGGGUAUGCAUGGAAACUAGGCGUAGGGGUCAUAAGUGCUUGAAUAGACAAGUACCCAACUAGUUAUGUUAUAUUACAUGGAUAGUAAGAAACAUCUUCCAGGGAGAAUAGUUCCGUUAGGGGUUCCUUUCCCUGGGUACGCAUGCGACGAUGCACAUGUCCGGACUGCGAAUGAUGGCGCAGGAUAUAAGACUUCUGGGGAUUUACGUUGUAAUAAAUGAAUACAUCUUUUGUUCACCGAUCGAAUAUUCUCUUAAGGAAACUAGCUUUCGGCUUCACCCAGUCUGAGGUACACAUCCAGCUGAACCGGCAGUAACAAUCGCAGAGGUGCUCCCCUUAUGCCCUAGCCGAAUUAACGGGAACGUAGGGCAUAAACACAAGAGCCAGGCAACCCAGCUUGGCCACAUCUUAAGUCAUAUCAAUGCAUAUAAUGGUGAAGAAAAGGCACAUAUGGAAAAAGAAAUGCAUAUGUGAUAGGCGAAAAGCCAUUAGAGUAUUUAUUUUUAGCUUCCGUAUACGAAGCCCCCAGGUAUUGCUUACACACAUAGUGCGGCCGGAGUGAUCCGGAAGUCCGUACUAUAUUAAAUAUUUUGUGUGGAGAGGAAGAAAAAGUCGAGAAAGGAGAAGGGAUGGAGCAUAAAUAAAAGGGAGGGAGUAAGGAGACGAACAUUGAGUUCGGCGUUAGGCAUAGAAUCUCCGGAGUCUGGCCGCGUUCCAUGGGUUCGGCUCGAGCCUGUUAUCGGAUGCAUUACAUAAGCGGUACGCUCCUCCGGUGAGAACUUUGUCGAUGACAAAGGGACCUUCCCACUUGGGUUUGAGCUUGUCCUUCUUCUUCUCCGGUAGGCGUAGAACGAGUUCGCCAAUAUUGUAAGUUUUGGCCCGUAGUUCUCUGCUUUGGUAUCGUCGAGCCUGUUGUUGAUAGAAUGCGGAGCGGGAUUUUGCGACGUCGCGCUCCUCCUCCAGGGCAUCCAAGUUAUCCUGCCGAUCUAGCUUGGCUUCCUUCUCUUCGUACAUGCGUACGCGUGGCGAAUAAUGUAUUAUGUCGCAGGGUAGUACUGCUUCCGCGUCGUACACCAUAAAAAAUGGUGUAUAUCCGUGGUGCGAUUCGGCGCGGUCCGCAGUCCCCAGAGUACGGAGUCGAGCUCCUCGACCCUGUGCGUAUCUGACUCUGCCAAAGAUCGCACUAGUCUGGGUUUGAUGCCGCUCAUAAUGAGACUGUUUGCCCGUUCAACCUGGCUGUUUGUUUGGGGAUGGUAGACGGAUGCGUAGUCAAGCUUAAUGCCCAUUUUGCCGCACCAAGUUUUCACCUCAUCAGCUAUGAAAUUGGAGCCAUUAUAAGUGAUAAUGCUGUGGGGGACGUCGUAUCGGUGUACGACCCCGGAUAUGAAGUCUAUGACUGGUCCGGAUUCGGCCGUUUUGACUGGUUUGGCUUCUAUCCAUUUGGUGAACUUGUCCACCAUGACCAAUAAGUAUUUUUUCUUAUGGCUUCCUCCUUUAAGAGGUCCGACCAUAUCCAGCCCCCAGACCGCGAAGGGCUAGGUUAUGGGGAUUGUUUGGAGAGCGAUAGGGGGCAUAUGACUCUGAUUGGCGAAGAGCUGGCAACCGACGCAGUGUUGGACAAGGUCCUGUGCGUCUGCUCGGGCCGUCGGCCAAUAGAAGCCUGUACGGAAAGCCUUGCUGACUAGUGCCCAAGCCGCGGCGUGGUGCCCGCCCAGUCCGGCAUGGAUUUCAGUCAAGAGUUGCCGCCCUUCCUCCUCGGAGAUGCAUCUUUGGAGCACUCCGAUGGCACUUUUCUUGUAGAGUUCCCCUUCGUGGACUUUGUAAGCUUUAGAACGCUGGACAAUGCAGCGUGCUUCGUUUUGGUAUUCUGGGAGCUCCUGCCUAUUUAGGUAGGCCAAGAAAGGCUCAGUCCAUGGGGCGACUAUGGCCAUGAUUUCGUGGGCCGAAGAUGUUAUUUCGGUGGCAGAGCCUCCGAUUAUGUCUGAUGGUUCGGAAUCUGGGGGUGUGUUCGGAUCCGUGCUAGUAUUGUCGGACUCCCCUUCCCAUACCACGGAUGGCUUGAACAACCUUUCCAGGAAUAUGUUAGGUGGGACAGGGUCCCGUUUAGAACCGAUGCGGGCGAGAACGUCAGUCGCGUGAUUGUUUUCUCGAGCCACAUGGUGGAAUUCGAGCCCCUCAAACCGAGCUGACACUUUGAGGACGGCAUUACGGUAGGCCACCAUUUUCGGAUCCUUGGCGUCAAAGUCUCCAUUUAUUUGUGAUAUUGCGAGGUUCGAAUCCCCGCGCACUUCCAGGUGUUGGAUGCCCAUAGAGACCGCCAUCCGAAGACUGUGCAACAGAGCAUCAUAUUUCGCUGCAUUGUUGAAGUCUUUGUAUAAUAUUUGGAGGACGUACUGGACCGUGUCUCCGGUGGGAGACGUCAGGACUACACCUGCUCCCAAUCCGGCCAGCAUUUUAGAGUCGUCGAAGUGCAUGAUCCAGUUGGAAUACGCGCCAUACUCUUUAGGGAGUUUGGCUUCUGUCCAUUCAGUGACAAAGUCAGCCAGUACUUGCGACUUGAUGGCCCACCGUGGUUUGUAUAUUAUGUCGAACGGAAGGAGCUCGAUGGCCCAUUUAGCAAUCCGGCCCGUAGCAUCGCUAUUGUUUAUUAUGUCAUUGAGUGGUACUUCGGAGGCCACCGUAAUCGAACACUCUUGAAAGUAGUGUCGCAGCUUCCGGGAUGCCAUGAAGACCGCGUAUGCUAUUUUUUGAUAGUGUGGGUAUCAGGAUUUGCAUGGGGUGAGGACUGUGGAUAUGUAAUAAACCGGCUUUUGGAGCGGGAAUUUGUAUCCGUCAACCUCUCAUUCGACGACGAGCACUGCGCUUACAACUUGGUGUGUUGCAGCUAUGUACAGUAGCAUGGGCUCGCCGAUAUUUGGCGCUGUUAGGACUGGAUUACUGGCCAGUAAGGUCUUUAUUUCAUCUAGUCCAGCCGCGGCUGCAUCCGUCCACACGAAGUGUUCGGUGCGCCAAAGGAGACGGUAAAGAGGUAAUGCCUUUUCUCCUAACCUGGAGAUAAAGCGGCUCAAAGCGGCCACGCAUCCAACUAGUUUUUGGAUGUGCUUGAGGUCUGUUGGUAUAUCCAACUGCGAUAGAGCUCGGAUUUUUGCCGGAUUCACUUCGAUUCCUCUAUUGGAAACAAUGAAGCCCAGAAGUUUCCCCGAGGGGACGCCGAAAACACAUUUUCCGGAUUCAACUUGAUGUCGUAUGUCCGGAGGUUACCGAAUGUAAGCCUCAAGUCAUCUAUUAGGGUUUCAACGUGUCUUGUUUUUAUGACCACAUCGUCUACGUAUGCCUCCACUAUUUUGCCGAUUUGUUUUCCCAGGCAUGUUUGAAUCAUGCGUUGAUAGGUUGCACCGGCAUUCUUAAGCCCGAAAGGCAUAGUGUUGAAGCAAAAGGGGCCAUAUGGCGUUAUGAAAGUUGUUGCAGCUUGGUCAGACUCUGCCAUCUUUAUUUGGUGGUAUCCAGAGUAUGCGUCGAGAAAACACGGCGAGUCGUGUCCAGCUGUGGCAUCAAUUAUUUGAUCGAUGCGAGGGAGGGGAAAGAGAUCCUUGGGGCAAGUUGUUGAGGUCUUUGAAGUCGACGCAUAGGCGCCAGGAUUUGUCCUUCUUUGCCAGCCAAUCAGGAUGUUUAAUAUCUCUGAUGAAUCUGGCCUCAAGUAGCUUGGCUAGCUCUUCCCCCAUUGCUUGUCGUUUGGGCUCUGAAAAUCGCCUUAGGGUCUGUUUGACAGGUUUGUAUCCCUUUAGUAUGUUAAGGCUGUGUUCAGCCAAUCCACGCGGGAUGCCCGGCAUGUCCGAUGGGUGCCAGGCGAAAAUGUCCCAAUUCUCGCUUAAAAAGUCUCGUAGUGCGGCGUCCAUUGCGGGGCUCAACUGUGUCCCGAUGGAAGCUGUCUUCUUGGGGUCUGUUGGAUGGACUUGGAAUUUGACUAUCUCAUCUGCGGGUUUAAAUGAGGUGGACUUGGAUCGCUUGUCGAGUAGCACGUCGUCCCUGUCCACCGUGGCCCGUAGCGUCGUUAAUUCUUUGGCCGCUAGGGCUUCGAAUAAUGCUUCCAGGGCUAGUGUUGCGGUUUUGUUUUCAGCGCGAAGUGCGACGUCCGGAUCACUGGCUAGAGUGAUGAUUCCAUUGGGCCCGGGCAUUUUUAAGCUUCAUAUACCCGUAAUGGGGUAUGGCUUGAAAGCUCGUAAACGCGUCCCGCCCUAGAAGGGCGUGGUAUCCGCUGCUGAAAGGAGCCACUUGGAAUGUGAUUUCUUCGGACCUGUAGUUCUCCGGGGUGCCGAAUACCACAUCGAGUGUGAUUUUUCCCGCACACUGCGCCUCCCGACUAGGGAUAAUUCCCCUGAAGGUUGUGCCGCUUUGUUCAAUGCGGCUUUUAUCAAUUUCCAUCUUGCCGAGCGUUUCUUCAUAGAUCAAGUUUGAUCCGCUCCCGCCAUCCAUGAGUACUUUAGUGAGCCGGAAGCCAUCCACGAUUGGGCUAAGGACCAGAGCGGCUGGUACCCGGACGGUCUGGAAUCGAGGUUCAUCACUGGCAUUGAAAGUUAUAGCAGUGUCGUUCCAGGGGUUUAUUUUUGCCACAUGGCAAAUUUCAGCGGAGCUCCGAUGAGCUCGCUUGCGCCUAUUGUUUGAGGAAAAAGUCUCGAAGACUGUUAGUACCGUAUUGUGCUCGUUGGCGGGAUGUUGUUCUGCUUUAAGGCUCGCAAGAAGAUUCUCGCCACUUUUUGCAACCUGCCGGAGUAUCCAACACGCCCUAAGGCUAUGGGUUGGUGCUGUGUCCGGAGCACUGUGGAGUUUACAUGGCCCAUCGAGCCAUUCUUCCAAUACGGUUCCCCGCCCUGGGGUGUGCUUUGGUUUCUUGGGAAUUGGAUCGGCCGACUUACGAGAGUUCGCCCGUUUAGUUCGGACAAAGGUCUUGGUGAGAGUCGUACUGUCCCAAAGUUCUAUUUGGGUUUUCCGGGCGCUUUCCAUCGCACAGUACUUCUGUACUAUGAUUGCCAAGUCCGCGAAGUGUACUAUGUCACGGCGGCUUAUAGCAUUAAGGAGUCCUUUGUCCAUGCAGUUUUUGCAGAAGAGUGAGACUACGUCCUCCUCGCGGCAGUCCUUGACCUUGUUAAGUGCAAGGAGGAAUCUGGCCCAGUAGCAAUGUACAGUCUCCUGGGGCUCUUGCCUGAUGCGGAAGAGACGGUUUAAGUCCAGGUGGGUGUUGUUAGCUAAAUCCGGAUUCUGACCCGAUCUAACACCCAGGGGCAUGGGAGGUUCCAAGCCUAACAGCCCGGGAUCCGGAGUGCUGCCCAAUUUCUUCAGCCCAAUGCCCGAUUCUAAGUCCGGGACCCUGGUCAUGCCUUCCUUUGAGAAGGUGUUCGGCUCAAGGAGUUCAGUGAUCCGGACAUAAUUCAUCCUCAAAGUUGAGGGGCAAUCCAUGUGUGGUUCCUCCACUACCGCUAUCUCAUGGGUGGCCAGCGGGGAUCUGAUGUCCCUUUGGUCGGGUUUAAGCCCGAUCCGGUCAUAGUCUGUAGCGACUCCCAUAGCGGCGAUGCGAUCCAAGAGCUCAUUAAGGGAGGAGAGCUCCAUCGGAUCCAUCUGUUCAGCGACUUCCGAACUGACACGAAGGUUAUGCUUGAUGACCCGAGAGGCCAUCGUCGGUGAAACCGCCGAUGGGGCAGCCAUGAUAAAGCCGCCAAGUGGGAGAGUUUGGCCUACAGCCAGAGCUCCCCCCGAGGUAAUGUUGUCCUUGACGACAAGACGAGCCAUCGAGCCUUGCAACAAUGACACAGAGGAACUCUCAAUGAAAGCACCAAUGUCGGUGUCAAAACCGACAGAUCUCGGGUAGGGGGUCCCGAUCUGUGCGUCUUAGGCUGAUGGUAACAGGAAGCGAGGGAUACAAUGUUUACCCAGGUUCGGGCCCUCUCGAUGGAGGUAAAACCCUACUUCCUGCUUGAUUAAUAUUGAAGAUAUGAGUAGUACAAGAGUAGAUCUACCAUGAGAUCGUAGAGGCUAAACCCUAAGAGCUAGCCUAUGAUGGUAUGAUUGUAAUUGUGAUCGGCCUUCUAAGGACCAACCUCUUCGGUUUAUAUAGACACCAGAGAGGGCUAGGGUUUAUAUGGAGUCGGUUACAAGGAAGGAAACACAAUAUCCGGAUCGCCAAGCUUUCCUUCCAUGCAAAGGAGAGUCCCAUCCGGACACGGGCCGAAGUCUUGAGUCUUGUAUCUUCACGCUUCAAUAGUCCAGACGAUGUAUAUAGUCCGGUUGUCCGGAUACCCCCUAAUCCAGGNNNNNNNNNNNNNNNNNNNNNNNNNNNNNNNNNNNNNNNNNNNNNNNNNNNNNNNNNNNNNNNNNNNNNNNNNNNNNNNNNNNNNNNNNNNNNNNNNNNNNNNNNNNNNNNNNNNNNNNNNNNNNNNNNNNNNNNNNNNNNNNNNNNNNNNNNNNNNNNNNNNNNNNNNNNNNNNNNNNNNNNNNNNNNNNNNNNNNNNNNNNNNNNNNNNNNNNNNNNNNNNNNNNNNNNNNNNNNNNNNNNNNNNNNNNNNNNNNNNNNNNNNNNNNNNNNNNNNNNNNNNNNNNNNNNNNNNNNNNNNNNNNNNNNNNNNNNNNNNNNNNNNNNNNNNNNNNNNNNNNNNNNNNNNNNNNNNNNNNNNNNNNNNNNNNNNNNNNNNNNNNNNCCCCCCAAACCCUUUCCAAUUCGGUCUCCUGCCCAAGGGGGGCGCACCAGCCCCUUGUGGGUUGGUGUGCUUCCUUCUUAUGGCCCAUAAGGCCCAUAACUUCUCCCAGGGGGUUCCGAUAACCUCCAGGUACUCUAGAAAAAUGUCUGAACCACUCAGAACCCUUCUGAUGUCCAAACAUAGUCAUCCGAUAUAUCGAUCUUUAUGUAUCGACCAAUUCAAGACUCAUCGUCAUGUUCGUGAUCAUAUCCGGGACUCUGAACUACCUUCAGUACACCAAAACACAUAAACUCAUAAUACCGAUCGUCACCGAACGUUAAGUGUGCGGACCCUACGGGUUCGAGAACUAUGUAGACAUGACCGAGAAUCAUCUUCGGUCGAUAACUAAUAGCAGAACUUGGAUGCUCAUAUUGGUUCCUACAUAUUAUACGAAGAUCUUUAUCGGUCAAACCGCAUAACAACAUACGUUGUUCCCUUUGUCAUCGGUAUGUUACUUGCCCGAUAUUCGAUCAUCGGUUUCUCAAUACCUAGUUCAAUCUCGUUACCGGUAAGUCUCUUUACUCAUUCCGUAAUGCAUCAUCCCGCAACUAACUCAUUAGUCACAUUGCUUGCAAGGCUUAUAGUGAUGUGCAUCACCGAGAGGGCCCAGAGAUACCUCUCCGACAAUCGGAGUGACAAAUCCUAAUCUCGAUCUAUGUCAACCCAACAAGUACCAUCGGAGACACCUGUAGAGCACCUUUAUAAUCACCCAGUUAUGUUGUGACGUUUGGUAACACACAAAGUGUUCCUCUGGUAUUCGGGAGUUGCAUAAUCUCAUACUCAUAGGAACAUGUAUAAGUCAUGAAGAAAGCAAUAGCAACAUACUAAACAAUCAAGUGCUAAGCUAACGGAAUGGGUCAAGUCAAUCACAUCAUUCUCUAAUGAUGUGAUCCCGUUAAUCAAAUGACAACUCAUGUCCAUGGCUAGGAAACUUAACCAUCUUUGAUUCAACGAGCUAGUAAAGUAGAGGCAUACUAGUGACACUCUGUUUGUCUAUGUAUUCACACAUGUACUAAGUUUCCGGUUAAUAAUUCUAGCAUGAAUAAUAAACAUUUAUCAUGAUAUAAGGAAAUAUAAAUAACAACUUUAUUAUUGCCUCUAGGGUCUAUUUCCUUCAGUCGCUUUAUUGUGUGAAAUGCAAUUGCCAAGUAAUUGCUUUACUUUAUCACUAAGCGGUAGCGGUAGUUGUAGAAGCAAUAGUUGGCGAGACGACAACGAUGCUAUGAUGGAGAUCAAGGUGUCGCGCCGCUGAUGAUGGUGAUCAUGACGGUGCUUUGGAGAUGGAGAUCAAAGGCACAAGAUGAUGAUGGUCAUAUCAUAUCACUUAUAUUGAUUGCAUGUGAUGUUUAUCGUUUAUGCAUCUUAUUUUGCUUAGUUCGAGGGUAGCAUUAUAAGGUGAUCUCUCACUAAAUUUCAAGGUACAAGUGUUCUCCCUGAGCAUGCACCGUUGUGAAAGUUCGUCGUGCCGAGACACCACGUGAUGAUCGGGUGUGAUAAGCUCUACAUUCACAUACAAUGGGUGCAAGCCAGUUUUGCACACGUAGAAUACUCGAGUUAAACUUGACGAGCCUAGCAUAUGCAGAGAUGGCCUCAGAACACUGAGACCGAAAGGUCGAGCGUGAAUCAUAUAGUAGAUAUGAUCAACAUAGUGAUGUUCACCAUUGAACACUACUCCAUCUCACGUGAUGAUCGGACAUGAUUUAGUUGAUAUGGAUCACAUGAUCACUUAGAUGAUUAGAGGGAUGUCUAUCUAAGUGGGAGUUCUUGAGUAAUUUGAUUAAUUGAACUUUAAUUUAUCAUGAACUUAGUACCUGAUAGUAUUUUGCAUGUCUAUGUUGUUGUAGAUAGAUGGCUCGUGUUGUUGUUCCGUUGAAUUUUAAUGCAUUCCUAGAGAAAGCUAAGUUGAAAGAUGAUGGUAGCAACUACAAUGACUGGGUCCGUUGAGGGAGUCCUGGAUUAGGGGGUCCUCAGACAGCCGGACUAUAUACUUUGGCCGGACUGUUGGAUUAUGAAGAUGCAAGAUUGAAGACUUCAUCCCGUGUCCGGAUGGGACUCUCCUUUGCGUGGAAGGCAAGCUUGGCAAUUCGGAUAUGUAGAUCUCCUUCUCUGUAACCGACUCUGUGUAACCCUAGGCCCCUCCAGUGUCUAUAUAAACCGGAGGGUUUAGUCCAUAGGACAACAACAAUCAUAAUCAUAGGCUAGCUUCUAGGGUUUAGCCUCUACGAUCUCAUGGUAGAUCAACUCUUGUAAUACUCAUAUCAUCAAGAUCAAUCAAGCAGGAAGUAUGGUAUCACCUCCAUCGAAAGGGCCUGAACAUGGGUAAAACAUCAUGUCCCCUGCCUCCUAUUACCAUUAGCCUUAGACGCACAGUUCGGGACCCCCUACCCGAGAUCCGCCGGUUUUGACACUGACUACAUAACUUGAGGAUUAUCCUCAUUGCUGCACAGAAGAAUUAUGUCCUGGAAGCACCGCUAGGUGCCAAACCCGCUGCAGGAGCAACGCCAGAUGUUAUGAACAUCUGGCAGAGCAAAGCUGAUGACUACUCAAUAGUUCAGUGUGCCAUGCUUUACAGCUUAGAACCGGGACUUCAACGACGUUUUGAACGUCAUGGAGCAUAUGAGAUGUUCCAGGAAUUGAAGUUAAUAUUUCAAGAAAAUGCCCGAAUUGAGAGAUAUGAAGUCUCCAAUAAGUUCUAUAACUGCAAGAUGGAGGAGAACAGUUCUGUCAGUGAACAUAUACUCAAAAUGUCUGGGUACAAUAAUCAGUUGAUUCAACUGGGAGUUAAUCUUGCUCAUGAUAUUGUCAUUGACAGAAUUCUUCAAUCACUGCCACCAAGCUACAGGAGCUUUGUGAUAAACUAUAAUAUGCAAGGGAUGGAUAAGACAAUUCCCGAGCUCUUCGCAAUGCUAAAAUAUGUGGAGGUAGAAAUCAAGAAGGAGCAUCAAGUGUUGAUGGUCAACAAGACCACCGGUUUCAAGAAAAAGAGUAAAGGGAAGAAGGGGAACUUCAAGAAGAACGACAAGCAAGUUGCUACUCAAGUGAAGAAGCCCAAGUCUGGACCUAAGCAUGAGACUGAGUGUUUCUACUGCAAAGGGACUGGUCACUAGAGGCAGAACUGCCCCAAGUAUUUGGCGAAUAAGAAGGAUGGCAAGGUGAACAAAGGUAUAUGUGAUAUACAUGUUAUUGAUGUGUACCUUACUAAUGCUCGCAGUAGCACCUGGGUAUUUGAUACUGGUUCUGCUCCUAAUAUUUACAACUCAAAAUAGGGACUGCGGAUUAAGUUAAGAUUGGCUAAGGAUGAGGUGACGAUGCGCGUAGGAAAUGGUUCCAAAGUCGAUGUGAUCGCGGUCGGCACGCUACCUCUACAUCUACCUUCGGGAUUAGUUUUAGACCUGAAUAAUUUUUAUUUGGUGCCAGCGUUGAGCAUGAACAUUAUAUAUGGAUCUUGUUUGAUGCGAGACAGUUAUUCAUUUAAAUCUAAGAAUAAUGGUUGUUCUAUUUAUAUGAGUAAUAUCUUUUAUGGUCAUGCACCCUUGAAGAGUGGUCUAUUUUUAUUGAAUCUCAAUAGUAGUGAUACACAUAUUCAUAAUAUUGUAGCCAAAAGAUGCAGAGUUGAUAAUAAUAGUGCAACUUAUUUGUGGCACUGCCGUUUGGGUCAUAUUGGUGUAAAGCGCAUGAAGAAACUCCAUUCUAAUGGACUUUUGGAAUCACUUGAUUAUGAAUCACUUGGUACUUGCGAACCAUGCCUCAUGGGAAAGAUGACUAAAACUCUGUUCUCCGGAACAAUGGAGCAAGCAACAAAUUUGUUGGAAAUCAUACAUACUGAUGUAUGUGUUCCGAUGAAUGUUGAGGCUCGCGGUGGGUAUUGUUAUUUUCUCACCUUCACAGAUGAUUUGAGCAGAUAUGGGUAUAUCUACUUGAUGAAACAUAAGUCUGAAACAUUUGAAAAGUUCAAAAAAUUUCAGAGUGAAGUGGAAAAUCGUCGUAACAAGAAAAUAAAGUUUCUACGAUCUGAUCGUGGAGGAGAAAUUUGAGUUACGAGUUUGGUCUUCAUUUGAAACAAUGCGGAAUAGUUUCGCAACUCACGCCACCCGGAACACCACAACAUAAAGGUGUGUCCGUACGUCAUAAUCGUACUUUACUAGAUAUGGUGCGAUCUAUGAUGUAUCCUACUGAUUUACCGCUAUCAUUUUGGGGUUAUGCUUUAGAGAUGGCUGCAUUCACAUUAAAUAGGGCACCAUCUAAAUCCGUUGAGACGACACCUUAUGAACUAUGGUUUGGCAAGAAACCAAAGUUGUCGUUUCUUAAAGUUUGGGGCUGCGAUGCUUAUGUGAAAAAGCUUCAAUCUGAUAAGCUCGAACCCAAAUCGAAGAAAUGUGUCUUCAUAGGAUACCCAAAGGAGACUGUUGGGUACACCUUCUAUCACAGAUCCGAAGGCAAGACAUUCGUUGCUAAGAAGUGAGUGGGAGGAAAGUAGAACUUGAUGAGCUAACUGUACCUGCUCCCUUAUUGGAAAGUAGUUCAUCAUAGAAAUCAGUUCCUGCGACUCCUACACCAGUUAGUGAGGAAGCUAAUGAUGAUGAUCAUGUAACUUUAGAUCAAGUUACUACCGAACCUCGUAGGUCAACUAGAGUAAGAUCCGCACCAGAAUGGUACGGCAAUCCUGUUCUGGAGGUCAUGUUACUUGACCAUGAUGAACCUACGAACUAUGAGGAAGCGAUGAUGAGCCCAGAUUCUGCGAAAUGGCUUGAGGCCAUGAAAUCUGAGAUGGGAUCCAUGUAUGAGAACAAAGUGUGGACUUUGGUUCACUUGCCUGAUGAUCGGUAAGCCAUCGAGAAUAAAUGGAUCUUCAAGAAGAAGACUGACGCUGAUGGUAAUGUUACUGUCUACAAAGCUCGACUUGUUGCAAAAGGUUUUUCACAAGUUCAAGGAGUUGAGUAUGAUGAGACCUUCUCACCUGUAGCGAUGCUUAAGUCCGUCUGAAUCAUGUUAGCAAUUCUGCAUUUUAUGGUUAUGAAAUUUGGCAAAUGGAUGUAAAGACUGCAUCCCUGAAUGGAUUUCUGGAAGAAGAGUUGUAUAUAAUGCAACCUGAAGGUUUUAUCGAUCCAAAGGGUGCUAACAAAGUGUGCAAGCUCCAGCGAUCCAUUUAUGGUCUGGUGCAAGCAUCUCGGAGUUGGAAUAAACGUUUUGAUAGUGUGAUCAAAGCACAUGGUUUUAUACAAACUUUUGGAGAAGCCUGUAUUUACAAGAAGGUGAGUGGGAGCUCUGUAGCAUUUCUAAUAUUAUACGUGGAUGACAUAUUGUUGAUUGAAAAUGAUAUAGAAUUUCUGGAUAUCAUAGAAGGGAUAAUUGAAUAAGAGUUUUUCAAUGAAAGACCUCGGUGAAGCUACUUAUAUAUUGGGCAUUAAGAUCUAUAGAGAUAGAUCAACAUGCUUAAUUGGACUUUCACAGAGCACAUACCUUGACAAAGUUUUGAAGAAGUUCAAAAUGGAUCAAGCAAAGAAAGGGUUAUUGCCUGUGUUACAAGGUGUGAAGUUGAGUCAUACUCAAUGCCCGACCACUGCAGAAGAUAGAGAGAAAAUGAAAGGUGUUCCCUAUGCUUCAGCCAUAGGCUCUAUCAUGUAUGCAAUGUUGUGUACCAGACCUGAUGUGUGCCUUGAUAUAAGCUUAGCAGGGAGGUACCAAAGUAAUCCAGGAGUGGAUCACUGGACAGCGGUCAAGAACAUCCUGAAAUACCUGAAAAGGACUAAGGAUAUGUUUCUCAUUUAUGGAGGUGACAAAGAGCUCGUCGUAAAUGCUUACGUCGAUGUAAGCUUUGACACUGAUUUGGAUGACUCUAAGUCACAAACCGGAUAUGUAUUUAUAUUGAACGGUGGAGCUGUCAGUUGGUGCAGUUCUAAGAAAAGCGUCGUGGCAGGAUCUACAUGUGAAGCGGAGUACAUAGCUGCUUCAGAAGCAGCAAAUGAAGGAGUUCAUAUCCGAUCUAGGUGUCAUACCUAGUGCAUCGGGUCUAAUGAAAAUCUUUUGUGACAAUACUGGUGCAAUUGCCUUGGCAAAGGAAUCGGAUUUCACAAGAGAGCCAAGCACAUCAAGAGAUGCUUCAAUUCCAUCCACGACCAAGUCAAGGAGGGAGACAUAGAGAUUUGCAAGAUACAUACGGAUCUGAAUAUUGCAGACCCAUUGACUAAGCCUCUCUCACGAGCAAAACAUGAUCAACACCAAGACUCCAUGGGUGUUAGAAUCAUUACUGUGUAAUCUAGAUUAUUGACUCUAGUGCAAGUGGGAGACUGAAGGAAAUGUGCCCUAGAGGCAAUAAUAAAAUUGUUAUUUAUAUUUCCUUAUAUCAUGAUAAAUUUUUAUUAUUCAUGCUAGAAUUGUAUUACCCGGAAACUUAGUACAUGUGUGAAUACAUAGACAAACAGAGUGUCACUAGUAUGCCUCUACUUGACUAGCUCGUUGAAUCAAAGAUGGUUAUGUUUCCUAACCAUAGACAUGAGUUGUCAUUUAAUUAACGGGAUCAUAUCAUUAGAGAAUGAUGUGAUUGACUUGACCCAUUCCGUUAGCUUAGCAUUUGAUCGUUUAGUAUAUUGCUAUUGCUUUCUUCAUAACUUAUACAUGUUCCUAUAACUAUGAGAUUAUGCAACUCCCGAAUACCGUAAGAACACUUUGUGUGCUACCAAACGUCACAACGUAACUGGGUGAUUAUAAAGGUGCUCUACAUGUGUCUCCGAUGGUACUUGUUGAGUUGGCAUAGAUCGAGAUUAGGAUUUGUCACUCCGAUUGUCGGAGAGAUAUCUCUAGGCCCUCUCGGUAAUGCACAUCACUAUAAGCCUUGCAAGCAAUGUAACUAAUGAGUUAGUUGUGGGAUAUGCACUAAGGAACGAGUAAAGAGACUUGCCAGUAAUGAUAUUGAACUAGGUAUUGAGAUACCAGCAAUCGAAUCUCAGGCAAGUAACAUACCGAUGUCUACUACGCAACCUUCUUCUUGUAGAUGUUGUUGGGCCUCCAAGUACAAAGUUUUGUAGGACAUUAGCAAAUUCCCCCAAGUGGAUGACCUAAGGUUUAUCAAUUCGUGGGAGGCGUAGGAUGAAGAUGGUCUCUCUCAAACAACCCUGCAACCAAAUAACAAAGAGUCUCUUGUGUCCCCAACACACCCAAUACAAUGGUAAAUUGUAUAGGUGCACCAGUUCAGCAAAGAGAUGGUGAUACAAGUGCAAUAUGGAUGAUAGAUAUGAGUAUUUGUAAUCUAAAAUAUAAAAACAGCAAGGUAACAAGCGAUAAAAGUGAGCGUAAACGGUAUUCCAAUGCGUUGAAACAAGGCCUAGGGUUCAUACUUUCACUAGUGCAAGUUCUCUCAACAAUAAUAACAUAAUUGGAUCAUAUAACUAUCCCUCAACAUGCAACAAAGAGUCACUCCAAAGUCACUAAUAGCGGAGAACAAACAAAGAGAUUAUUGUAGGGUACGAAACCACCUCAAAGUUAUCCUUUCUGAUCUAUCUGUUCAAGAGUCCGUAGUAAAAUAACGUGAAGCUAUUAUUUCCGUUCAAUCUAUCCUAGAGUUCGUACUAGAAUAACACCUUAAGACACAAAUCAACCAAAACCCUAAUGUCACCUAGAUACUCAAUAUCACCUCAAGUAUCCAUGGGUAUGAUUAUACGAUAUGCAUCACACAAUCUCAUAUUCAUCUAUUCAACCAACACAAAGUACUUCCAAGAGUGCCCCAAAGUUUCUACCGGAGAGUCAAGACGAAAACGUGUGCCAACCCCUAUGCAUAGGUUCACAAUGUUACGGAACCUGCAAGUUGAUCACCAAAACAUACAUAAAGUGAAUCACGUGAUAUCUCAUUGUCACCACAGAUAAGCACGUGCAAGACAUACAUCAAGUGUUCUCAAAUCCUUAAAGACUCAAUUCGAUAAGAUAACUUCAAAUGGAAAACUCAAUCCAUUACAAGAGAGUAGAGGGAGAGAAACAUCAUAAGAUCCAACUAUAAUAGCAAAGCUCGCGAUAAAUCAAGAUCGUAUCACCUCAACAAUACGAGAGAGAGAGAGAUCAAACACAUAGCUACCGGUACAUACCCUCAGCCCCGAGGGUGAACUACUCCCUCCUUAUCAUGGAGAGCGCUGGGAUGAUGAAGAUGGCCACCAGUGAUGGAUUCCCCCUCCGGCAGGGUGCCGGAACAGGCUCCCGAGAGGUUUUUGGUGGCUACAGAGGCUUGCGGCGGCGGAACUCCCGAUCUAUUGUGCUCCUGGAUGUUUCAACAUUUUAUCAUUUUCUGACUUUUCUAGGGAAUUUUUGCAACAGCGGUAAACUUUCUGUUUUGAAACAGCAACAUGUAUACUUACAAAUAAGCAUGGUAAAGGCUAUCCUUGACAUUUUUAUUGAAAAUAUAGAUGCAAAACAUUAUUAUAAAUAAUAAAAAGUAAAUACUAACAAAAGAAAAUGAUGCUCCAAGCAAAACACAUAUCAUGUGGUGAAUAAAAAUAUAGCUCGAAGUAAAGUUACCGAUGAACGAAGACGAAAGAGGGGAUGCCUUCCGGGGCAUCUCCAAGCUUAGGAUUUUGGUUGUCCUUGAAUAUUACCUUGGGGUGCCUUGGGCAUCCCCAAGCUUAGGCUCUUGCCACUCCUUAUUCCAUAGUCCAUCGAAUCUUUACCCAAAACUUGAAAACUUCACAACACAAAACUCAACAGAAAACUCGUAAGCUCCGUUAGUAUAAGAAAAUAAAUCAUCACUUUUGGUACUGUUGUGAACUCAUUCUAAAUUCAUAUUGGUGUAAUAUCUACUGUAUUCCAACUUCUCUAUGGUUCAUACCCUAUGAUACUACUCAUAGAUUCAUCAAAAUAAGCAAACAACACAAUGGAAACGGAAUCUGUCAAAAACAGAACAGUCUGUAGUUAUAUGUAUCAAACGUAUACUUCUGAAACUCCAAAAAUUCUGAAAUAAAUUGGUGGACCUGAGGAAUUUGUCUAUUAAACAUCUGAAAAAAUAAUCAACCUAAAAGCACUCUCCAGUAAAAAAUGGCAGCUAAUCUCGUGAGCGCAAAGUUUUUGUUUUUUACAGCAAAAUCACAAAGACUUCACCCAAGUCUUCCUAAAGGUCCUACUUGGAACAAACACUAAUUAAAACAUAAAACCACAUCUAAACAGAGGCUAGAUGAAUUAUUUAUUACUAAACAGGAACAACAAGCAAGUAACAAAAAUAAAAUUGGGUUGCCUCCCAACAAGUGCUAACGUUUAACGCCCCUAGCUAGGCAUGAUAAUUUCAAUGAUGCUCACAUAAAAGAUAAGAAUUGAAACAUAAAGAGAGCAUCAUGAAGAAUAUGACUCGAACAUUUAAGUCUAACCCACUUCCUAUGCAUAGGGAUUUUGUGAGCAAACAACUUGUGGGAACAAUAAUCAACUAGCAUAGGAAGGCAAAAACAAGCAUAACUUUAAAACUUUAAGCACAUAGAGAAGAAACUUGAUACUAUUGCAAUUCCUACGAGCAUAUAUUCCUCCAUCAUAAUAAUUUUCAGUAGAACAAUGAAUGAAUUUCAACAAUAUAACUAUCACAUAAAGCAUUCUUUUCAUGAUCUACAAGCAUAGAAAUUUUAUUACUCUCCACAAAAGCAAAUUUGUUCUCAUGAAUAGUAGUGGGAGCAAACUCAACAAAAUAACUAUCAUGUGAAGCAUAAUCCAAUUGAAAAUUAAAAUCAUGAUGACAAGUUUCAUGGUUAUCUUUAUUCUUUAUAGCAUACAUGUCAUCACAAUAAUCAUCAUAAAUAGGAGGCAUGCUUUCAUCAUAAUAAAUUUGCUCAUCAAAACUUGGGGGACAAAACAUAUCAUCUUCAUCAAACAUAGCAUCCCCAAACUUGUGGCUUUGCAUAUCAUUAGCAUCAUGGGUAUUCAAAGAAUUCAUACUAACAACAUUGCAAUCAUGCUCAUCAUUCACAUAUUUUAUGCCAAGCAUUCUAUGUAAUUCUUCUUCUAGUACUUGAGCACAAUUUUCCUUCCCAUCAUUUUCACGAAAGACAUUAAAAAGAUAAAGCAUAUGAGGCAACCUUAAUUCCAUUUUUUGUAGUUUUCUUUUAUAGACUAAACUAGUGAUAAAACAAGAAACUAAAAGAUUAUAUUGCAAGAUCUAAAGAUAUACCUUCAAGCACUCACCUUCCCAGCAAUGGUGCCAGAAAAGAGCUUGAUGUCUACUAUGCAACCUUCUUCUUGUAGACGUUGUUUGGCCUACAAGUGCAGAGGUUUGUAGGACAGUUGCAAAUUUCCCUCAAGUGGAUGACCUAAGGUUUAUCAAUUCGUGGGAGGCGUAGGAUGAAGAUGGUCUCUCUCAAACAACCCUGCAACCAAAUAACAAAGAGUCUCUUGUGUCCCCAACACACCCAAUACAAUGGUAAAUUGUAUAGGUGCCUUAGUUCGGCGAAGAGAUGGUGAUACAAGUGCAAUAUGGAUGAUAGAUAUGAGUAUUUGUAAUCUAAAAAUAUAGAAACAACAAGGUAACAAGCGAUAAAAGUGAGCGUAAACGGUAUUGCAAUGUGUUGAAACAAGGCCUAGGGUUCAUACUUUCACUAGUGCAAGUUCUCUCAACAAUAAUAACAUGAUUGGAUCAUAUAACUAUCCCUCAACAUGCAACAAAGAGUCACUCCAAAGUCACUAAUAGCGGAGAACAAACAAAGAGAUUAUUGUAGGGUACAAAACCACCUCAAAGUUAUCCUUUCUGGUCUAUCUAGUCGAGAGUCCGUAGUAAAAUAACAUGAAGCUAUUCUUUCCGUUCAAUCUAUCCUAGAGUUCGUACUAGAAUAACACCUUAAGACACAAAUCAACCAAAACCCUAAUGUCACCUAGAUACUCCAAUGUCACCUCAAGUAUCUGUGGGUAUGAUUAUACGAUAUGCAUCACACAAUCUCAGAUUCAUCUAUUCAACCAACACAAAGUACUUUCAAGAGUGCCCCAAAGUUUCUACUGGAGAGUCAAGAUGAAAACGUGUGCCAACCCCUAUGCAUAAGUUCACAAUGUUACGGAACCCGCAAGUUGAUCACCAAAACAUACAUCAAGUAAAUCAUGUGAUAUCCCAUUGUCACCACAGAUAAGCACAUGCAAGACAUACAUCAAGUGUUCUCAAAUCCUUAAAGACUCAAUCCGAUAAGAUAACUUCAAAGGGAAAACUCAAUCCAUUACAAGAGAGUAGAGGGGGAGAAACAUCAUAAGACCCAACUAGAAUAGCAAAGCUCGCGAUACAUCAAGAUCGUAUCACCUCAAGAACACGAGAGAGAGAGAGAGAGAGAGAGAGAGAGAGAGAGAGAGAUCAAACACAUAGCUACUGGUACAUACCCUCAGCCCCAAGGGUGAACUACUCCCUCCUCGUCAUGGAGAGCGCCGGGACAAUGAAGAUGGCCACCGGUGAUGGAUUCCCCCUCUGGCAGGGUGCCGGAACGGGCUCCCGAGAGGUUUUUGGUGGCUACAGAGGCUUGCAGCGGCGGAACUCCCGAUCUAUGGUGCUCUAUGGUGCUCUUGGAUGUUUUCAGGGUAUAUGGGUAUAUAUAGGCGAAAGAAGUCGGUCAGGGGAGCCACGAGGGGCCCACGAGGGUGGGGGUGCGUCUAGGGGGUAGGGCGCGCCCUGGACCCUCGUGGCCACCUCGUUGCUUCCCUGACGUCUACUCCAAGUCUCCUGGAUUGCGUUUGUUCUGAAAAUAACUCUCCCGAAGGUUUCAUUCUGUUUGGACUCCGUUUGAUAUUCCUUUUCUGCAAAACACUGAAAUAGGCAGCAAUUUGGACUGGGCCUUCGGUUAAUAGGUUAGUCCCAAAAAUAAUAUAAAAGUGUAUAAUAAAGCCCAUUAAACAUCCAAGAUAAUAUAAUAGCAUGAAUACUUCAUAAAUUAUAGAUACAUUGGAGACGUAUCACAUACCGAUGACAAAGGGAACAACGUAUGUUGUUAUGCGGUUUGACCGAUAAAGAUCUUCGUAGAAUAUGUGGGAUCCAAUAUGAACAUCCAGGUUCCGCUAUUGGUUAUUGACCGGAGACGUCUCUCGGUCAUGUCUACAUAGUUCUCGAACCCGUAGGGUCCGCACGCUUAACGUUCGGUAAUAUGAGUUUAUGUGUUUUGAUGUACCGAAGGUUGCUCGGAGUCCCGGAUAUGAUCACAGACAUGACGAGGAGUCUCAAAAUGGUCGAGACAUAAAGAUCGAUAUAUUGGAUGACUAUGUUUGGACUUCGGAAGGGUUCCGAGUGAGUUUGGACAAAUACCGGAGUACCGGGGGGUUACCGGAACCCCCCGGGGAGUGUAAUGGGCCUCAUGGGCCUUGGUGGAGAGAGGAAGGGGCGGCCAGGGCAGGCCGCGCGCCCCCUCCCCCUCUAGUCCGAAUUGGACAAGGAAGGGGGCGGCGCCCCCCUUUUUCCUUCCCCCUCUCUCCUCCUUCCUUCCCUCCUACUCCUACUCUUGGAAGGAGUGGAAUCCUACUCCCGGUGGGAGUAGGACUCCCCUUGGGGCGCGCCUAGGAGGCCGGUCUCCUCCCCCUCCUCCACUCCUUUAUAUACGGGGGAGGGGGCACCCCAGAGACACACAAGUUGAUCAUUGAUCUCUUAGCCGUGUGCGGUGCACCCCUCCAUCAUAAUCCACCUCGGUCAUAUCGUCGUAGUGCUUAGGCGAAGCCCUACGCCGGUAGCUUCAUCACGCCGUCGUGCUGACGAAACUCUCCCUCGAAGCUCUACUGGAUCGUGAGUUCGUGGGACGUCGCCGAGCUGAACGUGUGCAGAUCGCGGAGGUGCCGUACGUUCGGUACUAGGGUCGGUCGAUCGUGAAGACGUACGACUACAUCAAUCGCGUUGUCAUAAUGCUUCCGCUUACGGUCUACGAGGGUACGUGGACGACACUCUCCCCUCACGUUGCUAUGCAUCACCAUGAUUUUGCGUGUGCAUAGGAAAUUUUUUAAAUUACUACGUUACCCAACACCAGCACAUGUAGUAGCAAUCUCAGUGUCAAAAAUGCUCUGAUAUUAUGAGACGGAGGGAGUAGCUUAGUUCUCAUCCCAAAGCACGGGCACCACAUGUACAAUUUUCUUUACAAAUAUAAACGUGCAUAUGAUGAUGGAUAGUGGAUGUUCAGAGGAAGACAAAUCAGCAAUGUUCCUAAUGUCCUAUGACUCCUAUCCCCGGCCCGAAGCAAGCGAUAAAUUUACAAGUGCUCACUGAAGCAAACACACUCACACGGCGGUACCAAACUAUUAACUGUGACGCCAACCAAACUAGCAAAAGAAAAAUCGAUCGGAAUCAAAGAGUUCGUGAGACACUGUCAUGGCUGGUCCUGGAUGAACUAGAUAUGAGACAGUAAGUACUGUCAGAGAUGCCCAAGAAGUCCAUGGACAUCCUUAUUUUCCUGCAUUCUUCCACGUGCAAUGACAAGUUAACGCUCGUACCUACUGUGAAAGAUACUACUCGUGAAAGCAGCGCUACUCACCGCAAGGCUCCAAUUGCUAGUUGCCGGACACGUCCAUUCUCCGUGUAGUUUCCAGCCCGGCCGGCGUCUUGCUUGGAGUAUGAGCUUGGAGCUAUGUGCGAGCCUUUGUGAGAUAUUUGCUUGUUUGAGAUGUGUGUGUGGCUCGUACGUAGCUUCCUGCGUGUGGCGCCUGCGUGCGCAAGCUCCUAAAUGCACGCCUGGGUGGUUUGCUACACUUGUUCUCAGUGUCAACAAGAGUGUCAAGGUACCAUGCAGCCUACGCUAGCCCUUGGUCUGCUGCUGCUUCUGAGCCUCGACGGAGGUGUGGCCUUGGCGGCGGAAGACGGCCGGUUCGCCUACCAAGGCUUCGCCACCGCGAACCUCACGCUGGAUGGCGUCGCCGCCGUCACGCCCAACGGCCUCCUGCUGCUCACCGACACGGAGACGGAGUACCAGACAACAGGCCAUGCCUUCCACCCCGCACCACUCCGCUUCCUCGACAGCUCCACCGCGACGGCGAACAGCGCCGCCAUGGCGCGGUCCUUCUCCGCGUCCUUCGUGUUCGCAAUUAGGUCCAGAUACGAUGGCCUGACCAGCUACGGGCAUGCGUUCGUCGUCGCGCCGACCUCGAACCUCUCAGCUGCCCAGAGCGGGCGGUACCUGGGCCUCCUCAACGGGACAAACGGCACGGCCAGCGAUCCCAUCUUGGCAGUCGAGCUCGACACCAUCAUGGACGUCGAGUUCCGCGACAUCAACAGCAACCACGUCGGCAUCGACGUCAACAGCCUCAUCUCACGGCAGGCCAAGCAGGCUGGGUAGUACAGCGACGAGAACGGCGCCUUUCAAGAGCUGACGCUGAACAGCCGCGAACCGAUGCAGGUCAUGGUUUUCACUUUCACUGUAAUUUCAUCAUGUCAGCAAUUAUAGUGGUACACAUAAAUUCAAAUUACUUACAAAGUAGUUCCUCCGUUCCUAAAUAAAUACUCCCUCCG